UUUAUGAACCGGGAUCAACAAUGCCUGGAGGCAAUGUAUAUUUGUUGCACGUGCAGACUAUUCCCUCCGUUUAAAAUAAGUGUUACAAAUUUAGUAUUAAGUUAGUACAAAUUUUAUACUAAAACAGCAAUAUUUAUUUUGAGACAUUUUUCGUUGAUCUAUUAUUUUUAUACAGUGUUUCAGUUUUCACGUCCUAAUCAUGAAGGGAACAAACAGAGCAAAAUUCAACUUAGAUAAAAAGAAGCCAUAUCCAAGCUAAGAACAAAAAUAUCUAGCAACGUGUGCAGUCCUACGCACUACGCAACACCAUAUCUACUUUUUUAAUCAAUCUUAUCUGACGCUCUAUCUUAUCUCUUAGGACACGGGCCUCCACUCACAUUCUAUCUCCUUUCUCACUUUGCAAAUUUCCAUUCUCUCCCUAACACUGCCUCUGUGCCUCGUCCAACCGUGGCUGUAGAGGAGCUCGCCUGAGACUUGUUCCGUCUCUCAAGAAGGCUAGCCAGCUGCCGUCCAUCUUGUUAUCUCGUUCUCUCCCUCGGCUUUCCCUUCUUUCUAUUAUAAUUUUUGUUUUCUCCAGUCCAGGGAAGGGAGCCGCCAUGGAACCGUAGCACCCUGCCUCUCGUGGAGCUCGCCGCCUCCAGCUACCUCUCCAUUGAUCAGUCCGACGCCUCCGGCCAGAUCUCCCUCGAUCCGUCCGCCACGCGUCGGAUCCACGCCGGAGCAGCCGGAUGCGCCGCCAGGGAACGCAUCACCCCAUGGCCUUGGAGCUCGCCGCCUCCAGCUACCUCUCCAUUGAUCAGUCCGACGCCUCCGGCCACAUCUCCGUCGAUCCGUCCGCCAAGCGUUGGAUCCACGCCGGAGCAGCCGGAUGCGUCGCCAGGGAACCGCAUCACCCCAUGGCCUUGUAGCUCACUGCCUCGAGCUACCUCUCCAUCGAUCCGUCUGUCCCGCUGCCGGAUUCGUUGACUGCUCAGCCCGUCAUGGGUCUGUGCCUCGAUCUGUUUGCCCCGUCGCUCGAUGCACGCGGGAGCAACUGGGCUGCGGGUUCGAUCUGUCUGCCCCGUCGCUGGAUGCAUGCGAGAGCAGCUGGGCUGCGGGUUGAUUUAUCAGAAACUGGGGAGAAGGGGGUUUAUGUAAAACAGAAUCGUUUCUCCCACUUAAAUUGGUAGUGCGGGUUGAAUAUGUACAAUAUUAGGAGCUUUUCUGCAAAACAGCCUAUUAUUAGGGAGAGAUAUAUCUCUUAGUUAAAUUUUAAAUUUAAAUUUAGUCCGAUCGCGCUGGAUCACAUCAGCGCGGAUCGCAUGCCCGAUCAGAACCAAAAAGGGCAUGUAUGCUCAGUUUCUACAUGCCCGGAUCCAAAAUAACAUCAGUUCAAUAGUCGGUGCAAUUUUCAGUCCAGUCGGACCGGCAGUCCAGCCAUCUACACCCGGAUCAAGGUGUUGUUGCUGCCGUCGCGUAGACCACGUCGGCGUCCAUCUCCUCCCCAUCCUCACUUCGUGCCACCGUCAAACUCAUCUUUUUACCGCUACAACAUAUGAUAUCGGACCAAUUGCACACAAUAAAUUCUUGCAUCAGCAUCCAAAGAGUCCACAUUCAAGGUUAACAUCUUGGCAUCCUCGACAUUAACGGCGAUCUUCAUCUUCUUUUUCUGUAGCGACCCGACUCAAAACGAGUCAAGUCUCUGUGUUUCUGUGCCUCCCUGGAUCAGUAUGCUGACACACACAGUACAUCAAUGUAUAUAUCAAAGUGCAAUCACAUGUAAAUAGCGUAGAACUGAUAUAUAACUUAAAUAUAUACCUUAAAUAUUUCAGCGGAAGCAGUCAAGGGAGUGGAGUCCCAAUAAACACCAACGGAGUGACCCGACUCAAAACGAGUCAAGCCUCUGUGUUUCUGUGCCAUCCCUGGAUCAGUAUGCUGGCACACACAGUACAACAAUGUAUAUAUCAAAGUGCAAUCACAUGUAAAUAGCGUAAAACUGAUAUAUACCUUAAAUAUUUCAGCGGAAGCAGUCAAGGGAGUGGAGUCCCAAUAAACAUCAACGACAAGUUAAAUAUAGACAGUAACCCUGAAUCAUACACUUACUCGUCGAAGAAAAAUAUCUGCAACAUAAGACGUUGCAGCCGUAUAGGUCAGCAUAUUGAAUAUGCCGGCAAGUCACAUAAGAGAGGGGUGAAAAGUAAUCAUCUAUACUAUAUGCAUAUAUGGCAGGUGGGGCUAUAAGUUUUUAGCGAAAAGCAAGUUUUCUCCUACAUCAAGAGAGGGCUAAAAGCAAAAUGUUACUACAUUGUUGGUUGUUACCAAGAUGGUUCCACCAACCAAUUCUCGUACCCAUGUUGUCAAUAAUACCCACAUCAAUAUUAUUAUUUGUGUUGAGAAUUUCAGAUAACUUCAGUUCCUUUGGCUCAAGUUGUCCAUGACCGUGGACACGGCUAAUCGAUUAGGUUUGAGUACUCUGCACAGUUUUGCACACGUUCCCCACAAGAUUUGAUCGCCUCCGAGUAUGUCCUCGCACUUCAGGGUGUUUGAAGACCGGAUGAUCAAAACAUGGUCUUUCAACGGGUCCCUCUGAAUCCCUGUCGGUGCCCAUCCGAUACUACCGUUCUUCUACAUCUGCUAGCACCGCCUGUCCAGAGUCGCCGCAUUGUCCAACCAAGCCAGAGCCCAUAAUGACUUGUGGCUGUGCAGGUAAUCCUUGGGUCUUGAAAAUAUCCGUCCGUCUCUUUGAGCCUGGGUGAAGCUUUCCGCAAGAUGUCAUGGCCGUCUCCAGCAUCCCGGGUCAUCCACUGGUUUCUCCAGGGAGCCGAUCAACCGUCCUUCACCCAGAGUUGCAUUGCAUCACGAGGUCUUGAAAAGUCUUGACUUAACCGGUCUUGGUUAUUAAAUUAUUCUCGCAUCACUCGUGGUAAACUCUCAACCAGAAUCCCGUCUACUCAAGCAUAGCAACAUGAAAUUUGUCGUCCCGGGCCAAGUAACGGGGUUGUUGGGUGCCUACCACAUGAUACUACAAUAUGUAACAAUAAUUUCCAAGUACCUACUCAGCAUGCAAUUGGGCAUAGGAUGGUAGAACUACGAUGCAUAAAACAUAGGUGAUACAUGGUCAAAUGACUUGCCUGGUGAGGUUGAUGAAGAAGAAUUUCUUGAGAAAUAACUUGAUAGACUACUCGUCACUCUCUGAUGAAAUCUAUAUAACAAACAUAUCAUUCACAUAAGCACUCAUACUAGCAAUCAUUCCAGCAAUCAGAACAAAAAAGAGAGUGAAUAAGAAUCCGAAGGAAACUUCAAAUAAGACUAGGGAGUCUUCUACUACAUCAAACACUAAAUAGUUUUUGUCCAACAGAAAAUAAUAACAGGGAUCUAAGAUAUAAAUUUAACUAAGAUGAAAUAAAGCAUUUUUCACAAUACUAUUUGAAAAUAUUUCCAAACGGGAUUUGAAACAGUGGAGAAACCAAUUACAAGUUAUUAGAGAACUAGAAUUGAUUUCAUGAUAACACAUAAAAUAAAAAUCAAAACUUGUUGCAAACCUACUGUUAACUAACAGAAACAAAACAUAAUCUUUCUGAAAUAUAAAAGAAAAUAAUUUAAAAACAAUUAUAGAAAAGGAAAUAGCCAUAAUCUUAAAAGAAGUGAAACAGAAAGUGUUUCACCAUAAAUAAUGAGCUAAAAUACUCAAACAAUUCUGAAAUUUUUACCACUGAUAAUUAAGAUCACUAGUGAUCAGCAGCAAAAAGAAUUAAAUUAAAAUAUAUUUUUAAACUCCCAGAAUAAGCAAAACAAGGUUUAAACUAAAUCUGAUCUAAUUCAAAUUUUAAAAUUUCAACCAUAGACAAAUUAUAUGUUUUUAAGAACUACAGAAAAAUUGUGAUCUACUGGAAAAAGAAUCAACCUCAUUGGAUCUCUAGAACAAAAGCUAUGAUCAAAACAAGAUUGGAACUUUCUCUGUUUUGGAAUUAAAACAGAAAUUUAAAAUCUGAAUUCUAUCGGAUAGGGGUACACGUGGCAGCUUCUGGUUGGUCUACGGGUGUUUGCUGCGGGGAAAUCUAACAAACGUCCGAAACUUAACAGAAACCUCUUCGGCUAAUAUUAAGUAAUGAAAAACCGGCCCGGUUUUGUUUAAAAGACCGAAAGGGUAUGGGUGAUCUAAUCUCUACCCUUUACUCACGAUCUAACAGCUAAGGAAAAGAUGGGGGGUCUCACCGUGAGUUGCUGGGGCUGCUUCUUCUCAGGCGAGACAGAGAAGAGGUGCUCGUCGUUGGCGUCGCGGCGGUGGUCGGUGACGGUGUCCGAGGUGUUGGGGAGGUGGCGGUGGGUCUCCUCCGUCGAACGACGUCGUCGGUGAAGCGAAGGGGAGUCGGGGCGGUCGGGGAAGCGCCCGGGGAGUUCCUAUCCGGCCGAACUCCGGCGAGGCGGUGCGGUGGCGUGGGGCGAGGAGCUCGGGUGUUUGGUGGGAAAAUGGGCUGCGGUGACGAUGGGGGUUUCUCCGGUGGCAUUGGCUAGGGCGGGGAGGAGCGGUAGUGGCCGGGGCGGCGUGGAGGAUUUCCUACUGGAGCCUGGCUCUAGCGAGGGGAGGGUUGGGGCGUGGAGGUGCUGCGGCGUGCGGAAGGAGGNNNNNNNNNNNNNNNNNNNNNNNNNNNNNNNNNNNNNNNNNNNNNNNNNNNNNNNNNNNNNNNNNNNNNNNNNNNNNNNNNNNNNNNNNNNNNNNNNNNNNNNNNNNNNNNNNNNNNNNNNNNNNNNNNNNNNNNNNNNNNNNNNNNNNNNNNNNNNNNNNNNNNNNNNNNNNNNNNNNNNNNNNNNNNNNNNNNNNNNNNNNNNNNNNNNNNNNNNNNNNNNNNNNNNNNNNNNNNNNNNNNNNNNNNNNNNNNNNNNNNNNNNNNNNNNNNNNNNNNNNNNNNNNNNNNNNNNNNNNNNNNNNNNNNNNNNNNNNNNNNNNNNNNNNNNNNNNNNNNNNNNNNNNNNNNNNNNNNNNNNNNNNNNNNNNNNNNNNNNNNNNNNNNNNNNNNNNNNNNNNNNNNNNNNNNNNNNNNNNNNNNNNNNNNNNNNNNNNNNNNNNNNNNNNNNNNNNNNNNNNNNNNNNNNNNNNNNNNNNNNNUUCAGAAAAAUCCCUAAGGCUUUAUUUUCUUUUGGCAAAAUAUUUACCCCAUAAACUUGGGUCUUCUUGGCUCAAAAUAUUUCAGAGAUGCCUCACAUUUUGGAGGGUCAUUUUCGUCCGCUCUUUCUUGCGUGCAAGAAUUUUGUCGGGGCAUUUUCUCGGAGAAGAAAAAUAGAAAGCAAGGGCAAAUAUUUUUGAAAGGAUUCAAAUGCAAACUCCGUUCAAAUUCUUUAUAGUUGAAGAUGUCAUGUCAUCUUCUCUCAUUGCUUUGAAUUUGAAUUUACCGGAGAAGGGGAAAGUCAUUUUAUUCCCUCUCAUUCAAAUGUUUUGAAAAGUUUCAAAUUUCACUCAAGUUUCAAUCACUCAAGCAAACAAACAAACAAUCUAAUAAUUAUUCUAACAUUCCAAAAUUUGGGAUGUUACAAACCUACCACACUUAAAAUGAAUCUCGUCCUCGAGAUUCGGAGGGGCUAGAAAUAAAGGUUAGGGUUUGGGGGUCUUCUAACAAAUCCAACUUCCGGCAAACUGGGAUGCUACCACACUUAAAAUGAAGAUUACUGGUCCCUCAAAAUGUUUUAACGAUCCUCUGGGGUUUUGGCAGCUGACUCCUCACAGCCUUCAUACUAACUCCUCUAGUGAAGCUCUUUCGUUAUAUUCAUAACAUUUCCAUCAAAAUCGAGGGUUCUACUGUUGAUAUAAGCUUCUUCCGUUACUGGGUCUUAUUAACUGACAGUCUCACGGUCAACUCUAAAUAACCUAUCGAUGAUUCUCAUGGUGGUCUACUAUUUGUGGUUAUCCUGCAGAGAGAGAGGUCUUGGUUUCAUCCUCACCGUAAAAUUUCUUACGCGUGACAACAAGUGCCAUGUACAUGGGGCUUUCAUCAUACCAUUCUAAGGCUUAAACAAAAGCUUCAAAGAACGUCGUCUCUCACUAUGGGUAAGUCUCCCAGAUUUACCAUUCCGAAUAGCAAGAGAAUGAUGAUAGUAAGUCAUCAUGGUGGCCAAGCCAUGUCGCACUGAAAUCAUUACCUUGUAUAAGGCUUAGUGAAUCUCGUAUUCUAACACUUGGGCAUCCUCACAAGCAUUGCAGAAUUCCUCUUGUCCACGAACGAAGUUCGGAUAAUCCAUUGGUUCUGCAAGCUGAACAAAACAUCUAUCGUAUCUUUACAACUCUCAGGUUUUCGUAUGCUCCUAAGAAAAUGUUCUCUGAAAUAAGUUUCCUUCUCCAAAAAGAUAGUACUUGAUCCUUAUUAGUCUCGGGGUCUGUGGGUUUCAGGCAUACUUGGAAUUACUCUGCCUUUAAAUUCCAUAGUGUUUCAUUCCAUCAUGCUCUUGGGGUAACCAUCAUAAAAAUAGUCCUGCGACUUAUUUUUGGUACACACUCCAUUCUGCGGGAUACUUUCCAUUGGUGUGUUUACCAUGAAAAGGUAUUGGUUCAUCCAUAAAUCAUAUUCAUUUCAUAAUCAAUCCUUUAUUACAUCCUUAAUUUCUUAUCAAAAACUCCAAUUCAAAAGUACUCUAUUACAAAUGCUGCCAUCCACAUUGUUCGGUAUGGUCGAGCAUUUCUGCCAACAUUAUUCAUUCGUCUCUCUUGGAGGUACUUUAGUUCCACUUGAAAUUUCCAAUGUGCUCCUUGAAAUCAUCCAUCUUUUGCUUCAUCAUGGUGGUCAUGAGCUUCAUCUCCAUCAUCUCCGCACGUACCUCACUCAGGUAUUCCUGGGUAUGAUGGAGUCUUGCUUCAAGUAUUUCUCCAAUCUGAUGUAUGGCUUCCAUGGCAGCUUCACGAACAACAUCAAAGAAGGUUGCUCGUGGUACACGUGAAAUGAAAAAGUAUUGCCCCAUAGUCUUUGGACAAACUCCUUUCACAUGGUGGAGGUGUACUUCCACGUACCAAAGUUCCACUCCAUUUUCCAUGAAUGGGUAGCCUUUGUAGACUGCAUCUCCUACAAGGUGAAUGUGCUUCAUCAUGUCCUUCAGGAUUUUCGGGUAAUCAUGAUCACUGGUCAGGGUCAUGAUCAUUUCUGGGCCCUUGAGGAAUGACUCGUAGAGAGUUGUCAUCUGCAGGUGUCAGUAAAUAGUUACUCAGAGGAAUAUAUAUGUCUCCUUGGUAGUUAUGGCACAUUCCUACUCAGUGGAUCCUGUGGGUUUACCGAUUACUACCACACUUAAAAUGAAUUAUACUCAUGGCUGCAUAGACCAUAUUUUCUCAUAUCCUCAUAAUUGUUCACAGAUCUUUGCUCGUAGGGAAACAACGCAUACAGUUUCAACAUAGGCAAUCAUGAGACAAUAAAUUCCAUUUAUUCAUGAUGUUAUUACAAUCUCAGGGACUUCUGUUACAAAAAGUUUCACUCCAUGAUCUCAUGAAAAACAAGAGUUCUUCAGAUUACACUAAUUUCCGCGGUCAAAACUUAACUACUCCUUUUUAGCUUUCUUCCUUUGUGGACAAUCGCUAGCAAAAUGUCCUGCUUCCUUGCAACGAAAGCAAAUGAGUUCUAACCAGUCUCGAGGCGUCUUAGUGUUUGCUUUUGCUCCUUGGGUUUCGGGCUUCCUUCCUGAGCACAUGUAUUUGUGGUGGCCAAAUUCCAUACACUUGUAACAUCUGACAUGACUCAGGUCUAUGUAUGCAGAGAUUUGGCUCUUCCGAGGGUACUUUUUCUUCUUUCCGGACUCCUUUAUUUUGGCCAGUUCUUCUAUUUCAAGUGGAUCAAACUCCACUUUUUCCGUCCGGAAGUUUCCCAGAUACUCUUGGCUUCCCUUCGUGCAAUCCUAUGAAUAAUGUCCUUCUUCUCCACAUGAGUAGCAUGCAUUGGAGAAAAAUCUGGUCAGACCUUGUCCAUCAGGGUCUUCAAUAUUUUUGUUCAUCACCGGUUCUUCUAGAAUCUUCUUCUUGAGGGUUUCCUUCACUGCAUCUUUCUGUUGCUUGACAACUUGUUGCACCUUGGGGUAAAUGUGACACUGAGCUGGGUAGUGGGUGGUUCCUUCACAAAGGAAACAAGUCACCUGACUACUUGGGCACUCCUCAGCUGGGUGAUUUUUUUCACAAUGAGUGCAUCCAUUCUUGUGUUCUUCCUGGGUGUGUCCUAUUUCUCCACAGAUCUUGCAUGCACAAGUCCUCUCCUUCGGAUUAUCAUAGCACUUCUGAAUAAGUCGGGAUCUUAACAGAGUGUUCUUGAAUUCGUCCCAAGUUUCUGCUCCACUAAAUCCUUGUAUGGCAUGGUGCAUUUUCCACCAGAUUGCAGCACUUUGUGUAAAGUACUGAAGAGCGUGUUCCACUUCAUACUUCAUUGAGAUCAAGUUGCUCCCGAAGUGGUUCUCCAUGUUUUGAAUCCAUAUAUCAGCCUCCAGCUGGGUCAUUGGUCCAGAGACUACAAGUCCAGCUUCAUACUCCAUCUAGUAGGGUUGAGGUUUUGGGGAUGAGACGGGUAAGAGAGGGAGAGAGAUACACACAAUACAAACAAUAUUUUUGAGAAUAGGUUUUAUUUGUGGCCGUCGGAAAACACACACCAAUGACGGAUCACAAAUCAUCGUAUCUAACGUGGGUAUAUAGCAGGGGUUUGGACUUCUAAUGGUCAUAUAAAUAUUCGAAUGCUUCAGGGUCUUUGAAUUCUUCGGGUCUUGAGAGUCUUCAAUGGGUGAAGCUUCAAUUCUUCAAAUGCAUGGUGAAAUCCUCUUUACUUUGAAGUAGAACUCCGUUGAUUCUUCAUGAGGUCAAAGGGGUAAGGGUAUUGUCUAACUAUUGGAGGUGAGAGAGAACAUUUGAUGAAGUCAGAAGAGAUGAGAGGUAAAGAAUGUUCUUGGCAAUAAAAUUUUAGAGAGAUCCUUUCCUAAGAGAUUUCCAGUUUCUAGGGUCACGUCCUACAGUCAACAUGUGCUCUGAUACCAUUUCUGUAGCGACCCGACUCAAAACGAGUCAAGCCUCUAUGUUUCUGUGCCAUCCCUGGAUCAGUAUGCUGGCACACACAGUACAUCAAUGUAUAUAUCAAAGUGCAAUCACAUGUAAAUAGCGUAAAACUGAUAUAUACCUUAAAUAUUUCAGCGGAAGCAGUCAAGGGAGUGGAGUCCCAAAUAACACCAACGGAAUGUUGAGUGUAGACCGUAACCCUGAAUCGUACACUUACUCGUCGAAGAAAAAUAUCUGCAACAUAAGACGUUGCAGCCGUGUAGGUCAGCAUAUUGAAUAUGCCGGCAAGUCACAUAAGAGAGGGGUGAAAAGUAAUCAUCUAUACUAUAUGCAUAUAUGGCAGGUGGGGCUAUAAGUUUUUAGCGAAAAGCAAGUUUUCUCCUACAUCAAGAGAGGGCUAAAAGCAAAAUGUUACUACAUUGUUGGUUGUUAACGAGAUGGUUCCACCAACCAAUUCUCGUACCCAUGUUGUCAAUAAUACCCACAUCAAUAUUAUUAUUUGUGUUGAGAAUUUCAGAUAACUUCAGUUCCUUUGGCUCAAGUUGUCCAUGACCGUGGACACGGCUCGAUUAGGUUUGAGUACUCUGUAGAGNNNNNNNNNNNNNNNNNNNNNNNNNNNNNNNNNNNNNNNNNNNNNNNNNNNNNNNNNNNNNNNNNNNNNNNNNNNNNNNNNNNNNNNNNNNNNNNNNNNNNNNNNNNNNNNNNNNNNNNNNNNNNNNNNNNNNNNNNNNNNNNNNNNNNNNNNNNNNNNNNNNNNNNNNNNNNNNNNNNNNNNNNNNNNNNNNNNNNNNNNNNNNNNNNNNNNNNNNNNNNNNNNNNNNNNNNNNNNNNNNNNNNNNNNNNNNNNNNNNNNNNNNNNNNNNNNNNNNNNNNNNNNNNNNNNNNNNNNNNNNNNNNNNNNNNNNNNNNNNNNNNNNNNNNNNNNNNNNNNNNNNNNNNNNNNNNNNNNNNNNNNNNNNNNNNNNNNNNNNNNNNNNNNNNNNNNNNNNNNNNNNNNNNNNNNNNNNNNNNNNNNNNNNNNNNNNNNNNNNNNNNNNNNNNNNNNNNNNNNNNNNNNNNNNNNNNNNNNNNNNNNNNNNNNNNNNNNNNNNNNNNNNNNNNNNNNNNNNNNNNNNNNNNNNNNNNNNNNNNNNNNNNNNNNNNNNNNNNNNNNNNNNNNNNNNNNNNNNNNNNNNNNNNNNNNNNNNNNNNNNNNNNNNNNNNNNNNNNNNNNNNNNNNNNNNNNNNNNNNNNNNNNNNNNNNNNNNNNNNNNNNNNNNNNNNNNNNNNNNNNNNNNNNNNNNNNNNNNNNNNNNNNNNNNNNNNNNNNNNNNNNNNNNNNNNNNNNNNNNNNNNNNNNNNNNNNNNNNNNNNNNNNNNNNNNNNNNNNNNNNNNNNNNNNNNNNNNNNNNNNNNNNNNNNNNNNNNNNNNNNNNNNNNNNNNNNNNNNNNNNNNNNNNNNNNNNNNNNNNNNNNNNNNNNNNNNNNNNNNNNNNNNNNNNNNNNNNNNACCAAGCCAGAGCCCAUAAUGACUUGUGGCUGUGCAGGUAAUCCUUGGGUCUUGAAAAUAUCCGUCCGUCUCUUUGAGCCUGGGUGAAGCUUUCCGCAAGAUGUCAUGGCCGUCUCCAGCAUCCCGGGUCAUCCACUGGUUUCUCCAGGGAGCCGAUCAACCGUCCUUCACCCAGAGUUGCAUUGCAUCACGAGGUCUUGAAAAGUUUUGACUUAACCGGUCUUGGUUAUUAAAUUAUUCUCGCAUCACUCGUGGUAAACUCUCAACCAGAAUCCCGUCUACUCAAGCAUAGCAAUAUGAAAUUUGUCGUCCCGGGCCAAGUAACGGGGUUGUUGGGUGCCUACCACAUGAUACUACAAUAUGUAACCAUAAUUUCCAAGUACCUACUCAUCAUGCAAUUGGGCAUAGGAUGGUAGAACUACGAUGCAUAAAACAUAGGUGAUACAUGAUCAAAUGACUUGCCUGGUGAGGUUGAUGGAGAAGAAUUUCUCAAGAAAUAACUUGAUAGACUACUCGUCACUCUCCGAUGAAAUCUAUAUAACAAACAUAUCAUUCACAUAAGCACUCAUACUAGCAAUCAUUCUAGCAAUCAAAACAAAAGAGAGAGUGAAUAAGAAUCCGAAGGAAACUUCAAAUAAGACUAGGGAGUCUUCUACUACAUCAAACACUAAAUAGUUUUUGUCCAACAGAAAAUAAUAAGAGGGAUCUAAGAUAUAAAUUUAACUAAGAUGAAAUAAAGUAUUUUUCACAAAACUAUUUGAAAAUAUUUCCAAACGGGAUUUGAAACAGUGGAGAAACCAAUUGCAAGUUAUUAGAGAACUAGAAUUGAUUUCAUGAUAACAUAUAAAAUAAAAAUCAAAACUUGUUGCAAACCUACUAUUAACUAAUAGAAACAAAACAUAAUCUUUCUGAAAUAUUAAAGAAAUUAAUUUAAAAACAAUUAUAGAAAAGGAAAUAGCCAUAAUCCUAAAAGAAGUGAAACAUAAAGUGUUUCACCAGAACUAACUUGCUAAAAUACUCAAAUAAUUCUGAAAUUUUUACCACUGAUAAUUAAGAUCACUAGUGAUCAGCAGCAAAAAGAAUUAAAUUAAAAGCUAUUUUAAAACUCCCAGAAUAAGCAAAACAAGGUUUAAACUAAAUCUGAUCUAAUUCAAAUUUGAAAAUUUCAAACAUAGACAAAUUAUAUGUUUUUAAAAACUACAGAAAACUUGUGAUCUACUGGAAAAAGAAUCAACCUAAUUGGAUCUAUAGAUCAAAAGCUAUGAUCAAAACUAGAUUGGAACUUUCUCUGUUUUGGAAUUAAAACAGAAAUUUAAAAUCUGAAUUCUAUCGGAUAGGGGUACACGUGGCAGCUUCAGGUUGGUCUACGGGUGUUUUCUGCGGGGAAAUCUAACAAACGUCUGAAACUUAACAGAAACCUCUUCGGCUAAUAUUAAGUAAUGAAAAACCGGCCCGGUUUUGUUUAAAAGUCCGAAAGGGUAUGGGUGAUCUAAUCUCUACCGUUUACUCACGAUCGAACGGCUAAGGAAAAGAUGGGGGGUCUCACCGUGAGUUGCUGGGGCUGCUUCUUCUCAGGCAAGACAGAGAAGAGGCGCUCGUCGUUGGUGUCGCGGCGGUGGUCGGUGACGGCGUCUGAGGUGUUGGGUAGGUGGCGGCGGGUCUCCUCCGUCGAACGGCGUCGUCGACGAAGCGAAGGGGAGUCGGGGCGGUCGGGGAAGCGCCCGGGGAGUUCCUAUCCGGCCGAACUCCGGCGAGGCGGUGCGGUGGCGUGGGGCGAGGAGCUCGGGUGUUUGGUGGGAAAAUAGGCUGCGGUGACGAUGGGGGUUUCUUCGGUGGCGUUGGCUAGGGCAGGGAGGAGCGGUAGUGGCCGGGGCGGCAUGGAGGAUUUCCUACUGGAGCCUGGCUCCAGCGAGGGGAGGGCUGGGGCGUGGAGGUGCUGCGGCGUGGGGAAGGAGGGGGCCGAGGGGGGGGGGCUCGGNNNNNNNNNNNNNNNNNNNNNNNNNNNNNNNNNNNNNNNNNNNNNNNNNNNNNNNNNNNNNNNNNNNNNNNNNNNNNNNNNNNNNNNNNNNNNNNNNNNNNNNNNNNNNNNNNNNNNNNNNNNNNNNNNNNNNNNNNNNNNNNNNNNNNNNNNNNNNNNNNNNNNNNNNNNNNNNNNNNNNNNNNNNNNNNNNNNNNNNNNNNNNNNNNNNNNNNNNNNNNNNNNNNNNNNNNNNNNNNNNNNNNNNNNNNNNNNNNNNNNNNNNNNNNNNNNNNNNNNNNNNNNNNNNNNNNNNNNNNNNNNNNNNNNNNNNNNNNNNNNNNNNNNNNNNNNNNNNNNNNNNNNNNNNNNNNNNNNNNNNNNNNNNNNNNNNNNNNNNNNNNNNNNNNNNNNNNNNNNNNNNNNNNNNNNNNNNNNNNNNNNNNNNNNNNNNNNNNNNNNNNNNNNNNNNNNNNNNNNNNNNNNNNNNNNNNNNNNNNNNNNNNNNNNNNNNNNNNNNNNNNNNNNNNNNNNNNNNNNNNNNNNNNNNNNNNNNNNNNNNNNNNNNNNNNNNNNNNNNNAGCAAACAAACAAACAAUCUAAUAAUUAUUCUAACAUUCCAAAAUUUGGGAUGUUACAUUUCCUCUAUCGCGGCUUUCCUCUCUUCAAUCAUGCUCCGCCUCUCUUCGAGCUUAAGCCUCUUGUCCAUCGCCUCCAUCAACAAUUUAAACCUGUCCUCCUUUUUUCUCCUCCUUUGGGUUCGACCGACGGGGUUCCGAGCAGUUUGGCGGCGCAGUAGUAUAGAGGCUUGCAAAUGCUCUAACCACUGCGCCGUAUGUACUAUGGGCAUGGCCGUCCGACGACGUCCGCCGCGCCCAACGCCACCACUAGGCCCACCAGCCUCCAAUCGCUUCUUGAUCUCCUCCUCCUUCGCAGCCUUCGCUUUGCAUGGCGAUCCUACUGCGUAGCCGGGUUGAUCUUCCGGGCAAGCGUGAUGCUCGGAUCCUCCGGCACCGCCGCCUCCAUCUUCAUCAGGUUCUCUGACGGUUCCAUUGUGUCGGCGGCGGAAGGAAGGAGACGAUGGGAGAAAAGAAAAAAAAUUGGACGAAGAGCGGCAGGAAUGGAAGAAGAGAGUGAUGGAUUUUGACGUGAAAACAGUGCGAGUUGCUACAAAAGCACGGGCUUGGCCUUCCUUUUGGAUGGACCAGGGGACAGAAAGUGACGUUUUGCAUGUGUGGACUCCCGCAAAGACCCCCCACGUUUGAUUCUGAUUUGCGGGAGAAAAUGCGUUCGGACCGCCCUCGGAUCGAUACAUGCCUGCGAUGGAUGGUUUUCGCGGUCCGAACGGAUGUGGGUGAUGACCCACAAGUAAAGGUGAUCAAUCUUAGUCCUUUCGAUGAGUAAGAGUAUCGAACCCAAUGAGGAGCAUAAGGAAAUGAUAAGCAGUUUUCAACAAAGUAUUCUUUGCAAGUGUUGUAUCUAACAAUGGUAGAUAAUUUUGUAGCAAGAUAAUUGGUAACAAGUAAAAAAAGUAGCAAGUGUGCAUCAAGGUGGCCCAAUCCUUUUUAUAGCAAGGGACGAGCCUGCAAGUUCUUUUAUAUAAAGUAUAGAGCUCUCGAGGACACAUGGGAAUUUCCGUUUAGUCAUGGUCAUCAUGUUGAGUUGAUUCACGUUCAUUCUUUGAUAAUUUGAUAUGUGGGUGGAUUGGUGCUUAGGUGUUGUUAUUACUUGAACAAGGAACAUACUUAUGAUUACCCCCUCUCGCAAGCAUCCACAACUAUGAAAGAAGAAGUGACUGGAAUUAUCAUUGAUGAAACUUAUAUACUAUGCUAGCAUUCACACUUCGUAAAUUAUUUCUUUUAUCAUUUACCUACUCGAGAACGAGUAGAAAUUAAGCUUGAGGGUGCUGAUACAUCUCGAAUGUAUCAAUAAUUUAUGAAUUAUUCAUGAAAUAUUCACAUAUUUUUACAAUCGUUUUACAUGGAUUUGAUGCGAUUUUUAUGAUUUUAUUCGAACUAACCCCGACUAACACUAUUUGCAGCAGAAUUACCGUGGUGUCAUUUUUUUGGAGAAAACGAAAGUUCUCAGAAUAGCCUAAAAUUUUUUGGUCAUUUUUUCUAGCACAUAUGAGCAACAUUGGAGCGAAAAACCACCGGAGGGGGGCCCUUUUGGCCACAAGGAAACAAGGCGCGCCCAUGGGGUCAAGGGCCUUUUUAGCUUGUGGACCCCUCAUAACUCCAUUUUUUCGUGAUUCCAAUGCCAAAAAAUCCUAUAAAUAGAGAAACUCUCAGAUAUUAGGAGAGAACUUACUCUCCAUCGUGAAACUCUGUAUAUCAAAUAAAAACCCACAUGGAGCCUUUCCAGUACCCUGUCAGAGGGGAAAAUAUCUUCGGUGGCCAUCUUCAUCAUCCCGGCGGAGGCCGUGACGAGGAUGGAGUAGUUCACCCUUAGGGUGAGCAUAUGUACUAGUAGAUAUGUCUUUAGUCUCUCUCUCUCUCAUGUUCUUGAGAUGGCACGAUCUUGAUGUAUCACGGGCUUUGUUAAUAUAGUUGGAUCAUAUGAUGUUCUUCCCUUGCCAUCUUGUUGUGAUGAAUUGAAUCUUUCCCUUUGAGAUAUCAUUAUGUUGGAUUGAAUAUUUUGGGUUUGAGAACACUUGAUGUGUGUCUUGCAUGUGCAUACCCAUGUUUACAAUAGGGUAUCCUAUCGAUUCACUUGAUAUAUGUUAUGGAGUCAACUUGUGGAUCCAGAGACGUUGGGGAUCUAUGCAUAGGGGUUGAUUGCACAUUUUCAUCCGACUUUCUAUGAUAGAAAUCUUGUAGUAAUAUUUGAAGUUCUUUGUGUUCGAUCGAACAUGAUGAAUGCAUGUCGAAUAAUUAACCCACGGAUACUUGAGGUGACAUUGGAGUAUCUAGGUGACAUUAGGGUUGAUUGAUAUAUAUCAUAGGUUUUAUUCUAGUACAAACUCUAGGGCUGUUUGCGACACCUAUAGGAAUAGCUUAAAAGAUUGAUUGGAAAGAAUAACUUUGUGGUAGUUCGUUGCCUACAACAACUUCUUGUUAUGUUUUCCCCUAAUAGGAAGUUUUGAGUGAUUCAUUGUUGCACGUUGGGGGAUGAUCAUAUGAUUCUACUAUGUUAGCAUUCUUGAGAGAUUGCACUAGUGAAAGUAUGAACCCUAGGCCUUGUUUCUAAGCAUUAACAUACCAUUUUGCAUUCUGUUUACUGCUUGUUACCUAGAUGUUUUUAUUUAUUCAGAUUAUAAAAAUCUAUUUCUACUAUCCAUGCUACACCUGUAUCACCAUCUCUUCGCCGAAUUAGUGCACCUAUACAAUUUGCCAUUGUAUCGGGUGUGUUGGGGACACAAGAGAUUUCUUGUAUUUGAUUGCAGGAUUAUUUGAGAGAGACCAUAUUAUUCCUAUGACUCCCACGAACUGAUAAACCUUAGGUAAUCCACUUGAGGGAAAUUUGCUGCCGUCGUACAAAACUUUGCACUUGGAGGCCCAACAACGUCUACAAGAAUAAAGUUGCAUUGUAGACGUCGGUGCACCGGUGCUAAGGUGAUGUUCUUACUUGAACAAAUAAGCUACUAGUGAUUACCCCCUUCCAUAAGCUUCCACAACUAUGAAUGAAGAAUUAAGAUAAAUCUAAUCAUAGCAUGAAACAUAUGGAUCCAAGUCAGCCACUUACAUAAUAGUAGAUAAACUAGGUUUUAAGUUUUUUCACUCUCGCCACCCAUCAUAUACUUCCUAUUCCACAAUGCUUUUAUCACGGCCCAAAUAUGGUGAAGUGUCAUGUAGUCGACGUUCACACGACACCACUAGAGGAAACACAACAUACAUGUCAUCAAAAUAUUGAUCGAAUACCAACUUCACAUGAUAGUUUGUAACAAGACUUCUCCCAUGUCCUCAAGAACAAUAGUAGCUACUCACAAAUCACGUUCAUGUUCAAGAUUAGAGGGAUAUCUAAUAUGCUAACAGAUCUGAACAUGUAAUCUUACACCAAGUAAACCAACUAGCAUCAACUAAAAGAUGUAAUCAACAUUACAAGCAACCCGCAAGUUCCAGUCUCGGGUUUAGGUACAAAUAUUGAAUACAAGAGGUAAACUAGGGUUUGAGAUGAGAUGAUUCUGGUGAAGAUGUUGAUGGAGAUGAGUGAGGGAGUCUGGGAUUAAGGGGUCCUCGCAUGGUCGGGCCGUUGUUCAUAGGCUGAACUAAUGGGCCGCAUUAUUAAAGACCGGACUGCAUGACGACCUCGGAAACAAGUAGGAAGGCUCCAAGGACUGGCGUGUCAUCCAAGUGGAGUAGGCUACAUUGGCACGUCUACCCCCAACCGAGGUCGGUUGUAUGUAACCCUAGGGACCCCUGGUAUCUAUAUAAAUCAGAGGGUUUCCUCCACAUAGGCAAGUUGACUCAUCUAGGGUUUUAGCUCAUACAAUCUCGAGGUAGAUCAACUUUGUAAUACUCAUGCACCAUCAAUAUAAUCAAGUAGGACGUAGGGUUUUACCUCCUCAAGAGGGCCCAAACCUGGGUAAAUAUUGUCUCCUUCGUCUCGUGCAACCCAUCGAUCCAAGGUCCAUAGUUCGGGACACCCCUACCCGAGAUCCAUCGACUUUGACACCGACAUUGGUGAUUUCAUUGAUAUUUCUGCUCUAGGAUCGCUGGAAGGAUUGAUGGCGUGCUUGAUCGUACUCGACCGAUUGAGAAACACAAACAUCUUCGUCCCCGGGUAGGUUCUCACGUUCGGCAGCUUCACGCUGCGCGCCGACCCGAUCGGCCACCUUGGCCAGAUCGGAUGUCUCGUCCCUGAACAGGAGAUAAGGUUCAAGAACCUCGAGUUCUCCGUCGACUCCCGGGGAAAUAUUCUCCGUGCUAAGAUCACGGUUUCUUCCGAUGAGCUCCAAAAUGUCGAAGCCUUGAUUUUGGGUCUCUUGUUCAUCCAUGACCUCGGUUUCCUCUUUGAAGAGUUGGCUUCGAGCUCGGAUCUGACCUCUAUGCUCGGGAAACUGCAGACGGCCAUUGUCGAACUCGCAUCCCUCGCGGAAGCUAUGGAAAACCAUCAAUAGAUCGAUCUAUACAACCUCUCGAUGUUAAACAAGGUGCUCGACCAGAUCCAAUCGUUGAAAAUCGCAGAUGGCCCAAACCUGAGCUAUCCUCAGACCGGUCCACACGAGGAUUCUGAUGACUUUUACGGCCCACCCACCACCCACUUGGUAGCCACCGUCAAAGACUUAACCUAUGUAUUGGAUUACGCCUCCUAAGUGGUUGAAGACAUGGAUUAUGCGGCUGAUGACCCCGCCCUUGUAAGCACUGGGUGAUGGACUGCCAGCUCCACCUACGACGUUUACAUGGUGGACACACCCGACGACAAUGGCGAUCAUACCAUCGUACUACAAAAUGACGAUAAGUGCGAGGAGAAGCCAUCGAAGGGCCAAAAGAAAUGCAAAGAAUCCAAGGCGAACAAGGGAAGGGGGACCAUACAGAGAACCAGGGAGAACACAACCCAACAGGACAUCGGUAACCUCGGAGCUCUCGAGCAACCACCAGAGGGCCCGAACAAGCCUGAAGGAUAGUCCGAUCCUGAUGACCCCGACGAUUCAGACGAUGACAUAUACCUCCCUCCCGACGACGUGGAUGACAGCUUGGAGGCCGAAGACUUCAUAGUUUGCGAGGACCUUAAAGGUCAAGAACAAUUCAGGACACAACUUAGAGCUGCCGCUCGCAGCCUCCAGGAGAAGCAACAACGACUUAAAGUCAAAGAAGACACCAUCAAUAAUAGAUGGAUAAAAGUACUCGCAACCGAAGAAGGAUAUGGUACCGAGUGGCCGGCUUAAAAAAAAGCUACCCACACGGGCACCUGCUGCCUCAGUUCGACGAUGAGGCCCCAGAGCUCGUGUCCCCCAGGCGCACACAAUACGACCAGCCCGAUGGACCACCUCGAUAGUGCGACAGAGCAGCCAGAGAAGCCGAGUAUAGACCCGGUCUCCCCACAGGAAAGGAAAGGAACAUGUGUAGCCUAGGGGCAAACAUGAACUACGUCAUGACUUGAACAACAGAACAGGUCGCAACAGAUCCAACUAUGGAUCCAGAAGGUACUCUCCCACUUGAUGGGAUGGAGACCUACCUUGACUUACCCACAGCAACAAAGACUAGGAAUCGUACCGAGCACAACCAACAGCCUAUCCCGGCAUAGUAUAACCCGGGUCAGAGGCGCCGCUCACCCACUUUGCUUCACAGAUGAGGUCAUGCAACACCAUUUCCUCGAAGAGUUAAACCCCUAAACAUAGAACAAUACGACGGGACUACAUACCCCGCCGUGGGGACAGAAGAUUUCCUUCUUCACAUCCAUAUGGCAAGAGAUGACCUCCACGCCAUCAAGUACCUGCCCCUAAAGCUAAAAGGUCCAGCACGACACUAGUUAAACAACUUACCCAAAGAUUCUAUUAGAAGUUGGGAAGAGCUUGAGGAAGCCUUCCUGUCUAAUUUUCAGGGAACCUAUGUCCGACCGCCGGACUGCUCCGACUUGAGCAACUUCGUCCAAAAGACGGGUGAUAACCCACAAGUGUAGGGGAUCGCAACAAUUUUUGAGGGUAGAGUAUUCAAUCCAAAUUUAUUGAUUCGACACAAGGGGAAGCAAAAGAAUAUUCUCAAGUAUUAGCAGCUGAGUUUGUCAAUUUCAACCACACCUGAAAGAUUAGUGUCUGCAAGCAAAGUAUCAGUAGCAAAGUGGUAUGAUAGCAACGGUGUCACAAAAGGACCUGUUGGCGGCAGACUGUUCCUAACUUGUUGUAUCAAUGGCGCCAGUAAACAACACAUUGACGGGGAACUAUUCUUGAGAAUAAUGCUUCCCCGGCUAUGGCUCCAGAAAAGUCUUGCAACAGGUAACAUCAAAGUUGCAAGUAACAGCAGUAGUGACAGCAGCACCAAGGAACAACAGUAGUGACAGCAGCAGCAAGUAACAGCAGUAGUGACAACAGUAGCAGCAAAGUAACAUAGAAAGAACCAGUAGUAAAAGACUUGUAGGCAGUGGAUCGGUGAUGGAUGAGUAUGCCGGAUGUGAUUCAUCAUGUAACAGCUAUAACACGGCGAGAUAAGUAACUAGCUCCCGUACGUCAAUCUAAUGUAGGCAUGUAUUCUGUAUGUAGUCAUACGUGCUUAGGGAAAAGAACUUGCAUGACAUCUAUUGUCCAUUCCUCCCGUGGCAGCAGGGUCCUAAUGGAAACUACGGGAUAUUAAGGUUCUCCUUUUAAUAAAGAACCGGACCAACGCAUUAACACUUGGUGAAUACAUGAACUCCUCAUACUAUGGUCAUCUCCGGGAGUGGUUCCGGCUAUUGUCACUCCGGGGUUGCCGGGUCAUAACACAUAGUAGGUGACUACAACUUGCAAGAUAGGAUCUAAAACACACAUAUAUUGGCGACAACAUAAUAGAUUCAGAUCUGAAAUCAUGGCACUCGGGCCCUAGUGACAAGCAUUAAGCAUGGCAAAGUAGUAGCAACAUCAAUCUCAGAACAUAGUGGAUACCAGGGAUCAAUCCCCGUCAAAACUAACUCGAUUACAUGAUAGAUCUCAUCCAACUCAUCACCGUCCAGCAAGCCUACGAUGAGAUUAUUUACGAACGGUGAAGAACAUCAUGGAAUUGUCGAUGGAGGAAGUUUGAUGAUGACGAUGGGGACGAUUUCCCCCCUCCGAAGCCUAGAACGGACUCCAGAUCUCCCCUCCAUAUGAAGAAUAGAAGGUGGCGGCGCCUCCGCAUCGUAAAACGCGAUGAAUCCUUCUCUCUGAUUUUUUCCGGGCGAGACGGAAUAAAUAGAGCUGAGUUUGGAGGCGGUGGCGCCACGUGGGCCCCACAAGCCCUCAUGGCGCGACCUUGGGGGGGGGGGUGGCCGCGGCUUGUGGGCUUGUGGCCCACUGGCCCACCUCCUUCGGUGGAUCUUUGUGCAGGUAUUUUUCAUUAAUUCCAAAAAAAUUCUCCGUCAAUUUUCAGGACAUUCUGAGAACUUUUAUUUCUGCGCAAAAACAACACCAUGGCAAUUCUGCUGAAAACAGCGUUAGUCCGGGUUAGUUCCAUUCAAAUCAUGCAAAUUAGAUUCCAAAACAAGGGCAAAAGAGUUCGGAAAAGUAGAUACGACGGAGACGUAUCAACUCCCCCAAGCUUAAACCCUUGCUUGUCCUCAAGCAAUUCAGUUGACAAACUGAAAGAGACAAAAGAAAAACUUUGACGAACUAUGUUUGAUCUUGUUGUUGCAACUAUGUCUAACUCAUAACCAGAAUUUCAGCAAGAUCACAAAUGAACCACAUAAGCAAAUGACAUCUAGGUCUCACGGUAAACUCAUAUCAAUGGCAUAAUUAACUAGCGAGCAAAUAAUAAUAAGCCUCAAAUGUCAACACUUCAAUGAAAACAACAUGAAGCAGUACGAAUAGAUGGUAUCUCGCUUGCUCUUUCUGAGACCGCAAAACAUAAAUGCAGAGCACCUUCAAAGAUCAAGGGCUGACUAAACAUUGUAAUUCAAGGCAAUGAAGAUCCAGUCACAGUCAUACUCAACAUAGUUAAAAGCAAACCAUAAAAAUGACAGAGGUGCUCUCUAAUUGGUGCUUUUGUAAGAGGAGGAUGACUCAAUAGGAACAUAAAUAGACAGGCCCUUCGCAGAGAGAAACAUUGAUUUGCAGAGGUGCCAGAGCUCAAGCUUUGAAAACAGAGAUAAUAGUUUUCGGUGGCAUGCUUUCAUUGUCAACGCAAUGACUUAGAGUUCUCAACAUCUUCCACGCUACACAUGCUAUAGGCGGUUCCCAAACAGAAAAGUAAAGUUUUUAUUCCCCCACCACCAAUCAAUCACACUCCACGGCUAGCCGAAUCCUCGGGUACCGUCCAUACCAACAUCAAUCCUGGGGGAGUUUUGUUUGUAAUUAUCUUUUCGAUUUGAGCAUGGAACUGGGAAUUCCAAUUACCGGCCCCUUUCUCGUGAAUGAUAGUGAAUAAACACAUAUCGAGGAUAACACGCCUAGCAUGGAAGAUACUAAUAGCCCCGUGUCACCACAUGAGCGGUUCGGGCAUGCAAAACAGAUUAUUUCUUGAAGGUUUAGAGAGUGGCACAUGCAAAUUUACUUGGAACGGCAGGUAGAUACCGCACAUAGGUAGGUAUGGUGGACUCAUAUGUCAGAACUUUGGGUUUAUGGAGGUGGAUGCACAAGCAGUAUUCCCGCUUAGUACAAGUGAAGGCUAGCAAAAGACUGGGAAGCGACCAACUAGAGAGCGACAACAGUCAUCAAAAUGCAAUGAGAUUAACUAACAUUGAGUGCAAGCAUGAGUAGGACAUAAAUCACCAUGAACAUGAAUAUCAUAGAGGCUAUGUUGAUUUUGUUUCAACUAGAUGCGUAAACAUGCGCCAAGUCAAGCCACUUGAAUCAUUCAAAGGAGGAUACCAUCCUAUCAUACUACAUCAUAGUCAUCUCAACAUUCAUGUGGGCAUCCAAGACAAACCAUUAUAAGCUCCUAGCUAAGUAAGCAUGGCAUAAGCAACUAUGAUUUCUAAGUUGUCAUUGCAAAGAUGUUUCUCUCACAACAAAGCUGAAUCAGGCAUGAUGAGCUAGUCAUAUUUACAAAAACAAAAUAGAUCGAGUUCAUACCAGCUUUUCCAGGCUCAGUCACUUCAUCAUAUAUCGUCAUUAUUGCCUUUCACUUGCACGACCAAACAAUGUGAACAAUAAUAAGCGUGCUCGUGCAUUGGCUAAAGCUGGAAUCUGCAGGAAAACACACAAAGGAGAAGACAAAGUAAUAUGGCUCUUUGAAAGCUAAACAGGUAUGCAUGCAAGAGCCACUAAACAUUGUAACCAAUAUCUUAUACCUUGACCCAAAGAAAAAGAAAACUAUCUACACGGGAAAGCUCCCAACAAGCAAAAGAAGAAAAAGAAAAUCUUUUUGUUCUUUCUCAAACUAGACAGACACACGAAAAGAAAACUAGAAAAAGAAAUAAACUAGCAUGGAUGAUACAUUGGCAAAGUGUGAACACCGACGAACAAAGUGACAUCAUAAGCAAGAAUGUAAAGUCGGUGAGAACACGUACUCCCCCAAGCUUAGGCUUUUGGCCUAAGUUGGUCUACUCCCAAGGAUGGUCUUGGCGAAACCCAAAAUCAUAAUGGGGGUUAUACGGGAGCGCUGCAGCCACUGCCUGAAUAGCUGCCUCACGGAGACGAGCAGCCUUUGACUCCCUCUCAUACUCCUCUGCCUCUCCUCUGGUUAUGUAAUAUCUUCGUUUUACCUGAAAGUCAAAGAAGGCAGGAGCAGGAAGGGUAAUAUGGAAAACACGCUGCCGGUUAAAUAUCAAAUGGUAUAGGAGGGAUUCGUCAUCCCUCUCAAGGAACUGGUAGCGUGUCAAAGCGACGCGGUCAAGGAAAGCUGUAUGGAGCGGGGGAUCUCCUUCGCGGAUGGGUACUCCAAGAAAAUUUUCUAUGCGAGUGGCAUAGAUCCCACCAAAGAAAUCCCCUUCAUUAGCAUUGUUAUUCAGCCUCCUUGCUAUUAUAGCUCCCAUGUUGAAACUCUUUUCACCCGUCACUAUGCUCUUAAGGAUACUAAGGUCGGGUGCGCAGAGGUGACAAUGCUCAAUCUUGCCAUUAAUGCAUCUGCCUAUGAAGAGGGCAAAGUAAUGCAAGGCAGGAAAAUGAAUACUCCCCAUGGUAGCUUGCGUAAUGUCUCUAGUUUCUCCAACAGUAAUACCAGAGCAAAAAUCUCUAACCGAAGAUUUAGGAGGAUCAUUGAGGCUACCCCAAAUAGGUAUUUUUCAAAUUCUAUUGAAAUCCUCUAAAUCCGUGGUAUACGAUUUAUCAUAGAGAUCAAACAGUACCGAUGUCUCACGGCCAGCUGAAAAUUUGAAUCUACGAGCAAAAGAGGCAGUGAGAGCAACAUACUGUUCANNNNNNNNNNNNNNNNNNNNNNNNNNNNNNNNNNNNNNNNNNNNNNNNNNNNNNNNNNNNNNNNNNNNNNNNNNNNNNNNNNNNNNNNNNNNNNNNNNNNGCCACCGCCUCCAAACUCAGCUCUAUUUAUUCCGUCUCGCCCGGAAAAAAUCAGAGAGAAGGAUUCAUCGCGUUUUACGAUGCGGAGGCGCCGCCACCUUCUAUUCUUCAUAUGGAGGGGAGAUCUGGAGUCCGUUCUAGGCUUCGGAGGGGGGAAAUCGUCCCCAUCGUCAUCAUCAAACUUCCUCCAUCGACAAUUCCAUGAUGUUCUUCACCGUUCGUAAAUAAUCUCAUCGUAGGCUUGCUGGACGGUGAUGAGUUGGAUGAGAUCUAUCAUGUAAUCGAGUUAGUUUUGACGGGGAUUGAUCCCUGGUAUCCACUAUGUUCUGAGAUUGAUGUUGCUACUACUUUGCCAUGCUUAAUGCUUGUCACUAGGGCCCGAGUGCCAUGAUUUCAGAUCUGAAUCUAUUAUGUUGUCGCCAAUAUAUGUGUGUUUUAGAUCCUAUCUUGCAAGUUGUAGUUACCUACUAUGUGUUAUGACCUGGCAACCCCGGAGUGACAAUAACCGGAACCACUCCCGGUGAUGAUCAUAGUUUGAGGAGUUCAUGUGUUCACCAAGUGCUAAUGCGUUGUUCCUGUUCUUUAUUAAAAGGAGAACCUUAAUAUCCUGUAGUAUCCUUUUGGACCCUGCUGCCACGGGAGGGAUGGACAAUAGAUGUCAUGCAAGUACUUUUCCCUAAGCACGUAUGACUACACAUGGAAUGCAUGCCUACAUCACAUUGACGAACAUGAGCUAGCCACAUAUAUCUCCGUGUUAUAACUGUUGCAUGAUGAAUAUCAUCCAAACGAAUCACCGACCCAUUGCCUACGAGUUUGCUCUGCUGCUACUGCUGUUACUUGUCUUGCUCUGCAACUACUGCUGUUACUACUGUCGCUUGCUACUGUUGCUACUUGCUACCGCUGUCACUACUGAUGUUCCUUGCCACUGCUGUUACUAGUUACACUGCUGCUACCUUUUACAAUUUUGAUACGCUGGUCGUUGACGGGAACAGACAAUUUCCGUCAUAGGGCAACUUCUGACGCCAUUGAUACAACCGUUAGGAAUAGUCCGCCGUCAAUAGAUUGUUUCUGACACCGUUGUUAUCAUACUACUUUGCUGCUAACUCUUUGCUUGGAGAUACUAAUCUUUCAAGUGUGGUUGAAUCUGAUAAAUUCAGCUGCUAAUACUCGAGAGUAUCCUCUCACCUCCUUUUGGCGUAUCAACAAUUUUGGGUCGAAUACUCUACCCUCAAAAACUGCUGCGAUCCCACGCGCUGGUGGGCUGUCAACAACAUUCUUCUAGUUUCGAUUGCCGGAGAGUGCUAGCAGCAUUCUUCUGGUGCCGUUGCAGGGGAAUGUCUGUUGUCACGGAGUCAGCAUUUUUUCUGGCGCCGUCGCCGGGGAGGUAUUGCUAUAUUCUCUGAGUCACUUGGGAUUUAUAUCUGCUGAUCACUAUGAAGAAUCUGAAGGAUCCAAAGACCAAAGUCUUGCCCUCAACUACGAGGGGAGGUAAGGAACUGCCAUCUAGCUGUGCACUUGAUUCACCUUCAGUUAUGAGUAAGUUUGCCACAUCACCUCCUGCUAGAAAUCUUGGUAUGUCGCCUGUGAUUGAUGAUGCUUAUGAUGCUACUGCUAGAGAUACUAUGCUUGAUACUAUGCCUGAUGAUGCUAUCCUUGAUACUAUGCCUGAUGCUAUGCCUGAUACUACUUUGCCUGAUGAUUCUAGAGAUGCUAUUUUGCCUGAUGAUGCUAUGCUUGAUACUGCUAGUGAUACUACUUUGCCUGAUGUGCCACUAGGGGUAUUCCUUGAUGCUCAUAUUGCUAGAGUUACUGCCAAUGCUCGUGAUGCUUCUGAAACUGCCGAUACUAUUGAGAUAGAACCUGCUUUUGCUCCUGCUAGAUCUAGCUCUCCUAGAUAUGAAUUGCCUGAUAUACCAGAGGGUUACGUUAUGGAGGGAGAGAUAGCUGAGGAUUUUCUUGCGUGUAAGGAUGCCUAUGACGCUAAGAAAUUACUUCUCAAGUGGAAGGAAAAAUCUCUGAAAGCUAGGAUGAAAUAUGACCCGAAGUUUGCCACUUCACCUAUCUUCAUCACCAAUAAGGAUUAUGAAUUCUCUGUCGACCCUGAGAUAAUCUCUCUAGUCGAAUCUGAUCCUUUCCACAGUUAUGAGUCUGAGACGGUCGUAGCCCAUCUUACCAAACUACACGAUAUAGCCACCCUUUUCACUAGUGAGGAGAAGAUCCGCCACUACUAUAUCCUUAAGCUGUUUCCUUUCUCUCUAAAGGAUGACGCUAAAGCCUGGUUCACUUCUCUUGCUCUUGGAUGUGUGAGUUGUCCCCAGGAUAUGAUCUAUUACUUCUGUGAGAAAUAUUUCCCUGCCCAUAAGAAGCAAGCUGCCUUGCAGGAAAUAUACAACUUUGCUCAACUCCAAGAAGAGAGUCUCCCACAAGCUUGGGGGAGGCUCGUCCAGCUAUAGAAUGCUUUGCCUGAUCACCCUCUUAAGAAGAACAAGAUACUUGAUAUCUUCGAUAACAGACUUAUCGAUGCUUCUAGAGACCACCUAGAUAGUUGUGCGGGUUGUGUUUUUAGGGAACGAACUGUAGAACAAACUGAGACUCUACUGAAUAACAUCUUGAUCAACGAUAAUGCUUGGACUAUUCCCGAACCACCUCCUAAGCCAACUCCAAAGAAAAGAGGUAUUCUAUUCCUCAGUCCCGAAGAUAUGCAAGAAGCCAAGAAAUCUAUGCAAGAGAAAGGCAUUAGAUCUGAAGAUGUCAAAAAUCUACCACCUAUCGAAGAGAUCCAUGGUCUCGAUAACCCGAUACAGGUAGUAGAAGUAAAUUCUCUACGUAUGUUUGAUGAGAGUGAUAUUCCUUUUGAUAAACCUGCUAGCCUAUGCUUUGAUGAAUUUGACAACUUUGUUGCCAAACAAUAGAGUUUGAAUGACUAUGUUAGCAGACAUUUGGAACAAAGUACUCGUAUGCUUGGUCACUUAAGUGCUUGUGUAGAAAGAAAUGUCAAUGAUCUGAAGCUUUUGAGUAAACAUGCCUCUAUGAUUACUACUCUGGUAGAACAGGUACUUAAAGCUCAGAAUGCUUGCUCAAUGAAUUAAAUGACAACUCUGUCAGAGUCAUUACUAGAGGAGGCAAAAUGACUCAGGAACCUUUGUAUCCGGAAGGUCAUCCUAAGAGAAUCGAUCAAGAUUCUCAAGGAAUUAAUGCAGAUGCACCCAGUCAUCCUAAGGUGAAGAAGAAGGAUGAUAGAAACCUGCAUGGUAGUUCACCAAAUACUGUCACACCUAAAGAACCAAAUGAUAUUUCUGCGUCUGAUGCAGAAACACAAUCUGGUGAUGAACAUGAACCUGGUGACAAUAUGGACAGUGAUGUUCAUAAUAAUGCUCAACCUAGCAAUGAUGAGGAUGUGGAGAUUGAACCUAUGGUUAAUCCUAAUAACCCACAACCUAAGAGAUAUGAUAAGAAUGACUUCACUGCUAGGAAGCAUGGUAAAGAAAGAGAGCCAUGGGUUAAGAGACCUAUGCCCUUUCCUCCUAAGCCAUCCAAGAAAAAGGAUGAGAAGGAUUUUGAGCGCUUUAUUGAAAUGAUAAGACCCGUCUUUCUGCAGAGGUGGUUACUUGAUAUGCUCAAAAUGUCUCCGUAUGCCAAGUACAUGAAAGAUAUCGUGACCAAUACACGGAAGAUACCAGAUCUGGAGAUCUCCACCAUGCUUGCCAAUUACACUUUCAAAGGUGGGACUCCUAAGAAACUUGGUGAUCCCGGAGUGCCCACUAUACCUUGCUCCAUUAAAGGAAACUACGUAAGAACUUCCUUAUGUGACCUUGGAGCUGGAGUUAGUGUUAUGCCUCUCUCUCUUUAUCGUAGACUUGAACUCGUAAGUUGACACCCACUGAAAUCUCUCUGCAAAUGGCCGACAAAUCAACUGCUUUCCCUGUCGGCAUUUGCGAGGAUGUUCCUGUUGUGGUUGCUAACACCACGAUCUUAACAGACUUUGUUAUCUUGGAUAUUCCCGAGGACAAUGCCAUGGCUGUCAUCCUCGAAAGACCCUUUUUAAACACUACAGGGGCUGUUAUAGAUUGCAACAAAGGCAAUGUCACUUUCCAUGUCAAUGGUAAUGAGCAUAUCGUGCACUUUCCGAAGAAACGAUAUCAAGUACAUUGCAUCAAUUCUAUCGAAAAAACUUCAUCGAUUCUUAUUGGGAGAUUUGAAUGCCCUAUUCCUCGUGUCAAGAUGAAGUAUGAUAUGCUUGUUGGGGAGAUUCACAUCCCCAUUGAGGUGACUUAGUGGCUAUUCGGAAAUUCUCCGUUCUCUCUUGCGAUUCGAGAAAAGGUUUGUCAUAAGGAUUUGAUCAACCCCAUUGACGGAUUUCUUUCGAUGACCAUGAAAUGGAUGAACCAAAGAGUCGCAUACCUCUGUUCCAAACUUUCACUUUAGGUUGCUUAGAAUAAAAAUGAUANNNNNNNNNNNNNNNNNNNNNNNNNNNNNNNNNNNNNNNNNNNNNNNNNNNNNNNNNNNNNNNNNNNNNNNNNNNNNNNNNNNNNNNNNNNNNNNNNNNNGGUCUUCAGCCUAUAUAUUCCCUAAAAUCCCAGAAAAAAUCAAGAGAUCAUCGAAAAUACUUUUCCGCCGCCGCAAGCUUGUCUCCGCAAGAUCCCAUCUGGGGCACGUUCUGGUGACCCGCCGGAGGGGGGAUUCGGAUACGGAGGGCUUCUUCAUCAACACCAUGACCUCUCCGAUGAUCCAUGAGUAGUUCACCAUAGACCUACGGGUCCAUAGCUAGUAGCUAGAUGUCUUCUUCUCUCUCUUGGAUCUUCAAUACAAAGUUCUCCAUGAUCUUCANNNNNNNNNNUAUAGACCUACGGGUCCAUAGCUAGUACCUAGAUGGCUUCUUCUCUCUCUUGGAUCUUCAAUACAAAGUUCUCCAUGAUCUUCAUGGAGAUCUAUUCGAUGUAAUCUUCUUUUGCGGUGUGUUUGUCGAGAUCCGAUGAAUUGUGGAUCUAUGAUCAGAUUAUCUAUGAAUCUUAUUUGAGUUUCUUCUGAUCUCUCUUAUGCANNNNNNNNNNCAUAGACCUAUGGGUCAAUAGCUAGUAACUACAUGGCUUCUUCUCUCUCUUGGAUCUUCAAUACAAAGUUCUCCAUGAUCUUCAUGGAGAUCUAUUCGAUGUAAUCUUCUUUUGCAAUGUGUUUGUCGAGAUCCGAUGAAUUGUGGAUUUAUGAUGAGAUUAUCUAUGAAUCUUAUUUGAGUUUCUUCUGAUCUCUCUUAUGCAUGAUUUCAUAUCCUUGUAAUUCUCUUCGAGUUGUGGGUUUUGUUUGGCCAACUAGAUCUAUGAUACUUGCAAUGGGAUAAGUGCUUGGUUUUGGGUUCAUACCAUGUGGUGGCCUCACCCAGUGACAGAAGGGGUAGCGAGGCACGCAUCGUGUUGUUGCCAUCAAGGGUAAAAAGAUGGGGUUUUCAUCAUUGGNNNNNNNNNNNNNNNNNNNNNNNNNNNNNNNNNNNNNNNNNNNNNNNNNNNNNNNNNNNNNNNNNNNNNNNNNNNNNNNNNNNNNNNNNNNNNNNNNNNNCCUUAAGCAAGAUGACAUGAUGUAGAGGGAUAAUCUCAAACCAAUGAUAAAAACCUCAUCUUUUUACCCUUGAUGGCAACUACUUGAUGUCUGCCUUGCUGCCCCUACUGUCACUGGGAAAGUUCACCACAUGGUAGAACCCAAAACCAAGCACUUCUCCCAUUGCAAGAAUCAUAGAUCUAGUUGGCCAAAGAAAACCCAAGAUUCGGAGAUACUUACAAGGAUAUCAAAUCAUGCAUAUAAGAAAUCAGCAAAGAGUCAAAUAUAUAUCAUAGAUAAUCUGAUCACAAAUCCACAAUUCAUCGGAUCUCGACAAACACACCGCCAAAGAAGAUUACAUCGGAUAGAUCUCCAUGAAGAUCAUGGAGAACGUUAUAUUGAAGAUCCAAGAGAGAGAAGAAGCCAUCUAGCUACUAACUAUGAACCAGUAGGUCUGAAAUUUAUAGGCCAAAGACCUAGGUCAGGGGGCGGCCAGGGAGGCCACAAGCCUGCCCACCACCGCCUCCCCCCUGGUGGCGGAGUGGGGGCUUGUGGGCUCCCUGGAGCCCACCUGGCUUGGCCCAAAAGCCCCCUGGUCUUCUUCCGUUCGGGAAAAAAAUCAUUUCAGGGUUUUAUUAGUAAUUGAAAAGAGUCAAAAACACGGAAAAAACACGAACUCGCACUUGGCACUGAAUUAAUAAGUUAGUCCCAAAAAAGAUAUAAAAGGUACAUAAAACAACCAAAGAAGACAAGAUAACAGCGUGAAACCAUCAAAAAUUAUUGAUACGUCUGAGACGUAUCAAGCAUCCCCAAGCUUAACUCCUGCUCGUCCUCGAGUAGGGAAGUGAUAAGAAUGAAUUUUUGAUGCUUUCAUGCUAACUAGCAUAGGUGUCCUUUGUAAUUCCUCUUAUGUGACCUGAAUGUUCAGAUCCAUUAGAUUCAAAACAAUAGUUUGUUGUUGACGUGGAAACAAUAAUAAUUCAAGCAAACUAGCAAGGUAAUCAUGGACUUUCAAAAUAACAAGGCCAAAAUAAAGUUAUCCCUACAAAAGCAUAUAGUCUGGCUAUGCUCUAUCAUCAUUGCACAACGAAUUUAAAUCAUGCACAACCCCGGUAUUGGCCAAGUAAUUGUUUCACAUCUUUACUUUCUCAAACAUUUUCAACUCUCACGCAAUACAUGAGCGUGAGCCAUGGUUAUAGCACUAUAGAUGGUGCUUAAUAUGCACAAGUGUGGAAAAGGUGGUAGCAUUGUCCCUUCUCUCUUUUUCUCUCAUUUUUUAUUUAUUUAUUUUGGUGGGCUCUUUGGCCUAUUUUAUAUGGGCUUCUUUGGCCUCUUUUAUUUCCUCACAUGGGACAAUGCUCCAUUAAUGAUGAUCAUCACACUUUCAACUCAAAACUUAGAGCAAUUAUGACUCUAUAUGGAAUGCCUUCGGUAGUGUACCGUGGCAAUGAUCUAGCAUGGCAUAGACAUCAAUGGAAACAUCAUGCUAGCUAUCUUAAGAUCAUGCAAAGGCAAAGUAGACGUAGUGGCACAUGUCAUGGUGGUAGUUGCAUGGCAAUAUAUCUCGGAGUGACUUUGAAAAAGCCAUAGUAGGUAGGUAUGGUGGCUGUUUUGAGGGAGGCUAAUGGUGGGUUUUGUGUACCGGCGAAAGUUGCACGACACUAAGAAGAUAGUGAUGGUGGAAGGUAAAAGUGCAUCUAAACCAUGGACUCGACAUUAGUCGUGAAGAACUCAUAUACUUGUUACAAAAGUUUUAUUAGUAAUUGAAACAAAGCAUUCAACGCAUACUCCUAGGGGAAGGGUUGGUAGGUAUAAACCAUCACGCGAUCCCAACCGCCACGCAAAGGAUGACAAUCAAUAUACUAAUCAUGCUCAGAUUUCAUCACAUAGCGGUUCACCAUACGUGCAUGCUACGGGAAUCACUAACUUCAACACAAGUAUUUCUAGAUCCACAACACCUUACUAGCAUGACUUCAAUAUUACCAUAACCACAACUCAAAACUAAUUUAGAUGAAUCAAACUUCUCUAACUAUUCAAUGCACAUGAAGGUGGAAGUUUGCGUAUCCCUUUGGAUAACUACCCCUUUUGAGACUACUUUCAAAGCAUAGAUCAACUACCAAGCCAUGCACCGCUGUGCUCUAAAAGAUAUAAGUGAAGCGCAUAGAGCAAAAGUAUCUAGCUCAAAUGAUAUAAGUGAAGCACAUGUGAGCUGAAUUAUCUACCAAAGAUAUAAGUGAAGCUCGACAAAAUCACGGUGUGUGCAUGUCUCUCUCUCUAGGUGUGCAGCAAGGAUGAUUGUGAGACAAAAAAAAUAAAAUACUCCUACGAUACAAGACGCUCCAAGCAAAAACACAUAACAUGUGGUGAAUAAAAAUAUAGCCCCAAGUAACGUUACCGAUGGAUUGAAGACGAGAGAGGGGAUGCCUUCCUGGGGCAUCCCCAAGCUUAGUAUUUUACGGCAUACUUGAAUCUCUUGGUGUGCCUUGGGCAUCCCCAAUCUUGAGUUCUUGCCACUCUUUAUCUCUUUGUCCAUAAGAACUUCACCCAAAACUUGAAAACUUCACAACACAAAACUUAAACAGAAACUUNNNNNNNNNNGCAAACCACCACUUCCUUAGGUACUGUAGCAAACUUAAAUUCUACUUAUGCUGAUGUUGGGUUACAGUAAUUUAAAUCUUCCAUGGCUAAUACCCCCCGGUACUAUCCAUAGUUUCAUCAAAAUAAGCAACCAACACAACAAAAACAGAAUCUGUUAACAGCAGACCAGUCUGUAGCAAUCUGUAUACUUAGUAUACCUCUCGUACUUCAAAAAUUCUGAAAAAUUAUGACAGUCUGAAGAAUUUGCAUAGCAAUCAGCAGCUAAAAGAAUCAACUCAAAAGCUUUUACAGAAAAAAAAACGAAAAUUCUUUUCGUGAGCAGAAAGUUUAUGUCUUUUCCAGCAUGACCAAACGAUCAUCCCCAAGACUAAUCAUAACGGUUUUGCUUGGCACAAACGCAAAAAGAAACACAAAAAACACAAUCAUAACAGAAUUAUGAAAGUGUGGAAAACACAAAACAGAAAUAAAAAUGAUAGAUUAGUUGGGUUGCCUCCCAACAAGCGCUUUUGUUUAACGCCCUUAGCUAGGCGAAAGUGAUGGAAUCACGUAUAGUCAUCGUUGGUGCUCAAACCAUAAGUAGCCCUCAUCAUAGAUUCAUAAGGCAAUCUUAUUUUCUUUCUAGGAAAGUGCUCCAUGCCCUUCUUUAAAGGAAAUUGAAAUCUAAUAUUCCCUUCCUUCAUAUCGAUGAUAGCACCAAUAGUCCUUAGGAAAGGUCUACCAAGAAUAAUGGGACAUGAAGGAUUGCAAUCUAUAUCAAGUACAAUGAAAUCCACGGGUACAUGGUUCUUAUUUGCAACAAUAAGAACAUCAUCGAUCCUCCCCAUGGGUUUCUUGACAGUAGAAUCCGCAAGAUGCUAAUUAAGAGAACACUCUUCAAUCUCAUGAAAACCAAGAAUAUCACAUAAAGACUUUGGAAUCGCGGAAACACUAGCACCCAAAUCACACAAAGCAUUGCACUCAUAGUUUUUGAUCUUGAUUUUGAUAGUAGUUUCCCACUCAUCAUGAAGUUUUCUAGGUAUAGAGACUUCUAGUUCGAGCUUCUCUUCAAGAGAUUUCAUCAUAGCAUCUACGAUAUGCGCGAUAAAGGCUUUGCUUUGGCUAUAAGCAUGUGGAGAGUUUGCAAUGGAUUGCAUCAAAGAAAUGCAUUCAAACAAUGAGCAAUUAUCAUAAUUGAAUUCCUUGAAAUCCAAAGUGGGAGUUUCAUUACUACCCAAAUUUUUGACUUCUUCUACUCCACUCUCCACACCUUUAUCAUCAAGAUAGGUGGACUCCGAAUCAUUGGGGCAUUUUUCAACCAAAGUGGAUUCAUAUCCAGCCCCUCCAUAAGUAGGUUUGACACGCGAAAACAAAGAUUCAAGAGGAGACACACCAAGCACUUUAAGAUCUUCGUGAUUUGCAUCACUAGAACGCGCCCUUUUAAACCAUUCAUGUCUAGCGCGAAUUUGGGCGGUUCUUUCUUUGCUCUCGUUCAUGGAGAUACGCAUAGCUUUCAAAGUUUCAUCCAAGUUGAUAUUGGGAGGAGCACAUCUAACUUUCAAAGCAUCAAUAUCACAAGACAUCCUGUCAACGCUCUUAGCCAAAUCGUCUAUUUUGAGUAAUUUUUCCUCUAUGGACGCAUUGAAAAUCUUUUGAGAGUUGAUGAACUCUUUGAUAUUACUCUCUAGAUCAGAGGGUAAUUUGUUGUGAUUUCCAUAAGUGUUGUUGUAGGAACUGCCAUAAUUGUUAGAGGAGUUAAUAGGAAAAGGCCUAGGAACAUAGUUUCCUCUAAAAGCAUUGUUGUUGCCAAAAAUUUUCCUACCAACAAAAUUCACGUCCAAACUAGCGUUGCUACUCUCAAUCAAAGAAGAUAGUGGAUGUCAUUAGGAUCUACGCUAGCGUUUCUACUAGCAACCAAAUUCAUCAACUCGUCCAUCUUAGCACUAAGCGAGUUAAUCUCUUCUAUAGCGUGCACCUUUUUGCUAGCAGGCGACCUUUCAGUGUGCCACUGAGAGUAGUUGGUCAUGAUAUUGUCUAGGAGUUUUGUAGCGUCUCCUAACGUGAUUUCCAUGAACGUUCCACCUGAGGCGGAGUCCAAGAUAUUGCGAGAAGAGAAAUUCAAGCCAGCGUAAAAGAUUUGUAUAAUCAUCCACAAACUCAAGCCAUGAGCGGGACAAUUUCUAAUCAUAAGCUUCAUCCUCUCCCAAGAUUGUGCAACGUGUUCAUGAUCAAGUUGCUUGAAAUUCAUGCUAUCGUUACGUAAGGAGAUGAUCUUAGCCGGCGGAAAAUACUUGGAUAUGUAAGCAUCUUUGCAUCUAGCCCAAGAAUCGAUACUAUUUUUAGGCAAAGAAGAAAACCAAGUUUUUGCGCGAUCUUGCAACGAGAAAGGAAAAACUUUCAACUUAAUCACGUCAUUAUCCACAUCUCUUUUCUUUUGCAUAUCGCAAAGCUCAAUGAAGGUAUUGAGAUGGGAUGCGGCAUCUUCACUAGGAAGGCCAGAGAAUUGCUCUUUCAUAACAAGAUUCAGCAAAGCUGCGUUGUUUUCAUACGAUUCCGCACUAGUGGCCGGAGCAAUCGGAGUACUAAUAAAAUCAUUAUUAUUAGUGCUCGAGAAGUCGCAAAGUUUGGUGUUUUCAGACAUGAUGUCUUCAACAAACAAACAAGCACACAAGCAAGCAAGAAACCAGCAAAGGAAAAUGGCAAGGGCAAAAGAAAACGGCGAAGGAGAAAGGCGAAUGAAAACGGCAAAUGUGAAGUGGGGGAGAGGAAAACGAGAGGCAACUCGCAACAAAAGUAAAUGCAAGAGAAGAGUUUGUGAGACCUACUUGGAUAGAUCUUGGUUUCUCCUCCUCGGCAACGGCGCCAGAAAUACUUCUGCUACUGCAACAAAAGACCUUUCAAUGGCGCCAGAAAUAGGCACGUCGGCGGGAGAAUACUUGGCUUGAUCCUUCUGCUGCGGCUACGCCUUAAGGGACUUCCUAGGCAAGUAUGCAAAGGAUUUCCCCCGUGGCCUUGGAGCCUUACGUUGGUGUUCCAUCGAAGCGGAAAGGGUGAUGUAGCGUAGCGGUGGUAAGUACUUCCCUCAGUUUGAGAACCAAGGUAUCAAUCCAAUGGAGGAGUAUCUCAAGAUCCUGCACAAACACAAAAACUUGCUCCCAACGCUAUGAAGGGGUUGUCAAUCCCUUAUAGAUUGUUUGCCAAGUGAGAACUGAAAGCAACAAAGUAACAAAGCAAAGUAAAAGCGGAGGUGUAAACGAUGGAUGUGAAUAGACCUGGGGGUUGUAGUGUUUACUAGUGGCUUCUCUCAUGAAAGGAAGUAGACGGUGGGUGAACAAAUUACUGUCGAGAAAUUGAUAGAACCGCGCAAAGCCGUGACGAUAUCUAUGCAAUGAUUGUUUCUAUAGGCAUCACGUCCAAAACAAGUAGACCGAUACUUUCUGCAUCUACUACUAUUACUCCACACGNNNNNNNNNNCGGGGGCCGUAGUGUUUACUAGUGGCUUCUCUCAUGAAAGCAAGUAGACAGUGGGUGAACAAAUUACUGUCGAGCAAUUGAUAGAACCGUGCAAAGUCAUGACGAUAUCUAUGCAAUGAUUGUUUCUAUAGGCAUCACGUCCGAAACAAGUAGACCGAUACUUUCUGCAUCUACUACUAUUACUCCACACGUCGACCGCUAUCCAGCAUGCAUCUAGUGUAUUAAGUCCAUAAGAACAGAGUAACGCCUUAAGCAAGAUGACAUGAUGUAGAGGGAUAAUCUCAAACCAAUGAUAAAAACCCCAUAUUUUUACCCUUGAUGGCAACUACUUGAUGUGUGCCUUGCUGCCCCUAUUGUCACUGGGAAAGUUCACCACAUGGUAGAACCCAAAACCAAGCACUUNNNNNNNNNNNNNNNNNNNNNNNNNNNNNNNNNNNNNNNNNNNNNNNNNNNNNNNNNNNNNNNNNNNNNNNNNNNNNNNNNNNNNNNNNNNNNNNNNNNNCCUCGGCCCCCUCCUUCCCCACGCCGCAGCACCUCCACGCCCCAGCCCUCCCCUCGCUGGAGCCAGGCUCCAGUAGGAAAUCCUCCAUGCCGCCCCGGCCACUACCGCUCCUCCCUGCCCUAGCCAACGCCACCGAAGAAACCCCCAUCGUCACCGCAGCCUAUUUUCCCACCAAACACCCGAGCUCCUCGCCCCACGCCACCGCACCGCNNNNNNNNNNNNNNNNNNNNNNNNNNNNNNNNNNNNNNNNNNNNNNNNNNNNNNNNNNNNNNNNNNNNNNNNNNNNNNNNNNNNNNNNNNNNNNNNNNNNNNNNNNNNNNNNNNNNNNNNNNNNNNNNNNNNNNNNNNNNNNNNNNNNNNNNNNNNNNNNNNNNNNNGUCGACGACGCCGUUCGACGGAGGAGACCCGCCGCCACCUACCCAACACCUCAGACGCCGUCACCGACCACCGCCGCGACACCAACGACGAGCGCCUCUUCUCUGUCUUGCCUGAGAAGAAGCAGCCCCAGCAACUCACGGUGAGACCCCCCAUCUUUUCCUUAGCCGUUCGAUCGUGAGUAAACGGUAGAGAUUAGAUCACCCAUACCCUUUCGGACUUUUAAACAAAACCGGGCCGGUUUUUCAUUACUUAAUAUUAGCCGAANNNNNNNNNNCUCGCCGGAGUUCGGCCGGAUAGGAACUCCCCGGGCGCUUCCCCGACCGCCCCGACUCCCCUUCGCUUCACCGACGACGUCGUUCGACGGAGGAGACCCACCGCCACCUCCCCAACACCUCGGACACCGUCACCGACCACCGCCGCGACGCCAACGACGAGCACCUCUUCUCUGUCUCGCCUGAGAAGAAGCAGCCCCAGCAACUCACGGUGAGACCCCCCAUCUUUUCCUUAGCUGUUAGAUCGUGAGUAAAGGGUAGAGAUUAGAUCACCCAUACCCUUUCGGUCUUUUAAACAAAACCGGGCCGGUUUUUCAUUACUUAAUAUUAGCCGAAGAGGUUUCUGUUAAGUUUCGGACGUUUGUUAGAUUUCCCCGCAGCAAACACCCGUAGACCAACCAGAAGCUGCCACGUGUACCCCUAUCCGAUAGAAUUCAGAUUUUAAAUUUCUGUUUUAAUUCCAAAACAGAGAAAGUUCCAAUCUAGUUUUGAUCAUAGCUUUUGAUCUAUAGAUCCAAUUAGGUUGAUUCUUUUUCCAGUAGAUCACAAGUUUUCUGUAGUUUUUAAAAACAUAUAAUUUGUCUAUGUUUGAAAUUUUCAAAUUUGAAUUAGAUCAGAUUUAGUUUAAACCUUGUUUUGCUUAUUCUGGGAGUUUUAAAAUAGCUUUUAAUUUAAUUCUUUUUGCUGCUGAUCACUAGUGAUCUUAAUUAUCAGUGGUAAAAAUUUCAGAAUUGUUUGAGUAUUUUAGCUCAUUAUUUAUGGUGAAACACUUUCUGUUUCACUUCUUUUAAGAUUAUGGCUAUUUCCUUUUCUAUAAUUGUUUUUAAAUUAUUUUCUUUUAUAUUUCAGAAAGAUUAUGUUUUGUUUCUGUUAGUUAACAGUAGGUUUGCAACAAGUUUUGAUUUUUAUUUUAUGUGUUAUCAUGAAAUCAAUUCUAGUUCUCUAAUAACUUGUAAUUGGUUUCUCCACUGUUUCAAAUCCCGUUUGGAAAUAUUUUCAAAUNNNNNNNNNNAUUUGAGUAUUUUAGCAAAUUAGUUCUGGUGAAACACUUUAUGUUUCACUUCUUUUAGGAUUAUGGCUAUUUCCUUUUCUAUAAUUGUUUUUAAAUUAAUUUCUUUAAUAUUUCAGAAAGAUUAUGUUUUGUUUCUAUUAGUUAAUAGUAGGUUUGCAACAAGUUUUGAUUUUUAUUUUAUAUGUUAUCAUGAAAUCAAUUCUAGUUCUCUAAUAACUUGCAAUUGGUUUCUCCACUGUUUCAAAUCCCGUUUGGAAAUAUUUUCAAAUAGUAUUGUGAAAAAUGCUUUAUUUCAUCUUAGUUAAAUUUAUAUCUUAGAUCCCUGUUAUUAUUUUCUGUUGGACAAAAACUAUUUAGUGUUUGAUGUAGUAGANNNNNNNNNNUUUGUGAAAAAUACUUUAUUUCAUCUUAGUUAAAUUUAUAUCUUAGAUCCCUCUUAUUAUUUUCUGUUGGACAAAAACUAUUUAGUGUUUGAUGUAGUAGAAGACUCCCUAGUCUUAUUUGAAGUUUCCUUCGGAUUCUUAUUCACUCUCUUUUUUGUUCUGAUUGCUGGAAUGAUUGCUAGUAUGAGUGCUUAUGUGAAUGAUAUGUUUGUUAUAUAGAUUUCAUCGGAGAGUGACGAGUAGUCUAUCAAGUUAUUUCUUGAGAAAUUCUUCUCCAUCAACCUCACCAGGCAAGUCAUUUGAUCAUGUAUCACCUAUGUUUUAUGCAUCGUAGUUCUACCAUCCUAUGCCCNNNNNNNNNNNNNNNNNNNNNNNNNNNNNNNNNNNNNNNNNNNNNNNNNNNNNNNNNNNNNNNNNNNNNNNNNNNNNNNNNNNNNNNNNNNNNNNNNNNNCUACAGAGUACUCAAACCUAAUCGAGCCGUGUCCACGGUCAUGGACAACUUGAGCCAAAGGAACUGAAGUUAUCUGAAAUUCUCAACACAAAUAAUAAUAUUGAUGUGGGUAUUAUUGACAACAUGGGUACGAGAAUUGGUUGGUGGAACCAUCUUGGUAACAACCAACAAUGUAGUAACAUUUUGCUUUUAGCCCUCUCUUGAUGUAGGAGAAAACUUGCUUUUCGCUAAAAACUUAUAGCCCCACCUGCCAUAUAUGCAUAUAGUAUAGAUGAUUACUUUUCACCCCUCUCUUAUGUGACUUGCCGGCAUAUUCAAUAUGCUGACCUAUACGGCUGCAACGUCUUAUGUUGCAGAUAUUUUUCUUCGACGAGUAAGUGUAUGAUUCAGGGUUACUGUCUAUAUUUAACUUGUCGUUGAUGUUUAUUGGGACUCCACUCCCUUGACUGCUUCCGCUGAAAUAUUUAANNNNNNNNNNCGAUUCAGGGUUACGGUCUACACUCAACAUUCCGUUGGUGUUAUUUGGGACUCCACUCCCUUGACUGCUUCCGCUGAAAUAUUUAAGGUAUAUAUCAGUUUUACGCUAUUUACAUGUGAUUGCACUUUGAUAUAUACAUUGUUGUACUGUGUGUGCCAGCAUACUGAUCCAGGGAUGGCACAGAAACACAGAGGCUUGACUCGUUUUGAGUCGGGUCACUCCGUUGGUGUUUAUUGGGACUCCACUCCCUUGACUGCUUCCGCUGAAAUAUUUAAGGUAUAUAUUUAAGUUAUAUAUCAGUUCUACGCUAUUUACAUGUGAUUGCACUUUGAUAUAUACAUUGAUGUACUGNNNNNNNNNNCCAGCAUACUGAUCCAGGGAUGGCACAGAAACAUAGAGGCUUGACUCGUUUUGAGUCGGGUCGCUACAGAAAUGGUAUCAGAGCACAUGUUGACUGUAGGACGUGACCCUAGAAACUGGAAAUCUCUUAGGAAAGGAUCUCUCUAAAAUUUUAUUGCCAAGAACAUUCUUUACCUCUCAUCUCUUCUGACUUCAUCAAAUGUUCUCUCUCACCUCCAAUAGUUAGACAAUACCCUUACCCCUUUGACCUCAUGAAGAAUCAACGGAGUUCUACUUCAAAGUAAAGAGGAUUUCACCAUGCAUUUGAAGAAUUGAAGCUUCACCCAUUGAAGACUCUCAAGACCCGAAGAAUUCAAAGACCCUGAAGCAUUCGAAUAUUUAUAUGACCAUUAGAAGUCCAAACCCCUGCUAUAUACCCACGUUAGAUACGAUGAUUUGUGAUCCGUCAUUGGUGUGUGUUUUCCGACGGCCACAAAUAAAACCUAUUCUCAAAAAUAUUGUUUGUAUUGUGUGUAUCUCUCUCCCUCUCUUACCCGUCUCAUCCCCAAAACCUCAACCCUACUAGAUGGAGUAUGAAGCUGGACUUGUAGUCUCUGGACCAAUGACCCAGCUGGAGGCUGAUAUAUGGAUUCAAAACAUGGAGAACCACUUCGGGAGCAACUUGAUCUCAAUGAAGUAUGAAGUGGAACACGCUCUUCAGUACUUUACACAAAGUGCUGCAAUCUGGUGGAAAAUGCACCAUGCCAUACAAGGAUUUAGUGGAGCAGAAACUUGGGACGAAUUCAAGAACACUCUGUUAAGAUCCCGACUUAUUCAGAAGUGCUAUGAUAAUCCGAAGGAGAGGACUUGUGCAUGCAAGAUCUGUGGAGAAAUAGGACACACCCAGGAAGAACACAAGAAUGGAUGCACUCAUUGUGAAAAAAAUCACCCAGCUGAGGAGUGCCCAAGUAGUCAGGUGACUUGUUUCCUUUGUGAAGGAACCACCCACUACCCAGCUCAGUGUCACAUUUACCCCAAGGUGCAACAAGUUGUCAAGCAACAGAAAGAUGCAGUGAAGGAAACCCUCAAGAAGAAGAUUCUAGAAGAACCGGUGAUGAACAAAAAUAUUGAAGACCCUGAUGGACAAGGUCUGACCAGAUUUUUCUCCAAUGCAUGCUACUCAUGUGGAGAAGAAGGACAUUAUUCAUAGGAUUGCACGAAGGGAAGCCAAGAGUAUCUGGGAAACUUCCGGACGGAAAAAGUGGAGUUUGAUCCACUUGAAAUAGAAGAACUGGCCAAAAUAAAGGAGUCCGGAAAGAAGAAAAAGUACCCUCGGAAGAGCCAAAUCUCUGCAUACAUAGACCUGAGUCAUGUCAGAUGUUACAAGUGUAUGGAAUUUGGCCACCACAAAUACAUGUGCUCAGGAAGGAAGCCCGAAACCCAAGGAGCAAAAGCAAACACUAAGACGCCUCGAGACUGGUUAGAACUCAUUUGCUUUCGUUGCAAGGAAGCAGGACAUUUUGCUAGCGAUUGUCCACAAAGGAAGAAAGCUAAAAAGGAGUAGUUAAGUUUUGACCGCGGAAAUUAGUGUAAUCUGAAGAACUCUUGUUUUUCAUGAGAUCAUGGAGUGAAACUUUUUGUAACAGAAGUCCCUGAGAUUGUAAUAACAUCAUGAAUAAAUGGAAUUUAUUGUCUCAUGAUUGCCUAUGUUGAAACUGUAUGCGUUGUUUCCCUACGAGCAAAGAUCUGUGAACAAUUAUGAGGAUAUGAGAAAAUAUGGUCUAUGCAGCCAUGAGUAUAAUUCAUUUUAAGUGUGGUAGUAAUCGGUAAACCCACAGGAUCCACUGAGUAGGAAUGUGCCAUAACUACCAAGGAGACAUAUAUAUUCCUCUGAGUAACUAUUUACUGACACCUGCAGAUGACAACUCUCUACGAGUCAUUCCUCAAGGGCCCAGAAAUGAUCAUGACCCUGACCAGUGAUCAUGAUUACCCGAAAAUCCUGAAGGACAUGAUGAAGCACAUUCACCUUGUAGGAGAUGCAGUCUACAAAGGCUACCCAUUCAUGGAAAAUGGAGUGGAACUUUGGUACGUGGAAGUACACCUCCACCAUGUGAAAGGAGUUUGUCCAAAGACUAUGGGGCAAUACUUUUUCAUUUCACGUGUACCACGAGCAACCUUCUUUGAUGUUGUUCGUGAAGCUGCCAUGGAAGCCAUACAUCAGAUUGGAGAAAUACUUGAAGCAAGACUCCAUCAUACCCAGGAAUACCUGAGUGAGGUACGUGCGGAGAUGAUGGAGAUGAAGCUCAUGACCACCAUGAUGAAGCAAAAGAUGGAUGAUUUCAAGGAGCACAUUGGAAAUUUCAAGUGGAACUAAAGUACCUCCAAGAGAGACGAAUGAAUAAUGUUGGCAGAAAUGCUCGACCAUACCGAACAAUGUGGAUGGCAGCAUUUGUAAUAGAGUACUUUUGAAUUGGAGUUUUUGAUAAGAAAUUAAGGAUGUAAUAAAGGAUUGAUUAUGAAAUGAAUAUGAUUUAUGGAUGAACCAAUACCUUUUCAUGGUAAACACACCAAUGGAAAGUAUCCCGCAGAAUGGAGUGUGUACCAAAAAUAAGUCGCAGGACUAUUUUUAUGAUGGUUACCCCAAGAGCAUGAUGGAAUGAAACACUAUGGAAUUUAAAGGCAGAGUAAUUCCAAGUAUGCCUGAAACCCACAGACCCCGAGACUAAUAAGGAUCAAGUACUAUCUUUUUGGAGAAGGAAACUUAUUUCAGAGAACAUUUUCUUAGGAGCAUACGAAAACCUGAGAGUUGUAAAGAUACGAUAGAUGUUUUGUUCAGCUUGCAGAACCAAUGGAUUAUCCGAACUUCGUUCGUGGACAAGAGGAAUUCUGCAAUGCUUGUGAGGAUGCCCAAGUGUUAGAAUACGAGAUUCACUAAGCCUUAUACAAGGUAAUGAUUUCAGUGCGACAUGGCUUGGCCACCAUGAUGACUUACUAUCAUCAUUCUCUUGCUAUUCGGAAUGGUAAAUCUGGGAGACUUACCCAUAGUGAGAGACGACGUUCUUUGAAGCUUUUGUUUAAGCCUUAGAAUGGUAUGAUGAAAGCCCCAUGUACAUGGCACUUGUUGUCACGCGUAAGAAAUUUUACGGUGAGGAUGAAACCAAGACCUCUCUCUCUGCAGGAUAACCACAAAUAGUAGACCACCAUGAGAAUCAUCGAUAGGUUAUUUAGAGUUGACCGUGAGACUGUCAGUUAAUAAGACCCAGUAACGGAAGAAGCUUAUAUCAACAGUAGAACCCUCGAUUUUGAUGGAAAUGUUAUGAAUAUAACGAAAGAGCUUCACUAGAGGAGUUAGUAUGAAGGCUGUGAGGAGUCAGCUGCCAAAACCCCAGAGGAUCGUUAAAACAUUUUGAGGGACCAGUAAUCUUCAUUUUAAGUGUGGUAGCAUCCCAGUUUGCCGGAAGUUGGAUUUGUUAGAAGACCCCCAAACCCUAACCUUUAUUUCUAGCCCCUCCGAAUCUCGAGGACGAGAUUCAUUUUAAGUGUGGUAGGUUUGUAACAUCCCAAAUUUUGGAAUGUUAGAAUAAUUAUUAGAUUGUUUGNNNNNNNNNNNNNNNNNNNNNNNNNNNNNNNNNNNNNNNNNNNNNNNNNNNNNNNNNNNNNNNNNNNNNNNNNNNNNNNNNNNNNNNNNNNNNNNNNNNNAUGUGAUAUAUUGGAUGUAUGAGAUGAUCAUGUUGUAAUAGAAAAUAUCGACUUGCACGUCGAUGGUACGGCAACCGGCAGGAGCCAUAGGGUUGUCCUUAUAACUAACGUUUGUCCUUGCAGAUGCGUUUACUAUUUUGCUAGGAUGUAGCUUUAGUAGUAAUAGCAUGAGUAGCACGACAACCCUGAUGGCAACACGUUGAUGGAGAUCAUGAUGAUGGAGAUCAUGGUGUGACGCCGGUGACAAGAAGAUCGUGCCGGUGCUUUGGUGAUAGAGAUCAAGAAGCACAUGAUGAUGGCCAUAUCAUGUCACUUAUGAAUUGCAUGUGAUGUUAAUCCUUUUAUGCACCUUAUUUUGCUUAGAACGACGAUAGCAUUNCAACGGGUGCAAAAUAGUUGCGCACGCGGAACGGUCAAGUAGAAGGUCUUUCCUUUAUCUUUGAAGGAUAAUGCGUUGACAUGGUAUAGGCUAUGUGAUGAUACUGGAUCAUGGGACUACAAUCGGUUGAAAUUGGAAUUUCAUCAAAAGUUUUAUCCUAUGCAUUUAGUACAUCGUGAUCGGAAUUAUAUUUAUAAUUUUUGGCCUAUUGACAGAGAAAACAUCGCUCAAGCUUGGGGGAUGCUUAAAUCAAUGCUAUAUUCAUGCCCCAAUGUAACAUCCCAAAUUUUGGAAUGUUAAAAAUUAUUAGAUUGAUUGUUUGUNUCAACUAUAAAGAAUUUGAACGGAGUUUUUGCAUUUGAAUUCUUUCAAAUAUUUGCCCUUGCUUCUUUAUUUUUCUUCCCCGAGAAAUACCCUGAAAAAUAAAUUCUUGCCUGCAAGAAAGAGCAGAGGAAAAUGACCCUCCCAAAAUCAGGGGCAUUUUGGAAAUAUUUUGAGCCAAGAAAAUCAGAUGUUUAUUGAGAAAAUAAUUACAAAAGAAAAUAAAACAUUUAUGGGUUUUUCUGAAAAAAACAUUUUGAAAAAAGUUUUUAUUUUGGUCUUGGAAAAAUGAUAAACGAGUAGGAAAUUGUUUUCUGAAAAAUUUGGUAUAUAAUACCCCUAUUUUUGGUAUUUAUUUAUUUCCUUUUUAUAUUUAUUUACUUGCUAUUUUUGUAGAAGAUCAAAAUCGGGCAGUAUAUUUUUUUUAAAGGAAAGCGCCCUGGGCGCGUUAUAGCCUAGGCCCACCCAAUCCCCCUAAACCGACUGAAUCCCUUAGGANNNNNNNNNNNNNNNNNNNNNNNNNNNNNNNNNNNNNNNNNNNNNNNNNNNNNNNNNNNNNNNNNNNNNNNNNNNNNNNNNNNNNNNNNNNNNNNNNNNNCCUCCACCAAUCGCCGGAGGAGGAACCCCGCCAUCUCCCCGACCCCUCAGGCCUCGCCGGAGCGCCGCCCCCGACCUCCCUCCGCCUUGGCCUCGCCGGAGAUCCUCGCCGGAGCUCCUACCCCCUGUGAGCCUUCUCUCCUAACCCCCGUAGCCGUCGGAUCUUAAUUGUACGCGUAGGAUUAGAAACGAGGAUACCCUUUGGGUUUAGUCAGAAAAACCAAGACGUUUUUAUUUCACUUAACUUUAGCCGAGCUGUUUUAGUUACAUUGCGGCCAAUUGUUGGAUUAGCUACGCAGCUCACACACCUUAGCCAAUCAGAAGCUGCCACCUAACCCCUUGUUCGUUAGAUCAAUUUUCUUUUUAUCUGCUUUAGUUUAGAAACAGAGAGAGUUUCAGUUUUGGUUUCCCUAUAACUUUUAUUCUAGAGAUCCAAUGAGGUUGAUUCUUUUCUAGUAGAUCACAAUUUUCCUGUAGUUUUCAAAAACAUAUUAUUUGUCUAUGUUUGAAAUUUUCAAAUUUGAAUUAGAUCAGAUUUAGUUUAAACCUUGUUUUGCUUAUUCUGGGAGUUUAAAAAUAGCUUUUAAUUUGAUUCUUUUUGCUACUGAUCACUAGUGAUAUUAUUUAUAAGUAGGUUUAAUUUUAGAAUUUUUAGGAUAUUUGAACUUAGGGUUUUAAGCAAAACAGAUUCUGUUUUAGCUUUUUUUUUGUUUUCUUGCUAUUUCUUUUGUAUUAAUUGUUCUUAAUUUGUUUUUUUUUNUAUACUAACUUGUGAACUGAUUGCAUUGCUAGUUUGAUUCCUUAUUUUGAAAAUACUGAUAAAAUAUUAUUGUUUUGUAAAUUUUACUUCUGUUAUCUUAGUUAUUUUAUAUUUUGUUUUCUGUUAUUUUUUCUAUUUUAGUGUUUAAUUUUGUUGUUAAGUUUCAUUAGACAAAAACUAUUAAGUGUUUGAGGUAGUAGAAGACUCUAGUUUUAGUUGAAAUUUCUUUCGGAUUCUUAUUCGCUCUCUCCUUUGUUUUGAUUGCUAGAAUGAUUGCUAGUAUGAGUGCUUACAUGAAUGAUAUGGUUGUUAUAGAUUUCAUCAGAGAGUGACGAGUAGUCUAUCAAGUUAUUCCUCGUGAACGAAAUUCUUCUUCGUCAACAUCGCCAAGCAAGUCACUUUGAUCAUACUAUCACCUAUGAUUUUCUAUGCAUGGUAGUUCCACCUUCCUAUACCCAAUUGCAUUCUGAGUAGGUACUUGGAAAUUAUGGUUACAUAUUGUAGUAUCAUGUGGUAGGCACCCAACAACCCCGUUACUUGGCCCAGGACGACAAAUUUUAUAUUGCUAUGCUUGAGUAGACGGGAUUCUGGUUGAGAGUUUAUCACAAGUGAUGCGAGAACAAUUUAAUAACAGAGACCGGUUAAGUCAAGACUUUUCAAGACCUCGUGAUGCAAUGCAACUCUGGGUGAAGGACGGUUGAUCGGCUCCCUGGAGAAACCAGUGGAUGACCCGGGAUGCUGGAGACGUGCCAUGACAUCUUGCGGAAAGCUUCACCUAGGCUCAAAGAGAUGGACGGAUAUUUUCAAGACCCAAGGAUUACCUGCACAGCCACAAGUCAUUAUGGGCUCUGGCUUGGUUGGAAAACGCGACGACUCUGGACAGGCGGUGCUAGCAGAUGUAGAAGAACGGUAGGAUUGGAUGGGCACCGACAGGGAUUCAGAGGGACCCGUUGAAAGACCAUGUUUUGAUCAUCCGGUCUUCAAACACCCUGAAGUGCGAGGACGUACACGGAGGCAAUCAAAUCUUGUGGGGAACGUGUGCAAAACUCUGCAGAGUAAUCAAACCUAAUCGAUUAACCGUGUCCACGGUCAUGGACAACUUGAGCCAAAGGAACUGAAGUUAUCUGAAAUUCUCAACACAAUUAAUAAUAUUGAUGUGGGAAUUAUUGACAACUCGGGUAUGAGAACUGGUUGGCGGAACCAUCUCAUUAACAACCAACUACGUAGUAAUAUUUUGCUUUUAGCCCCUCUCUUGUUGUAGGAGAAAAUUUUCUUUACGCUAAAACUUACAACACCACCUGCCAUAUAUGCAUAAAGUAUAGAUGAUAUUUUACCCCCCUCUCAUAUGUGACUUGCGGGCAUAUUCAAUAUGCUGUCCUACAAGGCUGCAACGUCUUAUGUUGCAGAUAUUUUUCUUCGAUGAGUAAGAGUACGAAUUCAGGGUUACGAUCUACACUCAACUUGCCGUUGUUGUUUAUUGGGACUCCACUCCCUUGACUGCUUCCGCUGAGAUAUUUAAGGUAUAUAUAUAUAUCAGUUUUACGCUAUUUACAUGUGAUUGCACUUUGAUAUAUACAUUGAUGUACUGUGUAUGCCAGCAUACUGAUCCAGGGAUGGCACAGAUACACAGAGCCUUGACUCGUUUUGAGUCGGGUUGCUACAGAAAUGGUAUCAGAGCACAUGUUGACUGUAGGACGUGACCCUAGAAACUGGAAAUUUCUUAGGAAAGGAUCUCUCAAAAUUUCUAUUUUUCAAGAACACCUUUUACUUCUCAUCUCUUAUGAUUUCAUCAAACGUUCUCUCUCACCUCAAAUAGUUAGACAAUGCCCUUUCCCCUUUGACCACGUGAAGGAUCAACCGACUCCCCUUCAAAGUAAAGAGGACUUCACCAUGUAAUUGAAACUACACCAAUUGAAGACUCUCAAGACCCGAAGAAUUCGAAGACCCUGAAGCGUUCGAAUAUUUAUAUGGCCAUUAGAAGUCCAAACCCCAAUUAAAUACCCACGUUAGUUACGAUGAUUUGUGAGCCGUCAUUGGUGUGUGUUUUCCGACGGCCACAACUAAAACCUAUUCUCAAAAAUAUUGUUUGUAUUGUGUCUAUCUCCCUCUCUCUUACCCGUCUCAUCCCCAAAACCUCAACCCUACCAGAUGGAGUAUGAAGUUGGACUUGUAGUCUCUGGACCAAUGACCCAGCUGGAGGCUGGUAUAUGGAUUCAAAACAUGGAGAAACACUUCGGGAGCAACUUGAUCUCAAGGAAGUAUGAAGUGGAACAUGCUCUUCAGUACUUUACACAAAGUGCUGCAAUCUGGUGGAAAAUGCAUCAUGCCAUACAAGGAUGUAGUGGAGCAGAAACCUGGGUCGAAUUCAAGAACACUCUGUUAACAUCCCGUCUCAUUCGGAAGUGCUAUGAUAAUCCGAAGGAGAAGACUUGUGCAUGCAAGAUCUGUGGAGAAAUAGGACAUACCCAGGAAGAACACAAGCAUGGAUGCAGUCAUUGUGAAGAAAAUCACCCAACUGAGGAGUGCCCAAGCAGUUAGGUGACUUGUUAUCUUUGUGAAGGAACCACCCACUACCCAGCUUAGUGUCACAUUUACCCAAUGUGCAACAAGUUGUCAAGCAGCAGAAAGAUGCAGUGAAGGAAACCCUCAAGAAGAAGAUUCUAGAAGAACCGGUUAUGAACGAAAAUAUUGAAGACCCUGAUGGACAAGGUCUGACCAGAUUUUUCUCCAGUGCAUGCUACUCAUGUGGAGAAGAAGGACAUUAUUCACAGGAUUGCACGAAGGGAAGCCAAGAGUAUCUGGGAAACUUCCCGACGGAAAAUUUUGAUCCACUUGAAAUAGAAGAACUGGCCAAAAUAAAGGAGUCCGGAAAGAAGAAAAGGUACCCUCGGAAGAGCCAAAUCUGUGUAGAUAUAGACCUGUGUCAUGUCAGAUGUUACAAGUGUAUGGAAUUUGGCCACCACAAAUACAUGUGCUCAGGAAGGAAGCCGGAAUCCCAAGGAGCAAAAGCAAACACUAAGACGCCUUGAGACUUGUCAGAACUCAUUUGCUUUCGUUGCAAGGAAGCAGGACAUUUUGCUAACGAUUGUCCACAAAGGAAGAAAGCUAAAAAGGAGUAGUUAAGUUUUGACCGCGACAAUUAGUGUAAUAUGAAGAACUCUUGUUUUUCAUGAGAUCAUGGAGUGAAAUUUUUUUGUAACAGAAGUCCCUGAGAUUGUAAUAACAUCAUGAAUAAAUGGAAUUUAUUGUCUCAUGAUUGCCUAUGUUGAAACUGUAUGCGUUGUUUCUCUUUGAACAAAGAUCUCUGAACAAUUAUGAGGAUAUGAGAAAAUAUGGUCUAUGCAGGCAUGAGUAUAAUUCAUUUUUAAGUGUGGUAGUAAUCGGUAAACCCACAGUAUCCACUGAGUAGGAAUGUACCAUAAUUACCAAGGAGACACAUACAUUCCUCUGACUACCUAUUUACUGACACCUGCAGAUGACAACUCUCUACGAGUCAUUCCUCAAGGGCCCAGAAACGAUCAUGACCCUGACCAGUGAUCAUGAUUACCCGAAAAUCUUGAAGGACAUGAUGAAGCACAUUCAUCUUGAAGGAGAUGCAGUCUACAAAGGCUACCCAUUCAUGGAAAGUGGAGUAGAACUUUGGUAUGUGGAAGUACACCUCCACCAUGUGAAAGGAGUUUGUCCAAAGACUAUGGGGCAAUACUUUUUCAUUUCACGUGUACCACGAGCAACCUUCUUUGAUGCUGUUCGUGCAGCUGCCAUGGAAGCCAUAUGUCAGAUUGGAGAAAUACUUGAAGCAAGACUUCGUCAUACCCAGGAAUACCUGAGUGAGGUACGUGCGGAUAUGAUGGAGAUGAAGCUCAUGACCACCAUGAUGAAGCAAAAGAUGGAUCAUUUCAAGGAGCACAUUGGAAAGUUCUAGUGGAACUAAAAUAUCUCCAAGGGAGACAAAUGAAUAAUGUUGGCAGAAAUGCUCGACCAUACCGAACAAUGUGGAUGGCAACAUUUGUAAUAGAGUACUUUUGAAUUGGAGUUUUUGAUAAGAAAUUAAGGAUGUAAUAAAGGAUUGUUUAUGAAAUGAAUAUGAUUUAUGGAUGAACCAAUGCCUUUUCAUGGUAAACACACCAAUGGAAAGUAUCCCACAGAAUGGAGUGUGUACCAAAAAUAAGUCCGAGGAUUAUUACUAUAUGAUGAUUACCCCAAGAAUAUGAUGGAUUGAAACACUAUGGAAUUUAAAGGCGUAGUAAUCCCUAGUAUGUCCGCAACCCACAGACCCCGGGACUAAUACGGAUCUAGCACCACCUUUAUGAAGAAAUAAACUUGGAAGAAACUAUGAUGGAUCAGCAAAAGUUUUCUUAGGAACAUAUGAAAGCCAGAGAGUUGUGAAGAUACGAUAGAUGUUUUGUUCAGCUUGCAGAACCAAUGGAUUAUCCGAACUUCAUUCGUGGACAAGAGAAAUUCUGCAAUGCUUGUGAAGAUGCCCAAGUGUUAGAAUACGAGAUUCACUAAACCUUAUACAGAGAAAUGAUUUGGGUGCGGAAUGGAUUGAUAACCAUGACGAUUUACUCUUAUCAUUUAUCUUGCUAUUCGGAAUGGUAAAUCUGAGAGACUUACCCAUAGAGAGAGACGACGUCCUUUGAUGCUUUGGUUUAAAGCCUUAGAAUGGUAUGAUGAAAACCCAUGUACAUGGAAAUUUUUGCCACGCGUAGGAAAUUUUACGGUGAGAAUGAAACCAAGACCCCUCUCUCUGCAGGAUAACCACAAAUGGUAGACCACCAUGAGAAUCAUCGAUAGGUUAUUUAGAAUUGACCACGAGACUGUCAGUUAAGAAGACCGAGUAAAGGAAGAAGCUUAUAUCAACAGAAGAACCCUCGAUUUUGAUGGAAACGUUAUGAAUAUAACGAAAGAGCUUCACCAGAGGAGUUAGUAUGAAGACUGGGAAGAGUCAGAUGCCAAAACCCGAGAGGAUUUCUAAAUUUUGAGGGACCAGUAUCUCUCAUUUUAAGUGUGGUAGCAUCCCACCUUGCCGGAGGUUGGAUUUGUUAGAAGACCCCAAACCCUAACCUUUCUUUCUAGCACCUUCGAAUCUCGAGGACGAGAUUCAUUUUAAGUGUGGUAGGUUUGUAACAUCCCAAAUUUUGGAAUGUUAAUAAAAUUAUUAGAUAGAUUGUUUGUUUGUUUGAGUGAUUGAAACUUGAGUGAAAUUUGAAACUUUUCAAAACUUUUGAAUGAGAGGGAAUAAGAUGACUUUCCCCUUCUCCGUUAAAUUCAAAUUCAUCCAAUUAAAAGCAAUGAGAGAAGAUGACAUGACUUCUUCAACUAUAAAGAAUGUGAACGGAGUUUUUGCAUUUGAAUUCUUUCAAAUAUUUGCCCUUGCUUCUUUAUUUUUCUUCCCCGAGAAAUAUCCCGAAAAAUAAAUUCUUGCAAGCAAGAAAGAGCAGAGGAAAAUGACCCUCCCAAAAUCAGCGGCAUUUUGGAANCCCGAAAAAUAAAUUCUUGCAAGCAAGAAAGAGCAGAGGAAAAUGACCCUCCCAAAAUCAGCGGCAUUUUGGAAAUAUUUUGAGCCAAGAAAAUCAGAUCUUUAUUGAGAAAAUAAUUACAAAAGAAAAUAAAACCUUUAUGGGUUUUUGUGAAAAAAAACAUUUUGAAAAAAGUUUUUAUUUUGGUCUUGGAAAAAUGAUAAACGAGUAGGAAAUUAUUUUCUGAAAUUUUUGGUAUAUAAUACCCCUAUAUUUGGUAUUUAUUUAUUUCCUUUUUAUAUUUAUUUACUUGCUGUUUUUGAAAAAGAUCAAAAUCGGGCAGUAUAUUUUUUUUUAAAGGAAAGCACCCUCGGCGCGUUAUAGCCUCGGCCCACCCAAUCCCUCUCAACCGACCGNNNNNNNNNNNNNNNNNNNNNNNNNNNNNNNNNNNNNNNNNNNNNNNNNNNNNNNNNNNNNNNNNNNNNNNNNNNNNNNNNNNNNNNNNNNNNNNNNNNNGCUCCUACCCCUGUGAGCCUUCUCUCCUAACCCCCGUAGCCGUCGGAUCUUAAUUGUACGCGCAUGAUUAGAAACGAGGAUACCCUUUCGGUUUAGUCAGAAAAGCCAAAACGUUUUUAUUUCACUUAACUUUAGCCGAGCUGUUUUAGUUACAUUGCGGCCGUUUGUUGGAUUAGCUACGCAGCUCACACAACUUAGCCAAUCAGAAGCUGCCACCUAACCCCCUGUUCGUCAGGUCAAUUUUCUUUUUAUCUGUUUUAGUUUAGAAACUGAGAGAGUUUCAGUUUUGUUUUCGCUAUAACUUUUAUUCUAGAGAUCCAAUGAGGUUGAUUCUUUUUCCAGUAGAUCACAAGUUUCCUGUAGCUUUCAAAAACAUAUUAUUUGUCUAUGUUUGAAAUUUUCAAAUUUGAAUUAGAUCAGAUUUAGUUUAAACCUUGUUUUGCUUAUUCUGGGAGUUUAAAAAUAGCUUUUAAUUUGAUUCUUUUUGCUAUUGAUCACUAGUGAUAUUAUUUAUCAGUAGGUUUAAGUUCAGAAUUUUUAGGAUAUCUGAACUUAGGGUUUUAAGCAAAACAGAUUCUGUUUUAGCUUUUUUUGUUUUCUUGCUAUUUCUUUUGUAUUAGUUGUUCUUAAUUUGUUUUUUUUGUAAUUGUGACAAGUUAUAUUUUGUUUUCUGAUAUUUACCAGUAACUUUUCAACAACAACAAAAUUUUAUUUUACUUAUUCUUAUUUGUUUGUAUGGAAUCAAUUCUAGUUCUAUACUAACUUGCGAAUUGAUUGCAUUGCUAGUUUGAUUCCCUAUUUUGAAAAUACUUAUAAAAUAAUAUUUUUUUGUAAAUUUUACUUCUGUUAUCUUAGUUAUUUUAUAUUUUGUUUUCUGUUAUUUUUUCUAUUUUAGUGUCUAAUUUUGUUGUUAAGUUUCAUUAGACAAAAACUAUUAAGUGUUUGAGGUAGUAGAAGACUCUAGUUUUAGUUGAAAUUUCUUUCGGAUUCUUAUUCGCUCUCUCCUUUGUUUUGAUUGCUAGAAUGAUUGCCAGUAUGAGUGCUUACAUGAAUGAUAUGGUUGUUAUAGAUUUCAUCGGAGAGUGACGAGUAGUCUAUCAAGUUAUUCCUCGAGAACGGAAUUCUUCUUCGUCAACAUCGCCAGGCAGGUCACUUUGAUCAUACUAUCACCUAUGUUUUUCUAUACAUGGUAGUUCCACCUUCCUACACCCAAUUGCAUGCUGAGUAGGUACUUGGAAAUUAUGGUUACAUAUUGUAGUAUCAUGUGGUAGGCACCCAACAACCCCGUUACUUGGCCCGGGACGACAAAUUUCAUAUUGCUAUGCUUGAGUAGACGAGAUUCUGGUUGAGAGUUUAUCACGAGUGAUGCGAGAACAAUUUAAUAACCAAGACNGAUUCUGGUUGAGAGUUUAUCACGAGUGAUGCGAGAACAAUUUAAUAACCAAGACCGAUUAAGUCAAGACUUUUCAAGACCUCGUGAUGCAAUGCAACUCUGGGUGAAGGACGGUUGAUUGGCUCCCUGGAGAAACCAGUGGAUGACCCGCGAUGCUGGAGACGUGACAUGACAUCUUGCGGAAAGCUUCACCCAGGCUCAAAGAGACGGACGGAUAUUUUCAAGACCCAAGGCUUACCUGCACAGCCACAAGUCAUUAUAGGCUCUGGCUUGGUUGGACAACGCAGCGACUCUGGACAGGCGGUGCUAGCAGAUGUAGAAGAACGUAGGAUUGGAUGGGCACUGACAGGAAUUCAGAGGGACCCGUUGAAGGACCAUGUUUUGAUCAUCCGGUCUUCAAACACCCUGAAGUGAGAGGACAUACACGGAGGCGAUCAAAUCUUGUGGGGAACAUGUGCAAAACUCUGUAGAGUACUCAAACCUAAUCGAUUAGCCGUGUCCACGGUCAUGGACAACUUGAGCCAAAGGAACUGAAGUUAUCCGAAAUUCUCAACACAAUUAAUAAUAUUGAUGUGGGAAUUAUUGACAACUCGGGUAUGAGAACUGGUUGGCGGAACCAUAUCAUUAGCAACCAACUACGUAGUAAUAAUUUUCUUUUAGCCCCUCUCUUGUUGUAGGAGAAAAUUCGCUUUACGCUCAAACUUACAACGUAUAGUAUAGAUGAUAUUUUACCCCCCCCCCUCUCAUAUGUGACUUGCCGGCAUAUUCAAUAUGCUGACCUACACGGCUGCAACGUCUUAUGUUGCAGAUAUUUUUCUUCGACGAGUAAGAGUACGAAUUCAGGGUUACGGUCUACACUCAACUUGCCGUUGGUGUUUAUUGGGACUCCACUCCCUUGACUGGUUCCGCUGAGAUAUUUAAGGUAUAUAUCAGUUUUACGCUAUUUACAUGUGAUUGCACUUUUAUAUAUACAUUUAUGUACUGUGUGAGCCAGCAUACUAAUCCAGGGAUGGCACAGAUACACAGAGGCUUGACUCGUUUUGAGUCGGGUCGCUACACCCAAUCAUGAGCUCUCGAGAGAAAUUAUCAUUCAGAACUUCUAUGCUUGGCUUUCUCAUGAUGAUCGCACCAUGCUUGACACUUCUUGUACCGGUUCUUUUAUGAAGAGAGACAUUGACUUCAAGUGGAAUUUAUUUGGGAGAAUUAAACGCAACUCUGAAGAUUGGGAGCUUGAAGAAGGUAAGGAGUCAGGUAUGAAUUUCACUUUUGAUUGUGUUAAAUCCUCUGUUGAGACAAAUACUUUUUGUGACUUUAGCGCUAAGUAUGGACUUGACUCUGAGAUAGUAGCUUCAUUGUGCGAAUCCUUUGCUGCUCAUAUUGAUCUCCCUAAAGAGAAGUGGUUUAAAUUUCAUCCUCCUUUAGAAGUCAAUGUAGUUAAACCCACUCUAGUUGAAGAGAAAGUCAUUGCCUAUAAUGAUCCUGUGGUUCCCAGUGCUUACAUUGAGAAACCACCUUUCCCUGUUAGGAUAAAGGACCAUUAUAAAGCUUCAACUGUGAUACGUAGAGGCUAUAUUAGAACACCUACACCCCCUGAGCAAAUUAGAGUUGAACCUAGCAUUGCUAUUAUCAAAGAUCUUCUGUUUGAAGAAGUUGAGGGACACAAUAUUCACUUUUGUGAAGAUGCUGCUAGAAUUGCUAAACCUCACGUUAGAGACAAACAUAGGCCUGUUGUUGGCAUGCCUGUGGUUUCUGUUAAGAUAGGAGAUCAUUGUUAUCAUGGUUUAUGUGACGUGGGUGCUAGUGUUAGUGCAAUACCUCAAUCCUUAUACGAUGAAAUCAAAGAUGAGAUUGCACCUGUAGACAUAGAACCUAUAUAUGUCACUAUUCAGCUUGCCAAUAGAGAUACUAUCUGCCCUGUGGGAAUUGCUAGGGAUGUUGAAGUCUUGUGUGGUAAAAUGAAGUAUCCUACUGAUUUCCUCGUUCUUGCUACCGCUCAAGAUAGCUUUUGUCCCAUCAUAUUUGGCAGACCUUUUCUCAAUACCGUCAAUGCUCAUAUUGACUGUGAGAAGCAAACUGUCACUGUUGGCUUUGAAGGUGUGUCACAUGAGUUCAAUUUCUCUAAGUUUGGUAGACAACCUCAUGAAAAGGAGUUGCCUAGUAGGGAUGAAACUAUUGCCUUAGCUUCUAUUGUCGUGCCUCCUACUGAUCCCUUAGAGCAAUACUUGCUUGAGCAUGAAAAUGAUAUGCAUAUGGAUGAAAGGGAUGAAAUAGAUAGAGUUGUCUUAGAACAAUAUCCUAUCUUUAAGAAUAACUUGCCUGUUGAACUGCUUGGGGAUCCGCCCCCACCAAAGGGUGAUCCUGUGUUCAAGCUUAAACAGUUGCCUGAUACUCUUAAGUAUGCUUAUCUUGAUGAAAAGGAGAUAUAUCAUGUUAUUAUUAGUGCUAGUCUCUCAGAGCAGGAAGAAAAUAAGUUACUAAAAACUCUGAGGAAGCACUGUGCUGCUAUAGGAUAUACUCUUGAUGAUCUUAAGGGCAUUAGUCCCACUCUAUGCCAGCACAAGAUCAAAACUGAUCCUGAAUUCAAACCAGUUGCUGAUCAUCAAAGGAGAUUGAAUCCUAAGAAGUGAGAAAAGAAAUACUAAAGCUCCUAGAAGCGGGUAUCAUUUAUCCUGUUGCUCACAUCGAUUGGGUGAGUCCGGUGCAUUGCGUUCCUAAGAAAGGAGGCAUCACUGUUGUCCCUAAUGAUAAGGAUGAGUUGAUCCCACAGAGGAUUAUUACUGCCUAUAGGAUGGUGAUUGAUUUUAGGAAGUUGAAUAAGGCCACUAGGAAAGAUCAUUACCCUUUGCCUUUUAUCGACCAAAUGCUAGAAAGACUAUCGAAACACACACACUUCUGCUUUCUAGACGGUUAUUCUGGUUUCUCCCAAAUACCAGUUGCACAAUUUGAUCAGGAGAAAACCACUUUCACCUGCCCUUUCGGUACCUUUGCCUAUAGACGUAUGCCUUUUGGCUUAUGUAAUGCACCUGCCACCUUUCAAAGAUGUAUGAUGGCUAUAUUCUUUGACUUCUCUGACAAGAUUGUUGAGGUUUUCAUGGAUGACUUCUCCGUUUACAGGUCUUCCUUUGAUGAUUGCCUCAGCAACCUUGAUCGGGUCUUGCAGAGAUGUAAAGACACCAAUCUUGUCUUGAAUUGGGAGAAGUGCCACUUUAUGGUUAAUGAAGGCAUCAUCUUAGGACACAAAAUUUCCGAAAGAGGUAUUGAAGUCGAUAAAGCUAAGGUUGAUGCAAUCGAGAAAAUGCCAUACCCCACAGAUAUCAAAGGGAUAAGAAGUUUCCUUGGUCAUGCAGGUUUCUAUAGAAGGUUCAUCAAAGACUUCUCUAAGAUUUCUAGGCCUCUUACCAAUCUCUUGCAAAAGGAUAUUCCUUUUGUUUUUGAUGAUGAUUGUGAGGAAGCCUUCGAAAUACUUAAGAGGGCUUUGAUAACUGCACCUAUUGUUCAACCACCUGAUUGGAACUUACCUUUUGAGAUCAUGUGUGAUGCUAGUGAUUAUGCCGUUGGCGCUGUUCUAGGGCAAAGAGUCGAUAGGAAGUUGCAUGUUAUUCACUAUGCUAGUAAAACUCUAGACAGUGCCGAGAGAAACUAUGCCACUACGGAAAAGGAAUUUCUAGCAGUCGUGUUUGCAUGUGAAAAGUUCAGGUCUUACAUAGUUGAAUCCAAAGUCACUAUCCACACUAAUCACGCUGCUAUUAAGUACCUCAUGGAGAAGAAGGACGCUAAACCUAGACUUAUCAGAUGGGUUCUCUUGCUACAAGAAUUUGAUUUGCACGUUGUCGACAGAAAGGGUGCUGAUAACCCAGUAGCAGAUAACUUGUCUAGGUUGGAGAACGUUCUUGAUGACCCACAACCUAUUGAUGAUAGCUUUCCCGAUGAGCAAUUGAAUGUCAUCAAUGCUUCACGUAGUGCACCGUGGUAUGCUGAUUAUGCAAACUAUAUCGUUGCCAAAUACAUACCACCUAGUUUCACGUACCAGCAAAAGAAAAAUUCUUCUUUGACUUGAGACACUACUUUUGGGAUGAUCCUCACCGUUAUAAGGAAGGAGUAGAUGGUGUUAUUAGGCGUUGUGUACCUGAACAUGAACAAGGACAGAUCCUACAGAAGUGUCACUUCGAGGCCUACGGAGGACACCAUGCGGGAGAUAGAACUGCACACAAGGUAUUGCAAUCAGGUUUCUAUUGGCCCACUCUCUUCAAGGAUGCCCGUAAGUUUGUCUUGUCUUGCGACGAAUGUCAAAGAAUAGGUAAUAUUAGCAAACGUCAGGAAAUGCCUAUGAACUAUUCACUUGUCAUUGAACCAUUUGAUGUUUGGGGCUUUGAUUAUAUGGGACCUUUUCCCAAAUCCAACAGGUAUACUCACAUCUUGGUUGCUGUUGAUUAUGUCACUAAGUGGGUAGAAGCUAUUCCCACUAGUAGUGCUGAUCACAACACCUCUAUCAAGAUGCUGAAAGAAGUUAUCUUCCCUAGAUUUGGGGUCCCUAGAUAUCUAAACACCAACGGUGGUUGACACUUCAUUCAUGGUGCUUUCCGUAAAAUUCUUGCUAAGUACGAUGUCAACCAUAGAAUUGCGUCUCCCUAUCACCCUUAGUCCAGUGGUCAAGUAGAGCUAAGCAAGAGAGAGAUUAAACUGAUUCUGCAAAAGACUGUGAACAGGUCUAGAAAGAAUUGGUCUAAGAAGCUCGAUGAUGCACUGCGGGCUUAUAGAACUGCCUAUAAGAAUCCAAUGGGCAUGUCUCCGUACAAAAUGGUGUAUGGGAAAGCAUGUCACUUACCUCUUGAGCUAGAGCAUAAAGCUUGAGUAUUCUAUAGNNNNNNNNNNNNNNNNNNNNNNNNNNNNNNNNNNNNNNNNNNNNNNNNNNNNNNNNNNNNNNNNNNNNNNNNNNNNNNNNNNNNNNNNNNNNNNNNNNNNCUGGCCCACCCCCUCACGUGGAUCUUGGCGCAGAUAUUUUUCAUAUUUUCCAAAAAUGGUCCCCGUAAAUUUUCAAGACGUUUGGAGAACUUUGAUUUGUGCACAAAAAUAACACCAAGGCAAUUCUGCUGAAAACAACGUCAGUCCAGGUUAGUUCCAUUCAAAUCAUGCAAAUUAGAGUCAAAAACAAGGGCAAAAGAGUUUGGAAAAGUAGAUACGAUGGAGACGUAUCAACUCCCCCAAGCUUAAAACCUUGCUUGUCCUCAAGCAACUCAGUUGACAAACGGAGAGAGAAAGAAAAACUUUGACAAACUCUGUUUGAUCUUGUUGUUGCAACUAUGUCUAACUCAUAACCGUAAUUUCAGCAAGAUCACAAGUUAACCACAUAAGCAAGUGACACAAAGGUCUCACGGUAAACUAAUAUCAAUGGCAUAAUCAGCUAACGAGCAAAUAAUAAUGAGUUUCAAAUACGAACAAUUCAAUCAAAACAAGAUGAAGCAAUACGAAUAGGUGGUAUCUCGCUAGCUCCUUUUGAGAUCGCAAAACAUAAAUGCAGAGCACUUUCAAAGAUCAAGGGCUGACUAAACAUUGUAAUUCAUAGCAACGAAGAUCCAGUCAUAGUCAUACUCAAUAUCAAUCAAAAGCAAAGCAUAAAAAUGACAGAGGUGCUCUCUAAUUGGUGCUUAUAAAAGAGGAGGAUGACUCAACAGGAAAAUAAAUAGACAUGCCCUUCGCAGAGGGAAGCAUUGAUUUGCAGGGGUGCCAGAGCUCAAGCUUUGAAAACAGAGAUAAUAAUUUUGGGUGGAAUGCUUUCAUUGUCAACGCAAUGACCAAGAGUUCUUAAUAUCUUCCAUGCUACUCAUGCUAUAGGCGGUUCCCAAACAGAAAAGUAAAGUUUUAACUCCCCCACCACCAAUCAAUCACACUCCACGGCUAGCCGAAUCCUCGGGUACCGUCCAUACUAACAUCAAUCCGGGGGGAGUCUUGUUUUACAGUUAUGUUUUCGAUUUAAAUGUGGAACUGGGCAUUCCAAUUACCGGCCCCUUUCUCGUGAAUGACAGUGAAUAAACACAUGUCGAGGAUAACACUCCUAACAUGGAAGAUACCAAUAGCCCCCUGUCACCACAUGAGCGGUUCGGGCAUGCAAAACAGAUUAUUUCUUGAAGGUUUAGAGAGUGGCACAUGCAAAUUUACUUGGAACGACAGGUAGAUACCGCAAAUAGGUAGGUAUGGUGGACUCUCAUGGAAAAACUUUUGGGUUUAUGGAGGUGGAUGCACAAGUAGUAUUCCGCUUGGUACAAGUGAGGGCUAGCAGAAGACUGGGAAGCGACCAACCAGAGAGCGACAAUAGUCAUCAAGAUGCAAUGAGUUUGACUAACAUUGAAUGCAAGCAUGAACAGGAUAUAAAUCACCUUGAACACGAACAUCAUAGAGGCUAUGUUGAUUUUGUUUCAACUACAUGCAUGAACAUGCGCCAAGUCAAGCCACUUGAAACAUUCAAAGGAGAAUACCAUCCUAUCAUACUGCAUCAUAGUCAUCUCAAAAUCUAUGUUGGCAUCCAAGACAAACCAUUAUAAACUCUCAGCUAAAUAAGCAUGACAUCAGAAACUAUGAUCUCUAAGUUGUCAUUGCAAACAUGGUUCUCUCACAACAAAGCUGAAUCUGGGUCGACAAGCUAGUCAUAUUUACAAAAACAAAAUAGAUAGAGUUCAUACCAGCUUUUCAGUCUCAGUCACUUCAUCAUAUACCAUCAUUAUUGCCUUUCACUUGCACGAUCGAACGAUGUGAAUAAUAAUAAGAGUGCUCGUGCAUUGGACUAAGAUGAAUCUGCAGGCAAACACAAAGGAGAAGACAAAGUAAUAUGGCUCUUUGAAAGCUAAACAGGUAAGCAUGCAAGAACCACUAAACAUUGAAACUAAUAUCUUCUACCUUGACCCAAAGAAAAAGAAAACUAUUUACACGGGAAAGCUCCCAACAAGCAAAAGAAGAAAGAAAAAUCUUUUUGGGUUUUCUCAAAAGGACACAAAACAAGAAAACAAGAAAACGAAAAUAAACUAGCAUGGAUAAUACAGUGGCAAAGUGUGAACACCGGCUAACAAAGUGAAAGCAUAAGCAUGAAUGUAAAGUCGGUGAGAACACGUACUCCCCCAAGCUUAGGCAUUUGGCCUAGCUUGUUCUACUCCCAUGGUGGAAAAUCACCAGCUCCAGGAUACUCCGGAGCAGACUGUGGAUGCCACUGCUGUGUAAGCUCCUCUGGCUCCCACUUAUAAACUGGCGUCUGGUACUCGACUGGCGGCUCGGGCACGGGCACCUGUGGUUGGGCCAAGCCCCAAUAUGCGUAGAUGUCUGAGGGCAUAAUAGUAUACCUGCCUGCAUGAAGAUCGAACAAAGAAGGAGCAGGCAAAGUAAUAGUCUCUCGAGUACCCUGACUAAAUACCAGGUUAUAAAUCAUCCGUCUACUAGCAUCUCUAUCCAGAAAAUCAUGGCGAACCAUGCUGUCAUAAUCCAGAUAUUUUAUCAGGGAGAAGCAUCUCUCCUUCCUCUCCCAGUCUAAUGGGUAUCUCAAAGUGUCUGGCAAGACGGGUAGUGUAGAUACCUCCAUAGACGACACCCUUGGAACGGUUGAUGUUCAACCGUUCGGCCACUAUAGCACCUAGGCUGUAAGUCUUAUUGUUAUAAAGGCCUUCGCACAAAACCGCAAGGUCUGGAGAACUAAGUGAUCCUGCCUCCCCACGGCCAAUCAAACAUUUUCCCACAAAUAGUGAGAAGUACUGAAGCACAGGAAAAUGUAUGCUAGCAAUUCUAGCGCGAGACACUCCUCUCUCCUCUCCAACAACAAUAGUACCAAUGAAACCCUCCAUGUCCCAUGGACAAGGGUCACGGAUAUCCCCAACAUAAGGUAAUUUGCAUACAUUGCAAAAAUCCUGUAGUGUCAUGCACUGGGGAACAUCGUAUAUCAUGAACUCAACCAUGGGAGGAUUCUUCCUCGGAUAAAAGUUGAAGCUUUGAACGAAAAUAUUGGUGAGGAGGAGGUAUUGUGAGCACUUAUCUGCAACGAACGUAGUAAGACCUGCGUUCUCCGCCAAGUAAUAAAAGUCUUCAUAAAGCCGAGUGGCGCGCAAGAAUUCAUCACUUGGCCACUCGCACGCUCGAACUUCUGUGACUCGAGGGACUACGUAAUUGGGGUGGUUCUUCCCAUCCUCCUUGGGGUUACGACUUGAAGAGCCUCUCAAUAACCUCCUCUUCUUUUCCUUUUUCUAGCUCUGAAAAAUUCUGAAUUUUUUAGAGACUUCGAAAGAAAAGUGAAUAAAGAUUAACCCAACUCGUAGCAACUACUCCUACUAGUGCCCAGAGACCGUAUCACGCGCUAAAACUACUUGGGACCAGCUAAAAUCAACAUUUCUAGCUCAAGAACAGGGUCACCAAGGUAGCAAGAAUACGCAAAGGAUAAAGCACUAGAGAAAAAACUAAUUGGACCAAUGGAGGAGUCACUUACCAAGGAGUAAUUUCCCCAAAAUGGUUCGAAGAAUGGUGCUUUGAGCAAGGAGAUCGAAAAUCACAGCCAAAUGAGCAAGAACACGGGUUUGAGCUGCGAAACAAUUUUUUCUGGAGGUGGAAGAAGAGGCUGGGAGCUGGAAUGAGUGGAGGGGGUCCCUGUGGGCCCCACAAGCUUGCCCUCCGCCACCAGGGGGGUGGCGGUGGCAGGGCUUGUGGCCCACUGGUCUGGCCCCCAGGCCAGCUCUCAGGCCUAGUAAUUUUCAAAAAUUCCAGAGAAAAUCAUACUAAAUUUUCAGGACCAUCAGAGAACUUUUAUUUUCGAGGUAUUUUUCUCCGGGACGCUAAAACAGAAAACAUGAAAAACUAAACUAAUUCUAUAAUUUUUGUUCUAAGCAAAAGAAAAUGAAAGCUCAAAACAGAGGUAUGUGACUCUUUGAUUCAUCCAUUUCAUGGUCAUCGAAAGAAAUCCGUCAAUGGGGUUGAUCAAGUCCUCAUGACAAAACCUUCUCGAAUCUCAAGAGAGAACAGAGAAUUUUCUAAUAGCCACUAAGUCACCUCAAUGGGGAUAUGUAUCUCCCCAACAAGCAAAUCAUACUUCAUCUUGACACGAGGAAUAGGGCAUUCAAAGCUCCCAAUAAGAAUCGAUGAAGUCUUUUCGAUAGCAUUGAUGCAAUGUACUUGAUAUCGUUUCUUCGGAAAGUGCACUGUGUGCUCAUUAUCGUUGACAUGGAAAGUGACAUUGCCUUUGUUGCAAUCUAUAACAGCCCCUGUAGUGUUUAAAAAGGGUCUUCCGAGGAUGACAACCAUGGCAUCGUCCUCGGGAAUAUCCAGGAUAACAAAGUCUGUUAAGAUUGUGGUGUUAGCAACCACAACAGGCACAUCCUCGCAAAUGCAGAUAGGGAAAGCAGUUGAUUUGUUGGCCAUUUGCACAGAAAUUUCAGUGGGUGUCAACUUAUCCAAUUCAAGUCUACGAUAAAGAGAGAGCGGCAUAACACUAACACCGGCUCCAAGGUCACAUAAGGCAGUUAUUACGUAGUUUCCUUUAAUGGAGCAAGGUAUAGUGGGCACUCCGGGAUCACCAAGUUUCUUAGGAGUUCCACCUUUGAAAGUGUAGUUGGCAAGCAUGGUGGAGAUCUCAAGAUCCGGUAUCUUCCGUUUAUUAGUCAAGAUAUCUUUCAUGUACUUGGCAUACAGAGACAUUUUGAGCAUAUCAGUUAACCGCAUCUGCAGAAAGAUGGGUCUUAUCAUCUCAACGAAGCGCUCAAAAUCCUCAUCAUCCUUUUUCUUGGAUGGCUUAGGAGGAAAGGGCAUAGAUCUCUGGACCCAUGGCUCCCUUUCUUUACCAUGCUUCCUAGCAGUAAAGUCAUUCUUAUCGUAUCUUUUAGGCUGUGGAUUAUUAGGAUUAACCGUAGGUUCAAUCUCCACAUCCUCAUCAUUGCUAGGUUGAGCAUUAUUAUGAACAUCACUGUCCAUAUUGUCACCAGGUUCAAGUUCAUCACCAGAUUGUGUUUCUGCAUCAGAAGCAGAAAUAUCAUUAGGUUCUUCAGGUGUGACAGUAUUUGGUGAACUGGCAUGUAGGUUUCUAUCAUCCUUCUUCUUCUCCUUAGGAUGACUAGGUGUAUCAGCAUUGAUUCCUUGAGAAUCUUGAUCAAUUCUCUUAGGAUGACCUUCAGGAUACAAAGGUUCCUGAGUCAUUUUGCCUCCUCUAGUAAUGACUCUGACAGAGUUGUCAUUUAAUUCAUUGAGCAGGUCAUUAUGAGCUUUAAGUACUUGUUCCACCUGAGUAGUAAUCAUAGAGGCAUGUUUACUCAGAAGCUUCAGAUCAUUGACACUUUUGUCUACACAAGCACUUAAAUGGUUAAGCAUAUGAGUACUUUGUUUCAAAUGUCUGCUAACAUAAUCAUUGAAACUCUGUUGUUUGGCAACACAGUUGUCAAAUUCAUCAAAGCAUAGGCUAGCAGGUUUGUCAAAAGGAAUAUCACUCUCAUCAAACCUACGCAGAGAAUUCACUUCUACUACCUGUAUCGGGUUAUCGAGACCAUGGAUCUCUUCGAUAGGUGGUAGAUUUUUGACAUCUUCAGAUCUAAUGCCUUUCUCUUGCAUAGAUUUCUUGGCUUCUUGCAUAUCUUCGGGACUGAGGAAUAGAAUACCUCUUUUCUUCGGGGUUGGCUUAGGAGGUGGUUCGGGAAUAGUCCAAGCAUUAUCGUUGAUCAAGAUGUUAUUCAGUAGGGUCUCAGCUUGUUCUACAGUUCGUUCCCUAAAAACACAACCGUCACAACUAUCUAGAUGGUCUCUAGAGGCAUCAGUAAGUCCGUUAUAGAGGAUAUCAAGUAUCUCGUUCUUCUUAAGAGGGUGAUCAGGCAAAGCAUUCUGUAGCUGGACGAGCCUCCCCCAAGCUUCUGGGAGACUCUCUUCUUGGAGUUGAGCAAAGUUGUAUAUUUCCUGCAAGGCAGCUUGCUUCUUAUGGGCAGGGAAAUAUUUCUCACACAAGUAAUAGACCAUAUCCCGGGGACUACUCACACAUCCAGGAGCAAGAGAAGUGAACCAGGCUUUAGCAUCAUCCUUUAGAGAGAAAGGAAACAACUUAAGGAUAUAGUAGUGGCGGAUCUUCUCCUCAUUAGAGAAAAGGGUGGCUAUAUCGUGUAGUUUGGCAAGAUGGGCUACGACCGUCUCAGACUCAUAACCGCGGAAAGGAUCAGAUUCGACUAGAGAAAUUAUCUCAGGAUCGACAGAGAAUUCAUAAUCCUUAUCGGUGAUAAAGAUAGGUGAAGUGGCAAACUUCGGGUCGUAUUUCAUCCUAGCUUUCAAAGAUUUUUCCUUCCACUUGAGAAGUAAUUCUCAGCGUCAUAGGCAUCCGUACACGCAAGAAAAUCCUCAGCUAUCUCUCCCUCCAUAACGUAACCCUCAGGUAUAUCAGGCAAUUCAUAUCUAGGACAGCUAGAUCUAACAGGAGCAAAAACAGGUUCUAUCUCAAUAGUAUCGGCAGUUUCAGAAGCAUCACGAGCAUUGGCAGUAAUUCUAGGAAUAUGAGCAUCAAGCAAUACCCCUAGUGGAACAUCAGGCAAAGUAGCAUCUCUAGCAGUAUCAAGCAUAGCAUCAUCAGACAUAGCAUCUCUAGCAAUAUCAAGCAUAGUAUCAUCAGACAUAACAUCUCUAGCAGUAUCAGGCAAAGCAGUAUCAAGCAUAUCAUCUCUAGCAGUAUCAGGCAUAGUAUCAAGCAUAUCAUCUCUAGCAAUAGCAUCAUAAGCAUCAUCAAGCAGAGGCGACAUAUCAAGAUUUGUAGCAAGAGGUGAUGUCGCGAACUUACUCAUAACUAAAGGUGAAUCAAGUGCAGAGCUAGAUGGCAAUUCCUUACCUCCCCUCGUAGGUGAGGGGAAGACUUUGGUUUUUGGAUCCUUCAGAUUCUUCAUAGUGAUCAGCAGAUAUAAAUCCCAAGUAACUCAGAGAAUAUAGCAAUACCUCCUCGGCAACGGCGCCAGAAAAAUGCGGACUCCGUAACAGCAUACCUUCCCUUGCAACGACACCAGAAGAAUGCUGCUAGCACUCUCCGGCAAUCAAAACUAGAAGAAUGUUGUUGACGGCCCACCAGCGCGUGGGAUCAUAGUAGUUUUCGAGGGUAGAGUAGUCGACCCAAAUUUGUUGAUCGCCAAACAAGAGGUGAGAGAAUACUCUCGAGUAUUAGCAACUGAAUUUGUCAGAUUCAACCACACCUGAAAGAUUAGUAUCUGCAAGCAAAGUAGUAGCAGCAAAGUAACGAGUAACGGUAGUGGCAAGGAAGAACAUUAGUAACAACAGUAGCAAGUAGCAACAGUAGCAAGCGACAGUAGUAGCAACAGUAGCAGUAGAGCAAGACAAGUAACAGCAGCAGAGCAAGACAAGUAACAACAGCAGUAGGACAAACUCGUAGGCAAUGGGUCGGUGAUUUGUUUGGAUGAUAUUCAUCAUGCAACAACUAUAACACGGAGAGAUAUGUGGCUAGCUCCUGUUCGUCAAUGUGAUGUAGGCAUGCAUUCCGUGUGUCGUCAUACGUGCUUAGGGAAAAGAACUUGCAUGACAUCUAUUGUCCAUCCCUCCCGUGGCAGCGGGGUCCAAAAGGAAACUACGGGAUAUUAAGGUUCUCCUUUUAAUAAAGAACCGGACCAACGCAUUAGCACUUAGUGAACACAUGAACUCCUCAAACUAUGGUCAUCACCGGGAGUGGUUCCGGUUAUUGUCACUCCGGGGUUGCCGGAUCAUAAAACAUAGUAGGUAACUACAACUUGCAAGAUAGGAUCUAAAACACGCAUAUAUUGGUGACAACAUAAUAAUUUCAGAUCUGAAAGCAUGGCACUCGGGCCCUAGUGACAAGCAUUAAGCAUGGCAAAGUAGUAGCAACAUCAAUCUCAGAACAUAGUGGAUACUAGGGAUCAAUCCCCAUCAAAACUAACUCGAUUACAUGAUAGAUCUCAUCCUACUCAUCACCUCCUAGCGAGCCUACGAAUAGAUUACUCACGAACGAUGAAGAGCUUCAUGGAAUUGGAGAGGGAAGAAGGUUGAUGAUGACGAUGGCGACGUUUUCCCCUCUCCGGAGCCCCAAACGGACUCCAGAUCUGCCCUCCAGAUGAAGAACAGGAUGUGGCGGCGCCUCUGUAUCGCAAACACGACGAAAUCUUCUCUUUUUAUUUUUUCUGGGACGAAAGUGAACUUAUAGACCUGAGGUUGGGGGCGGCACAACUGUGUGGGCCCCACAAGCUUGCCCACCGUCACUGGGGGGGGGGGGUGGCGGAGCCAGGGCUUGUGGCCCACUGGCCCACCCCCUCAGGUGGAUCAUGGCGCAGAUAUUUUUCAUAUUUUCCAAAAAUGCUCCCCGUAAAUUUUCAGGACGUUUGGAGAACUUUGAUUUUUGCACAAAAAUAACACCAAGGCAAUUCUGCUGAAAACAGCGUCAAUCCAGGUUAGUUCCAUUCAAAUCAUUCAAAUUAGAGUCCAAAACAAGGGCAAAAGAGUUUGGAAAAGUAGAUACGUUGGAGACGUAUCAGCCUGCAGCAAGCGGAAUUUAGCCUCCAACUCGGAGUAAGCAUCCUGUUGACCAGCCAAGUUUUUCUUUAAAUCGGCUACCGCCGCCUCACUCUGGGCCAUAGACUCCUGCACAUAAUAUUUGGGGAGACAAGUCUUAGAAUUUUUGCAAGCAAUACUCCUGACACUUGGGGGCUAUUGUAUGUUUUUUAUCAAAAAAGUCAUACCACAUACAAGACCCGGCUCAUCUUCUGAAAAGAUGACCCGGCCCUUGGGGGCUACAGGUUGAAGUUUUUUAAUGCAAGACCCGGCUCAUCUUCUAAAAAGAUGACCCGACCCUUGGGGGCUACAGGUUGAAGUUUUUUAAAUGCAAGACCCGGCUCAUCUUCUAAAAAGAUGACCCGGCCCUUGGGGGCUACAGGUUGAAGUUUUCUAAUGCAAGACCCGACUCAUCUUCUAAAAAGAUGACCCAACCCUUGGGGGCUACAGGUUGAAGUUUUCUAAUGCAAGACCCGGUUCAUCUUCCAAAAGAUGACCCGACCCUUGGAAGGCUAAUGAGUAUAGGAAGAUACAUCCGCAUACCUCAUGUUUGGUCCUCAUAAGGCGGAGCAGGCUUUUGUUCAGCUCAAAAUCCUUCUCCAGGUGACUUGUGAAGCCGGAGCAAAGCUGGUCGAAUUCCAGCUUCUCGUAUUGGGGGAGUUUGAGGGGUUAUGCAUAGCCUUCAGGGGAAAGGUGACUUGCCUUUGAAGUAUGUUUGGAGAGCACGACAGUUGGGGGCAUAGAGUAGCCAAAGCCGGUAACCACGAUGUCUGGAUCGUCGGUCGCCUUGAGAGGGCUUGGCGGGUUACUCUGGCCAGCGGUCUCCUUCAAAAUGACGGGUGAGUCAUCCCGGGCGUCGGGAAUAUCGCGUGCAGGAAUGUCGCAAGCCGCCUUUUGCUCCUCUUUAGCCUCAGGAACAGAGGCGCCCGUGCCUAAGGCAUCAGAUGUUUGGUGUGCAGAAGGAGAGUCGCCGGCUUUUCUCCUCUUUGCUUGUGCCGUGCGACUAAAGCACCAAGGUUAAAAGCACAUGUUAUUGUUUAGAAAGCUUGGGUUAACAAAGAAGACUUACCCUUGUACACGAAUCGUCGGCAGAGAGCAGAGAUGGCCGAGUCGCCAGAUGUGGGAGGAGAAGUCUGAUAGGACAAAGACUUGAAGUUCACAAAAAUGGUGAGUUAUAUUUCACAUGGCAAAAUAUAUAACAAAAGAUGUACCUCACUGGUUAGUUUUCGACCGAUUGUCUUCUCGGGCAGUCUAGUGAUCAAGUCGCCAGAGCGACUACGGGUCUUGCGAGAGGGGGUGAAUCUUGCUUUCUUCAAAAGGAAAUCAGGGUCCAUAUAAGCACGAGGAUGAGACAUGGGCACUUUUCCGCAGAUCCGCCUGGCUGGUCGAGGGGAAGAAGAAGGUGAGUCGGAAAAAAUGGAAAUUACCUCGAUUGCAUCAUUCUUGCUCUCAUCAUCGUCGCCCUACAUGUAAGGAUAUAUGGCAUAAGCUUUAGUCGGAACAUAUAGAGAAGGGACAAGGAAAAAGCCUUACCUCGGAAUGUGCCUUGUCCGCAUUAGAGUCGCCAACAAAAGAUGAAUCUUUUGUGGCGGUUUUCUUCUUGCUCACCAUUUUCUUCUUCUUGCUUGGCACCUUGGUGGACUUUGGGGCGACAGUUUUUGGGCCCCUCCGCCAAAACACAUUGGUUUUCUGAUAGACAGAGGUAGGUCUUUAACCACAAAGGUUGUUAAGUAUAAACAAGACAAGUGGCGGCUUACAUUCUUACUGGUGGCACCGGGUUGGCACGAGAGAAGCCUUUAAGGCCGAUCUUGGCGCAUUCUUCUAGAGACUCGCCGGUCAGCUUAUUAAUGACUCCAACGAUCUCGCUCUCUGAGAGUUGGCGGCGACUGGCACGCUGUGGAUGCUCUAAAGUGCCAUCAUAAUCAUACAUCAACCCGUCGCGGCGGCUCAAGGGAAGGAUAUUCCAUUCUAUCCAGCAGCGGGAAAGGUCGAUCCCGAUGACCCCAUUGUUGUUCAGGAAUUUCAGAUAUGAAAAGAGUGGGAUAAACUCCGACUCUUCUUCUUCGGUGAGCUUGUCAGGGAAUUUGAAAUCCAUUGGCAAGCGGUCUCCUCUGAAACCUGGAAGAGGGUUCUCGCCUGGUGGAGAAGUAUUUCGGCAGUAGAACCAUGACUCGACCCAUCCUUUGGGAUGGCUGGGCAAAAGGACUGUCGGGAAUCCACGCUCGCGGCGUCUCUGGAUGUUAACUCCUCCAAGCUCGUGGUUGGGAUCGUUGGGGAACUUGGUCUGGCGGUUUAGGUGAAAUAAGUUACAGAACAAGGGGAUCAUGGGUUCUCUCUGCAAAUAGACUUCACAGAAGACCUGGAACUGGCAUAAAUUGCUGAUGGAAUUGGGUCCUAGGUCUUGAGGAUGGAGGUUGAGGAAGUGCAGGACGUCUCGGAAAAACUUUAACCCAGGCGGCUUGAAUCCACGCUCAAGGUAAUCGGUGAAGAUCACUACUUCUCCUGGAGCGGGGUUGGGAGUCAACUCGCCCGGGGCGGUUCUCCAACCAAUAGUUUCCUUACUAUCGAGGAGACCCGCCUUAACGUAUUUCUCGAGUGUGGCAUCAUCGACUUUGGUUGGCAACCAAUCACACCUCGUAAUAGCCAUGACUACAAAAAAUGGAGUACGGGGCGACUUAGUAAAAGACUAGAGUAUAUUCUAACCUGUUGGUACGGGUCUAUGGUGUUUACAAAGGUUUUGUUAACCCGCCAAAAUAUUCUAACCCGCUGGUACGGGCCUAUGGUGUUUGCAAAGGGUUUGUUAACUCGCAAAACAGUUGACGUGCAUUGCAACCCGUUAUUUGGGCGAUCUACGAGUAUAUCUUCGGGGUUUUUUCUAACUCGCCCUCCAGACUGGAAGAAAGAGCAUCUUGGCUACAGUAAUAAAACUAAAUUGCCAUGAAGGCUGAAGUUAAAUGGCGACUCUUAGAAGUGUUCUUUACCUUAGAGAUAUUCUCAACAGAUGAAUACACAUGUUUCUACAGACAUGCGGUAAAUUAUGGAUUUACGGACAGAUUAAAAUAAGAGGAUAUCGCCUGAAGUAAUGGUGAUGAACUACACAUAUAGUACACCUACAGUGUUGGUCAACAGAACAUGGGUUUGAACUGGCACGAGGACGUGAUUAAAAUGGCCGACGCUUGUUGCCAUCUAAAACUAAUCGCUGGAGCAGGGAACAGAUCUGAAACAGGUCGAGGUGUUCAUCCUAUUAUGGAGCUGGCUCGCAAGGAAGCUACGGUCAUGGCGUUCUUGGUCUAGCCCUAAGAGGAGGAAGGUGUGUACGUGUCCACAGGAGAUCGCUGCCGGGGACGAAGGCUCGGAGCUUCGUGUUCCUUGGCGCCCGGAGAGUCGCGGUCGAUGGGGAAAAACUCCGGGAGCCGGGGACGACGCCGGGGCACUGGAGCUCGGAGACAGUGCCAGGAUGUCGGUGCGCGGAGAUGAAGACGAAGAAAAGAUGAGAUGGGGGUUGGUGACGGGGUUUCUCUCCCCCCAUUUCUCUUACUAUUUAAAGGGCAGGAACAGAAAACGAGGCUGUCAAGGCGGAGAUCGAGGCGACAAGUCAGUAAACGCAAUGAUGGCGCCUAGAUUUUCGGGAUAAGCAAUUAUGGGCGAAAGAUUCGCUGACAGUUACACUGCUUUGGGACUGGAGCCGAGGAGAUGAGGCGACAACCUUUAAUACUGUAUGGCGACUCAGGUUAAGUACCACGGGUGGCGGGUCAACGUUUGCCGAAGGCGGAAAAUGAGGAGAGUGGCCCCAAGAUUGAUGGGAGUUUAUUGACAAGAAUGAAUUCACGACAAUCUGGGGCCUAAUGUUGGGGAUAUUAUCUGUGGGUAACCCGCUCUUAAUGGGCCGGGUCACCAAAGGGGCGACUCACCUUUGAUUAUGCGUCCAGUGGCCCAGGAGUCGUAGGGCAGUUCAAACAGACCAUGUGGAUGAUGGAACGUCAAGGAAGCUCCUGAUCGUGAGGGACACGGCGACUUAGAGAUAAGCAAAGCUGCCAAGAGUAGGAUGGCAGGACUUUGUAAACCCUAGGGCCUCGACCUGUAUAUAAAGGCGAGUCCCAAGGAAAGGUCAGGCGAGUUAGAAAGAAUCGAGAGCUAGGUCAGGCGAGUUACGUCCUCCUUGUAAUCGAAACCACCAUUAAUCUACACAAAGCAAGACGUAGGCUUUUACCUCCUCACGAGGGGCCGAACCUGGGUAAAACUAAGUCUCGCUUUCGCGCACCCCCUUUGAGUUGCCACCAAGGUGCGAUGGCUCCAUCUUUAAGUCCUUCCACGAGGACAUCUGCCAUGACAAAACCACGACAACCGGGACCACCGGGAGGGGCCACCAGCCCCAAGAGGUAGCAUGGGCCAAAAGGUUGAGGGCUACCAGCCCAAAGUGGGCUGGUGUGCCUCCCACAAAGGGGCCCAAGGCGCAGGAGGUGGAGAGCGGGGGAAACCCUAGGCGCUGGUGGGCCUACCUAGGGGUGCGCCACCCCUCCCCCUGCCCUGGCUGCCGCACCUCCCAUUUGGGGGGGGGGCUGCCGCACCACCUAAGGUGGGAACCCUAGGGGUGGCACCCCCUCCCCUCCUCCUAUAUAUAGGGAGGGGUUAGGGGUUGUUUGCACACCAUUUCUUCUCUCCCUCGGCGCAACCCUUCUCCCCUCCUUCCUCCUCCUCCCACGGUGCUUGGCGAAGCCCUGCCGGGAGACCUCGUCUCUCCAUCGACACCAUGACAUCGUGCUGCCGGAGAUCUUCCCCAACCUCUCCCUCCUCCUUGCUGGAUCAAGGUGCGGGAGACGUCACCGGGCUGCACGUGUGUUGAAUGCGGAGGUGCCGUGGUUCGACACUAGAUCGAAAUGACACCACGAUCUGAAUCGCCGCGAGUACGACUCCAUCAACCGCGUUCUAGCAACGCUUCCUCUUAGAGAUCUUCAAAGGUAUGAAGAUGCGCUAACCCCUCUCUUGUUGCUUGUCUCUCCAUAGGAAGAUCUGAAUAUGGCGUAGGAAAAUUUUGAAUUUAUGCUACGUUACCCAACAGUGGCAUCCGAGCCAGGUUUUCUAUGCGUAGAUUCUAUGCACGAGUAGAACACAAAAGGUUGUGGGUGAUGAUUUGUCAAUUGCUUGCCGCUACUAGUCUUAUUCUUUUCCGGCGGUAUUGUGGGAUGAAGCAGCCCGGACCGACCUUACACGUACGCUUACGUGAGAUUGGUUCCACCGACAGACAUGCACACCAUGCAUAAAGGUGGCUAGCGGGUGUGUGUCUCUCCCACUCUAGUCGGAUUGGAUUUGAUGAGAAGGGUCCUUAUGCAGGGUAAAUAGCUUUGGCAUAUCAUCGUUGUGGCUGUCACGUAGGUAACAAGGCGUUCUUGCUAGAAACCCAAAUCAGCCACGUAAAACUUGCAACAACAAUUAGAGGACGUCUAACUUGUUUUUGCAGGUUUUGACAUGUGAUGUGAUAUGGCCAAAGUUGUGAUGUUGCAUGUAUGAUGUAUGAGAUGAUCAUGUUAUUGUAAUAGAUUUCACGACUUGCAUGUCGAUGUGUAUGAAAACCGGCAGGAGCCAUAGGAGUUGUCUUAAUUUAUUGUAUGAGAUGCAACGACAUGUGCUUACUACUUUUACUUCAUUGCUAACGGUUAGCUACAGUAGUAGUGGUAGUAGUAGUUGGCGUGACGACUUCACAAAGACACGAUGAUGGAGAUCAUGAAGAUGGAGAUCAUGGUGUCACGGUGGUGACAAUGAUGAUCAUGUGAUGCCUGAAGAUGGAGAUCGAAAGAGCAAAGAUGAUAAUGGCCAUAUCAUGUCACUAUAUGAUUGCAUUGUGAUGUUUAUCAUGUUUUUCAUCUUAUUGCUUAGAACGACGGUAGCAUAAUAAGAUGAUCCCUCUUAAAAAUUUCGAGAACGUAUUCCCCUAAGUGUGCACCGUUGCGAAGGAUCGUUGUCUCGAAGCACCACGUGAUGAUCGGGUGUGAUAGAUUCUAACGUUCGCAUACAACGGGCGUAAGCCAGAUUUACACACGCGAAACACCUAGGUUGACUCGACGAGCUUAGCAUGUACAGACAUGACCUCGAAUACAAGAGACCGAAAGGUCGAACAUGAGUCGUAUGGUUGAAUACGAUCAGCAUGAAGUUGCUCACCAUGAUGACUAGUCCGUCUCACGUGAUGAUCGGACAUGGGUUAGUCAACAUGGAUCAUGUAUCACUUAGAUGACUAGAGGGAUGUCGAUUUAAGUGGGAUUUCAUACCUAAUUUGAUUAAAUGAACUUAAUUGUCAUGAACUUAGUCUAAAAGUUGUCUUUAUAAAUAUUGUAGAUGGCCAACGUCAACAUCAAUUUCAACGCAUUCCUAGAGAAAAACAAGCUGAAAGAUGAUGGUAGCAAGUAUGCGGACUCGGUCCGCAACUUGAACCUAAUCCUUGAAGCAGCUAAAAAGGCUUAUGUCCUUGAUGCGCCGCUAGGUGACCCUCCUGCUCCCGCAGCAGCCCAGGACAUUCUGAACGUCUGGCGAACGCGGAGUGAUGACUACUCUCUGGUUAGGUGUGGCAUGUUAUACAGUUUGGAAACGGGGCUCCAAAGGCGUUUUGAGAAACACGGUGCAUAUGAGAUGUUCCAAGAGCUGAAACUAGUUUUUCAAGCUCAUGCCUGAUACGUCUCGAAUGUAUCUAUAAUUUUUGAUGGUUUCAUGCUGUUAUCUUGUCAUCUUUGGAUGUUUUAUGUACCUUUUAUAUCUUUUUUGGGACUAACUUAUUAAUUAAGUGCCAAGUGCCAGUUCCUGUUUUUUUCUGUGUUUUUGGCUCUUUUCAGAUAUGAUUUUGGAACGGAGUCCAAACGGAAUAAAAUCCCCGAAAUAAAUUUUUCCCGAACGAAAGAAGAUCAGGGGGCUUGAGGGCCAAGCCAGGAGAGCUACAGGGGGCCCACAAGCCCUGUAGCUGCCACGAGGGGGGCGGCGGCUAGCAGGCUUGUGGCCUCCCUGGCGCCCCCUGACAUAGCUCCUUCGCCUAUAUAUUCCCUAAAAUACAGAAAAAUCAGGGAAUCCACGAAAACACUUUUCCGCCGCCGCAAGCUUCCGUUUCCGCGAGAUCUCAUCUGGAGACCCUUCCCGGUGCCCUGCCGGAGGGGACUUUGGAUUUGGAGGGCUUCUUCAUCAACAUCAUCGCCCCUCCAAUGACUUGUGAGUAGUUCACUUCCGACCUACGGGUCCGUAGUUAGUAGCUAGAUGGCUUCUUCUCUCUCUUGGAUCUUCAAUACAAAGUUCUCGAUGAUCUUCAUGGAGAUCUAUCCGAUGUAAUCCUCUUUGGUGGUGUGUUUGUCGUGAUCCGAUGAAUUGUUGAUUUGUGAUCAGAUUAUCUAUGAUAUAUAUUUGAGUCUUUGCUGAUUUCUUAUAUGCAUGAUUUGAUAUCCUUGUUAGUCUCUCCGAGUCUUGGGUUCUGUUUGGCCAACUAGAUCUAUGAUUCUUGCAAUGGGAGAAGUGCUUGGUUUUGGGUUCAUACCGUGUGGUGACCUUUCCCAAUGACAGUAGGGGGCAGCAAGGCACACAUCGUGUAGUUGCCAUCAAGGGUAACAAGAUGGGCUUUUUGUCGUAGACAUGAGAUUGUCCAUCUACAUCAUGUCAUCUUGCUUAAGGUGUUACUCUGUUCUUUUGGAUUUAAUACACUAGAUGCAUGUUGGAUAGCGGUCGACGUGUGGAGUAAUAGUAGUAGAUGCAGAAAGUAUCGGUCUACUUGUUUUGGACGUGAUGCCUAUAGAUAUAAUCAUUGCCAUAGAUGACGUCACGACUUUGCGCGGUUCUAUCAAUUGCUCGACAGUAAUUUGUUCACCCACCGUCUACUUGCUUUCAUGAGAGACGCUACUAGUGAACACUACGGCCCCCGGGUCUAUUCACACCUAUUGUUUCCACUUUUUCUUUUACUUUGCUUUGUUACUUUGUUGCUUUCAGUUCUCACUUGGCAAACAAUCUCUAAGGGAUUGACAACCCCUUCAUAUCAUUUGGAGCAAGCUUUUUGUGUUUGUGCAGGUACUUGUGAUACUCCUUCACUGGAUCGAUACCUUGGUUCUCAAAACUGAGGGAAAUACUUACCACCGCUGCGCUACAUGACCCUUUCCGCUUCGUGGGAACACCAACGCAAGGCUCCAAGGCCACGGGGAAAUCCUUUGCAUAUUUUCCUAGGAAGUCCCUAAAGGCGUAGCCGUAGCAGAAGGAUUCCUGGUGCCGUUGCUGAGGAGAAUCAAGACAAGAAUAGUCUCCCGUCAGCACGUGUUUGUGGCGCCGUUGGAAGGUCUUUUGUUGCUGUAGCAGAAGUAUUUCUGGUGCCGUUGCCAGGGAAGGAGAGAUCUUGUAACGACCAUGAUGCGGUCCUUUCCGAUAUGGGGAUCGAGGCCCCGAAUUGGAAAGGAGCACAUCUAAGCGUCUCGCAAACAGGUAACACAACACAUACAUAAUAUUAAAGAUAGACAAUCAGGGGUUCAAUUGCCUUCUCAUAAAUAUAUCAGAGUACAUCAUAUAUACAACCAAAGUAGUUCCGCUACGGACUACAAAACAUAGAAAGGCUAUGCUACCCUGCCUCCAGGCCCACGAUCACGACCACGCCUCAAUCUUCUAGAUAGUUCACGUACAGGCGGUUUGUCUCCUCAUCGUACUGCCACGCCAGCUGCGUGCCGUCGGGAUCAUCUGUCUCUGGGGUACCUGAACCUGUUGGUAUUGUGGAGGAAUCCGUGAGCCAUGGGGACUUAGCAAUCUAAGACCUUGGUGCCAUAACUAGUCAAGUUAUUAGGUAGGAUAUGUUGGGGAACGUCGCAUGGGAAACAAAAAAUUUCCUACGCGCACGAAGACCUAUCAUGGUGAUGUCCAUCUACGAGAGGGGAUUUCCGAUCUACGUACCCUUGUAGAUCGCACAGCAGAAGCGUUAGUGAACGCGGUUGAUGUAGUGGAACAUCCGCACGUCCCUCGAUCCGCCCCGUGAACCAUCCCACGAACCGUCCCGCAAUGUGUCCCACGAUCCGCUCCGAUCUAGUGCCGAACGGACGGCACCUCCACGUUCAGCACACGUACAGCUCGACGAUGAUCUCGGCUUUCUUGAUCCAGCAAGAGAGACAGAGAGGUAGAUGAGUUCUCCAGCAGCGUGAUGGCGCUCCGGAGGUUGGUGGUGAUCUAGUCUCAGCAGGGCUCCGCCCGAGCUCCGCAGAAACACGAUCUAGAGGUAAAACCGUGGAGGUUUGUGGUCGGGCUGCCGUGGCAAAAGUUGUCUCAAAUCAGCCCUAAAACCCCACUAUAUAUAGGAGCAGGGAGGGGAGGAGGCAGCCUCAAAACCUAAAGGUUUGGCCGAAAUUGGAGGUGGAGGAGUCCUACUCCAAUCCUACUUGGAGUAGGAUUCCGCCUUCCCACUUGGAAACUCUUUCCACCUUGUGUUUUUUCCUUCUCAAACCUUAUGGGCCUUAGUGGGAACUUAUUCCAGACCACUAGGGGCUGGUUUAUCUCUUCCCAUAGCCCAUGAGACCCCUAGGGGCGUGACACCCCUCCUGAUGGUCCCCGGCACCCCUCUCGGCACUCCCAGUACACUACCGAUGAGCCCGAAACUUUUCCGGUAAUGCACGAAAACCUUCCGGUAACCAAAUGAGGUCAUCCUUUAUAUCAAUCUUCGUUUCCGGACCAUUCCGGAAACCCUCGUGAUGUCUGUGAUCUCAUCCGGGACUCCAAACAACAUUCGGUAACCAACCAUAUAACUCAAAUACGCAUGAAACAACGUCGAACCUUAAGUGUGCAGACCCCGCGGGUUCGAGAACUAUGUAGACAUGACCCGAGAGACUCCUCGGUCAAUAUCCAAUAUCGGGACCUGGAUGCCCAUAUUGGAUCCUACAUAUUCUACGAAGAUCUUAUCGUUUGAACCUCAGUGCCAUGGAUUCAUAUAAUCCCGUAUGUCAUUCCAUUUGUCCUUCAGUAUGUUACUUGUCUGAGAUUCGAUCGUCAGUAUCCGCAUACCUAUUUCAAUCUCGUUUACCGGCAAGUCUCUUUACUCGUUCCGUAAUACAAGAUCCCGCAACUUACACUAAGUCACAUUGCUUGCAAGGCUUGUGUGUGAUGUUGUAUUACCGAGUGGGCCCCGAGAUACCUCUCCGUCAUACGGAGUGACAAAUCCCAGUCUUGAUCCAUACUAACCUAACGAACACCUUCGGAGAUACCCAUAGAGCAUCUUUAUAGUCACCCAGUUACGUUGCGACGUUUGAUACACACAAAGCAUUCCACCGGUGUCAGUGAGUUAUAUGAUCUCAUGGUCAUAGGAACAAAUACUUGACACGCAAAAAACAGUAGCAACAAAAUGACACGAUCAACAUGCUAUGUCUAUUAGUUUGGGUCUAGUCCAUCACAUGAUUGUCCUAAUGUUGUGAUCCCGUUAUCGAGUGACAACACUUGCCUAUGGUCAGGAAACCUUGACCAACUUUGAUCAACGAGCUAGUCAACUAGAGGCUUACUAGGGACAGUUUUUUGUCUAUGUAUCCACACAUGCACUGUGUUUCCAAUCAAUACAAUUAUAGCAUGGAUAAUAAACGAUUAUCAUGAACAAAAAAAUAUAAUAAUAAUUAAUUUAUUAUUGCCUCUAGGGCAUAUUUCCAAUAGUCUCCCACUUGCACUAGAGUCAAUAAUCUAGUUCACAUCACCAUGUGAUUCCAACGAAUCCAACACCCAUAUAGUUAUGGGGUCUGAUCACGUCUUGCUCGUGAGAGAGGUUUUAGUCAACGGUUCUAAAACUUUCAGAUCCGUGUGUUCUUUACAAAUCUUUAUGUCAUCUUAUAGAUGCUGCUACUAUGUGCUAUUCGGAAACACACCAAAUAUCUACUCUACUAUACGAAUCCGUUUCACUACUCAUAGUUAUUCGGAUUAGUGUCAAAGCUUGCAUCGACGUAACCCUUUACGACGAACUUUUUAACCACCUCCAUAAUCGAGAAAAAUUCCUUAGUCCAUCAGUUACGAAGGAUAACUUUGACCGCUGCUAGUGAUUCAAUCAUGGAUCACUCUCUGUACCUCUCAACAGACUUUGAGUCAAGGCACAAAUCAGGUGCGGUACCCAACAUGGCAUACUUCAGAUUCUACGGCCAAGGCAUAGAAGACGACCUUCGUCUAUUCUCUUUAUUCUGCCGGGGUCGGGUGUUGAGUCUUACUCAAAUUCACACCUUACAACGCAACCAAGAACUCCUUCUUUGCUGAUCCAUUUUGAACUCCUUCAAAAACUUGUCAAGGCAUGCAUCUUGUUGAAACUUCUAUCAAGCGCUUUCGAUCUAUCUCCAUAGAUCUUUGAUGCUCAACGUUCAAGUAGCGCAAUCCAGGUAUUCCUUUGAAAACUAACAACCUUGCAUGCUUUACAGAAAAUCUACAUUACUUCUGAUCCACAAUAUGUCAACCACAUAUACUUAUCAGAAAUUCUAUAGUGCUCACACUCACUUCUUUGGAAAUACAAGUUUCUCAUAAACCUUGUACAAACCCAAAAUCUUUGAUCAUCUCAUCAAAGUGUAUAUUCCAACUCCGAGAUGCUUGCACCAGUCCAUUGAAGGAUCGCUGGAGCUUGCAUACUUGCUAGUAUCUUUAGGAUUGACAAAACCUCCUGGUUGUAUCACAUACAAUGUUUGCUCAAGGAAACCGUCAAGGAAACUGUAGCGACCCGACUCAAAACGAGUCAAGCCUCUGUGUUUCUGUGCCAUCCCUGGAUCAGUAUGCUGGCACACACAGUACAUCAAUGUAUAUAUCAAAGUGCAAUCACAUGUAAAUAGCGUAAAACUGAUAUAUACCUUAAAUAUCUCAGCGGAAGCAGUCAAGAGAGUGGAGUCCCAAUAAACACCAACGGCAAGUUGAGUGCGGACCGUAACCCUGAAUCGUACUCUUACUCGUCGAAGAAAAAUAUCUGCAACAUAAGACGUUGCAGCCGUGUAGGUCAGCAUAUUGAAUAUGCCGGCAAGUCACAUAAGAGAGGGGUGAAAAGUAAUCAUCUAUACUAUAUGCAUAUAUGGCAGGUGGGGCUAUAAGUUUUUUUAGCGAAAAGCAAGUUUUCUCCUACAUCAAGAGAGGGCUAAAAAGAAAAAUGUUACUACAUUGUUGGUUGUUAACGAGAUGGUUCCGCCAACCAGUUCUCGUACCCAAGUUAUCAAUAUUACCCUCAUCAAAUAUAUAUAAUGGUGUUGAGAAUUUCAGAUAACUUUAGUUCCUUUGGCUCAAGUUGUCCAUGACUGUGGACACGGCUAAUCGAUUAGGUUGGGCACUCUGCAGAGUUUUGCACACGUUCCCCACAAGAUUUGAUCUCCUCCGUGUUCGUCCUUGCACUUCAGGGUGUUUGAAGACCGGAUGAUCAAAACAUGGUCUUUCAACGGGUCCCUCUGAAUCCCUGUCGGUGCCCAUCCAUUCCUACCGUUCUUCUACAUCUGCUAGCACCGCCUGUCCAGAGUCGCCACAUUGUCCAACCAAGCCAGAGCCCAUAAUGACUUGUGGCUGUGCAGGUAAGCCUUGAGUCUUGAAGUCUCCGUCCGUCUCUUCGGGCCUGGGUGAAGCUUUCCGCAGGAUGACAUGGCCUCUCCAGCAUCCCGGGCACCCACUGGGUUCUCCAGGGAGCCGAUCAACCGUCCUUCAACCAGAGUUACAUUGCGUCCGAGGUCUUGAAAAUCUUGUCUUAGCCGGUCUUGAUUACUUAAUCAACCUCGCAUCACUCGUGAUAUACACUCAACCGAAAACCCGUCUACUCAAGCAUAGCAUUAAGAAAUUGUCGUCCCGGGGCCAAGUAUCGGGGUUGUUGUGUGCCUACCACAUGAUACUACAACUUAUGCUAAAGUUUCCAAGUACCUAGGCAGCAUGCAAUUGGGCAAAGAAAGGUGAUCUACCAUGCAUCAAAAACAUAGGUAAAAUAACAUGAUCAAAAUGACUUGCCUGGUGAUGUUGACGAAGAAGCAUUUUCGUUCUCGGGAAAUACGUGAUAGAACUAUUCGUCACUCUCCGAUGAAAUCUAUAUAAUCAAACAUAGUAUUCACAUAAUCACUCACACUAGCAAUCAUUCUAGCAAUCAAUUAACAAACAGCAAUAAAACUUGAUGCAAUCAAAAAUCAAUAAGAGAGAACAGAUAAAAAUCCAAAGGAAACUUCAAAGAAGCUAGGAAGCCUUCUACUACAUCAAACACUAUAUAGUUUUUGUUCUAACUGAAAAUAAAACACUAAAAUAGAAAAAUAACAGAAAACAAAAUAUAAAAUAACUAAGAUAACAUAAGUAAAAUUUACAAAACAAUAUUAUUUUAUAAGUAUUUUCAAAAUAGGAAAUCAAACUAGAAAUGCAAUCAAUUCGCAAGUUAGUAUAGAACUAGAAUUGAUUCCAUGCAAACAAAUAAGAAUAAAUAAAAUAAAAUUUUGUUGUUGUUGAAAAGUUACUGGUAAAUAUCAGAAAACAAAAUAUAACUUGUCACAAUUACAAAAAAAACAAAUUAAGAACAAUUAAUACAAAAGAAAUAGCAAGAAAACAAAAAAGGCUAAAACAUAAUCUGUUUUGCUUAAAACCCUAAGUAAAAAUAUUUAAAAAACAUUGAAACUUAAACUACUGAAAUAUAUGAUCAAUAGGAAGCAGCAGCAAAAAGAAUCAAAUCAAAAGCUAUUUUUAAACUCCCGGAAUAAGCAAAACAAGCUUUAAUUAAAAUCUGAUCUAACUCAAUUUUUAUAAACCCAAACAUAGACAAAUUAUAUAUCUGCAGUAACUGCAUAAAAUUUUUGAUCCAACGCAAAAAGAAUCACCUAAUUCGGAGUUAUAGACUAAUAGAUAUGAAUUUUAUAAGAUUGCAAUUUUUUGAAAAAACUGCAAUACGGGAUUUCGUGAAUCUCACCGUGGCUGACACACAGGAAGAACUCCGGCGAGGUGGCUGCUCCGGCGAGGUGGAGAGGUCGCAGAUGGGGUGGGGAAUCGGCGGAGGAGUAGCACGGCAGGGGGUGGGGCACUGGAGAGGCUCGACAGUGGUGAUGGGGAAGCGCCACGAGACCUAGUGUACUCCGUUUUUGACAAGAAGAUGAGGAUGGUGGCGCCGUGGCUACGAGCAGGGAGAAGGUGAGGUGGUGGGGAAAAUGGAACGAGGAGAGGAGGGGCGUUCUUAUAGGGGUGGUGGGAGGCUCGGGAAGGAAGUGUAGCCCACAAAUCGGGGGAGGGAAACUUCCUGGGAAGCUUCUGCCAUGGCCACACAAGGAAGCUCGUGAGGAGGAAGAAGAAGGUGGGAUUGGGCCAGAUUGGUUUCCUAACGUGGCCCAAGUACAUUCCUAAAAUAAGAGAUCUCUUUCCCUUUUUAUUAAAAUAGGAAUUAAUACGAUUAAAAGGAAACAGAAUAUACUUGGAAUAUAGGGGUAUAAUAUAUUAAAAUUUUCAGAAAAAUAAAUCCAAAAAGAUGGGCAUUUUUCCACUACCAAAAUAAAUACUUCAAAAAAACGUUUUUUAGAACAUCCCUAAAUUGGUUUAUUUUCUUUUUGCAAAUAUUUUUCAAAUAAACCUUGGGUUCUAUGGUCCAAAUAUUUCAAAGGAAUAUCCCCGGUUUGGAGGGUCAUGUUCCUCCUCUCUUUCUUGCUUGGCAAGAAUUAUUUUCGGGGUAUUUUCUCGCGGAAGAAAAAUAUAGAAGCAAGGGCAAAUAUUUGAAAGGAUUCAAAUACAAACUCCGUUCAAAUUCUUUAUAGUUGAAGAAGUCAUGUCAUCUUCUCUCAUUGCUUUUAAUUGGAUGAAUUUGAAUUUACCGGAGAAGGGGAAAGUCAUUUUAUUCCCUCUCAUUCAAAAGUUUUUGAAAAGUUUCAAAUUUCACUCAAGUUUCAAUCACUCAAGCAAGCAAACAAACAAUAUAAUAAUUAUAUUAACAUUCCAAAAAUUGGGAUGUUACAGAAACAAUGUUUUGACAUCCUAUGUGCAAUAUUUCAUAAAUAAUGCAUCAACUACUAACAUAAUUCUAACAGACUUUUAGCAUCGCUACGAGUGAGAAAGUCUCAUCAUAGUCAACUGUUUGAUCUUGUCGGAAACAUCUUUGCGACAAGUCGAGCUUUUCUUAAUAAUGACUUAUCACCAUCAUCAUCUGUCUUCCUUUUAAAGAUCCAUCUUUACUCAAUAGUCCUAUGACCAUCAAGUAGUUCUUCCAAAGUCUACACUUUGUUUUCAUACAUGGAUCCUCUCUCGGAUUUCAUGGCUUCCAGCGAUUUGUCAGAAUCCGGGCCCACCAUUGCUUUCUCCAUAACUCGUAGGUUCACUGUUGCUCAACAACAUGACCUCCAAGACAGGGUUACCGUACCACUUUGUAGUAGUACGCGACCUUGUCAACCUACGAGGCUUGUAGUAACUUGAUCCGAUGCUCGAUGAUCACCAUCAUCAGCUUUCACUUCAAUUGGUGUAGGCGCCACAGGAACAACUUCCUGCGCCCUGCUACACACUGGUUGAAGUGAUGGUUCAAUAACCUCAUCAAGUUCUACCACCCUCCCACUCAAUUCUUUCGAGAGAAACCUUUCCUCGAGAAAGGAUCUGUUUCUAGAAACAAACACUUUGCUUUCGGAUCUGAGAUAGAAGAUGUACCCAACUGUUUUGGAUAUCCUAUGAAGAUACAUUUAUCCGCUUUGGGUUCGAGCUUUAUCAGACUGAAACUUUUUCACAUAAGUGUAGAAGCCCCAAACUUUCAAGAAACGACAGUUUAGAUUUCUCUAAACCUCAGUCUAUACUGUGUCAUCUCAACGGAAAUACGCGGUGCCCUAUUUAAAGUGAAUGCGAUUGUCUCUAAUGCAUAACCCAUAAACGAUAGUGGUAAUUCGAUAAGAGACAUCAUAGCAUGCACCAUACCAAAUAGUGCGUGGCUAUGACGUUCAGACACAUCAUCACACUAUGCUGUUCCAGGUGGCAUGAACUGCGAAACAAUUUCCACAUUGUCUUAACUACGUACCAAAGCUCGUAACUUAGAUAUUCAUUUCUAUGAUCAUCUCGUAGACAGUUUAUCCUUUUGUUACGACGAACUUCACUCCGAAACAGAAUUGAACUUUUCAAUAUUUUAGACUUGUGAUUCAUUAAGUAAAUACUCUUGUAUCUACUCAAAUCGUCAUUGAAGUAAGAACAUAAUGAUAUCCACUACGUGCCGCAUCACCCAUUGGACUGCAUACAUCAAAAUGUAUCACUUCCAACAAGUUACUAUCUUGUUUCAUCUCAAUAUAAACAAGGCCUUGCUCAUGUGGUAUGAUUUGCAUGUCACUAGUGAUUCAAAAUCAAGUGAGUAUAAAGAUCCAUCAGCAUGGAGCCUCUUCAUGCAAUUUAUACCAACCUGACUCAAGCGGCAGUGCCACCAGUAAGUGGUACUAUCAUCAUUACCUCGUAUCUUUUGGCACCAAUAUCAUGAACAUGUGUGACACUACGAUCGAGAUUCAAUAAACCAUUGAAGGUGAUUAUUCAAGCAAAUAGAGUAACCAUUAUUCUAUUUAAAUGAAUAAUCGUAUUGCAAUAAACACGAUCCAAUCAUGUUCAUGCUUAACGCAAGCACCAAAUAACAAUUAUUUAGGUUUAACACCAAUCCCGAUGGUAGAGGGAGCGUGCGACGUUUGAUCAUAUCAACCUUGGAAACACUUCCAACACGUAUCGUCACCUCGCCUUUAGCUAGUCUCCGUUUAUGCCGCACCUUUCAUUUCGUGUUACUAAUCACUUAGCAACCGAACCGGUAUCCAAUACCCUCGUGCUACUAGGAGUACUAGUAAAGUACACAUCAACAUCAUGUAUAUCAAAUAUACUUCUUUCGACUUUUGCCAGCCUUCUUAUCUACCAAGUAUCUAGAGUUGCUCCGCCUCAGUGACCGUUCCCCUCAUAAGAGAAGCACUUAGUCCCGGGCUUGGGUUUAAUCUGGGGUCUCUUCAUUAGUGCAGCAACUGCUUUGCCGUUUCACGAAGUAUCCCUUCUAGCCCUUGCCUUUCUUGAAACUUAGUGGUUUUACUAACCAUCAACUAUUGAGGCUCCUUCUUGAUUUCUACUCUCGCAGUGUCAAACAUCGCGAAUCGCUCAAGGAUCAUUGUAUCUAUCCUUGAUAUGUUAUAGUUCAUCACGAAGCUCUCACAGCUUGGUGGCAGUGACUUUGGAGAACCAUCACUAUCUUAUCUGGAAGAUCAACUCCCACUUGAUUCAAGCGAUUGUCGUACUCAGAUAAUCUGAGCACACGCUCAACGAUUGAGCUUUUCUCCUUUACUUCGUGGACAAAGAAUCUUGUCGGAGGUCUCAUACCUCUUAACAAGGGCACAAGCAUGAAAUCACAAUUUCAUCUCUUUAGAACACCUCUCAUGUUCCGUGACGUUUCAAAACGUCUUCGGCCCCUUGCUUCUAAGCCAUUAAGUAUUUUGUACUGAACUAUCGUAUAGUCAUCAGAAACGUGUAUGUCGGAUGUUCACAACAUCUACAGACGACGCUCGAGGUGCAGCACACCGAGUGGUGCAUUAAGGACAUAAGCCUUCUACGCACCAACGAGGACAAUCCUCGGUUUUACAAACUCAGUCUACAAAGUUUGCUACUAUCAACUUUCAACUAAAUUUCUCUAGGAACAUAUAAAAACAGUAGAGCUAUAGCGCAAGCUACAUCGUAAUUCGCAAAGACCAUUAGACUAUGUUCAUGACAAUUAGUUCAAUUAAUCAUAUUACUUAAGAACUCCCACUCAAAAAGUACAUCUCUCUAGUCAUUUGAGUGGUACAUGAUCCAAAUCCACUAUCUCAAGUCUGAUCAUCACGUGAGUCGAGAAUAGUUUCAGUGGUAAGCAUCUCUAUGCUAAUCAUACCAACUAUACGAUUCAUGCUUGACCUUUCGGUCUCAUGUGUUCCGAGGCCAUGUCUGCACAUGCUAGGCUCGUCAAGCUUAACCCGAGUGUUCCGUGUGUGCAACUGUUUUGCACCCGUUGUAUGUGAACGUUGAGUCUAUCACACCCGAUCAUCACGUGGUGUCUCGAAACGAAGAACUGUCGCAACGGUGCACAGUCGGGGAGAACACAAUUUCGUCUUGAAAUUUUAGUGAGAGAUCACCUCAUAUUGCUACCGUCGUUCUAAGCAAGAUAAGGUGCAUAAAGGAUUAACAUCACAUGCAAUUCAUAAGUGACAUGAUAUGGCCAUCAUCAUGUGCUUCUUGAUCUCCAUCGCCAAAGCACCGACACGAUCUUCUUGUCACCAGCGUCACACCAUGAUCUCCAUCAUGAUCUCCAUCAACGUGUUGCCAUCGGGGUUGUCGUGCUACUCAUGCUAUUAGUACUAAAGCUACGUCCUAGCAAUAUAGUAAACACAUCUGCAAGCACAAACGUUAGUUUAAAGACAACCCUAUGGCUCCUGCCGGUUGCCGUACCAUCGACGUGCAAGUCGAUAGUAACUAUUACAACAUGAUAAUCUCAUACAUCCAAUAUAUCACAUCACAUCGUUGGCCAUAUCACAUCACAAGCAUAUACCCUGCAAAAACAAGUUACCGUCCUCUAAUUGUUGUUGCAUGUUUUACAUGGUGACCAUGGGUAUCUAGUAGGAUCGCAUCUUACUUACGCAAACACCACAAUGGAGAUAUAUGAAUUGCUAUUUAACCUCAUCCAAGGACCUCCUCGGUCAAAUCCGAUUCAACUAAAGUUGGAGAAACCGACACUCGCCGGUCAUCUUUGAGCAACAGAGUUACUCGUAGCGAUGAAACCAGUCUCCCGUAAGCGUACGAGUAAUGUCGGUCCGAGCCGCUUCGAUCCAACAAUACUGCGGAAUCAAGAAAAGACUAAGGAGGGCAGCAAAAUGCACAUCACUGCCCACAAAAACUUUUGUGUUCUACUCGAGAUUACAUCUACGCAUGAACCUAGCUUUGAUACCACUGUUGGGGAACGUCGCAUGGGAAACAAAAUUUUCCUACGCGCACGAAGACCUAUCAUGGUGAUGUCCAUCUACGAGAGGGGAUUUCCGAUCUACGUACCCUUGUACAUCGCACAGCAGAAGCGUUAGUGAAUGCGUUUGAUGUAGUGGAACGUCCUCACGUCCCUCGAUCCGCCCCGCGAACCGUCCCACGAACCGUCCCGCGAUCCGUCCCACGAUCCACUCCGAUCUAGUGCCGAACGUACGACACCUCCGCGUUCAGCACACGUACAGCUCGACGAUGAUCUCGGCCUUCUUGAUCCAUAAAGAGAGACGGAGAGGUAGAUGAGUUCUUUGGCAGCGUGACGGCGCUCCGGAGGUUGGUGGUGAUCUAAUCUCAGCAGGGCUCCGCCCGAGCUCCGUAGAAACGCGAUCUAGAGGUAAAACCAUGGAGGUAUGUGGUCGGGUUGCCGUGGCAAAAGUUGUCUCAAAUCAGCCCUGAAACCCCACUAUAUAUAGGAGGGAGGGGAGGAGGCAGCCUCAAAACCUAAAGGUUUGGCCGAAAUUCGAGGUGUAGGAGUCCUACUCCAAUCCUACUUGGAGUAGGAUUCCACCUUCCCACUUGGAAACUCUUUCCACCUUGUGUUUUUUCCUUCUCAAACCUUAUGGGCCUUAGUGGGAACUUAUUCCAGCCCACUAGGGGCUGGUUUAUCUCUUCCCAUAGCCCAUGAGACCCCUUGGGGCGUGACACCCCUCUCGGCACUCCCACUACACUACCAAUGAGCCCGAAACUUUUCCAGUAAUGCACGAAAACCUUUCGGUAACCAAAUGAGGUCAUCCUAUAUAUCAAUAUUCGUUUCCGGACCAUUCCGGAAACCCUCGUGACGUCCGUGAUCUCAUCUGGGACUUCGAACAACAUUCGGUAACCAACCAUAUAACUCAAAUACGCAUAAAACAACGUCGAACCUUAAGUGUGCAGACCCUGCGGGUUCGAGAACUAUGUAGACAUGGGGGGGGGGACUCCUCGGUCAAUAUCCAAUAGCGGGACCUGGAUGCCCAUAUUGGAUCCUACAUAUUCUACGAAGAUCUUAUCGUUUGAACCUCAGUGCCAAGGAUUCCGUAUGUCAUUCCCUUUGUCCUUCGGUAUGUUACUUGUCUGAGAUUCGAUCGUCAGUAUCCGCAUACCUAUUUCAAUCUCGUUUACCGGCAUCUCUCUUUACUCGUUCCGUAAUACAAGAUCCCGCAACUUACACUAAGUCACAUUGCUUGCAAGGCUUGUGUGUGAUGUUGUAUUACCGAGUGGGCCCCGAGAUACCUCUCCGUCAUACGGAGUGACAAAUCCCAGUCUUGAUCCAUACUAACUCAACGAACACCUUCGGAGAUACCUGUAGAGCAUCUUUAUAAUCACCCAGUUACGUUGCGACGUUUGAUACACACAAAGCAUUCCUCUGGUGUCAGUGAGUUAUAUGAUCUCAUGGUCAUAGGAACAAAUACUUGACACGCAGAAAACAGUAGCAACAAAAUGACACGAUCAACAUGCUACGUCUAUUAGUUUGGGUCUAGUUUAUCACAUGAUUCUCCUAAUGAUGUGAUCCCGUUAUCAAGUGACAACACUUGCCUAUGGUCAGGAAACCUUGACCAUCUUUGAUCAACGAGCUAGUCAACUAGAGGCUUACUAGGGACAGUGUUUUGUCUAUGUAUCCACACAUGCAAUGUGUUUCCAAUCAAUACAAUUAUAGCAUGGAUAAUAAACGAUUAUCAUGAACAAAGAAAUAUAAUAAUAACUAAUUUAUUAUUGCCUCUAGGGCAUAUUUCCAACAGGAUAAGGUGAAGUGUUUAAGAUUGUAGCAUCCUAAGCUUGAUUUGGUGGCUAACUUACGUAGAACAUGUAUGAAGGUGAACUAUACUAUCGACCGUGAAUACUUGAUCACUAAGUGAUCCUGGACACCUACCUACGUCAUUCAUAACCCCACCGUGUUCCCGAUCGAAGAAAGAUCUUCGAGGGGACAGUCACGGUUACACACACAGUUGGCAAUUUUAUUAGCUUUUGUUUAAGUUAUCUAAUACCGGAUGUUAACAAAAUAUUCCAAGUUGCCACAUAACCGCGGGCACGACUUUCCGAAAGAUUAAACCCUGCAGGGGUGCUCCAACUAGUCCAUCACAAACGUACACGGGCCGCAAAGUAAUCCUCUAUCACGAAUCUCGUGAUUUCGUCGGAUUCCUUAGAGGAAAACCUCAACUCUGGGGUGAACCAAAGCUUCAUCGGGAUUCCUAUACGCAAGAUAUAUCGCUAAGGUAAGACAGGACUAGCAGGACCUCCCGACAUGUCGACGACCCUGAUAAGAGCCGCGUAUCUCAGUCUCAGGACAUGCCGUAUGGAACUAGCUACAGGUACCAAACCUCAAGUUUCCUUGUGGUGGCCCCGGAGGCAGACCAGUUUGGACCAACACUCAUGAGGAGCACUAGCCCGGGUUGUUGAUUAAAGAUCCUCAUGGUGAUCAUUCCCUAUGCAGAUUAUUAUGUGAUUAGCAAAUUAACACCAAUGCUGGGUCCUGCCGGACAAGUCUUAACACUACGCAAUUUAUCAAGGGGGUCCCCAUAACAACCCCGACCGUGUUAGGAGCGAUCAUUAUGGAAUCAAACACCGGUAGCCGGUAACUAUGGCGGCAAUAAUGGAACAAAGCACCCGACAAAAGGCUAGGCUUUCCAUCAUUUACCAAGUAUAUAGGUGCAUUAAAUAAAUAACAGAAUUUAGAUAAUGAUAUCAAUCUCAUGUUGUCACAUGAGACAAAGCACCUGCAUCUAGCAACGCUAACAUUAGUAGCUGAGCAAAGCCUACUUAGCCAUUCAAGUUUUUGCUAGGAAGGGAUAGUGUCUGGUUUCAUGGCAUAUCAGGAGGCAAUUUAAUUCAGUGGUAGGCAGCGAGCAAUUGACGUGCAAACGUAAACUAGCAUAACAAGUCUAGAGAUGGAAUCAAGGUCAUAUCAUCUUGUGUGUGAUAUCCUCAGCUUGGAAUGGUUCUUGAUCGUCCUGCACGUACUCUCCCGAAUCCACGUACUCUUUCUCCGAUCCCGGUGCUACCCAACAUAAGAAUAACAUCCAAUGAACAACAGCACCUCAAUAUGCAACAAGCACAUGAUGCAUGAGAUUAAUAUGAGAAUGCAUCACUAUUUCUAUUACUAACACAAGCUUAAGGAGUUAAAACAAGUUCCUGGACAGAACUGCAUGCUAACCUAUUUUUACAUGCAUGAGAAUGACAUGAUCAGAUGCGUCUCGUGAAAACGAUGCAAAACCAUAUAAAGAACAUUACAAUCGGAGCUACGGAUCAACGGGAAUCAACGAAAUAAGAUAUGAAGCCCUACGUGUCAAAAUCAUCACCACACACUCAAAUGGCACAAAUCUGGUAUUCCCAGGUUGCCAAGACAUAAAAAAAACCAUCAUGGAUGGGGUGGAGCAAAGAAGAACACCACAACAUCAACUAAGCACUCACAAACUUCAAAAUGACAAAACUACAUAAUCUGCCAUAAACUGCAUCAUAGCACUUUGUGAGCUACAUGCAAAGCACCUACAUCCACCCAACCAUGACAAAUAAUAUAUGUGGCUGUAGCUAGCCAAGAAUACUACCAGCAAAAGCAAGAAUCACACAAAAAAGGAAUUAAACACAGGAAGAUACAAGGCUGCAAACUUUCCCAAAACCAUCAGAUCGCAGGGACUUAGUGAAAAUUCCUGCACCUAACUUUCUGUCUUUGCUCUGAAGCUUUUUGACAGCAGCCAAAACAAUACCUACAGGGCUCCAAAUGACAGGAAAUUUUAUACGGAGCUAUACACACAUAUCAGGUCCAACUUUCUAGUUGAAAGGUAGGGCUAGAUCACAACACAAUGACCAUCACAACCUCAUCUACAGGAGAAGCAAAUAUAAACAGAUUCUCAGACUUAGUGAAAAUCUCAUAUUUUCACUAAGCUGGAAUUUCAGCCACAAGCCUACUUUGGAUGGGCACAAUUUGCACACAUGGAUUCCAAAUCAUGAAUUGAAACCAACAUGUGGUAGAGGGGGUCACCCUCUACUACCACAACCAAGAAACAAAUACAAGAGCACAUCACAAUUCAUGGAACCAAGCUCUAAACUUAGAAGAAAAAUGUAAAUAUGACUAUUGCAGAAAAUGUUCCAAUGGCAAAAAGGAUUUCACCAAUGGAUUCCUGGGACCUUUCUACCCCAAAACCAUAUAUAAAACAUAUGCACUUGCUUGGAACAAGUGAUCACAAACUAGGAAGGAAAACAACAUAGAUUCCUAUAUAGUGAAUAGUGCAACAUCUCAUGUGCACUCACUAGAUCAACUCCUACAUGGAUGCUUGUUCAUGUGCACAACACCAAUGGUUACAUGAGGGUUUUGACCCCACGUAUGUGUGUCAUAACACAUCAACAUCACAAGCACCUCUACCAAGCUAUCCACACAAACAAAACACCAUGCCCUCUCACAUAUGGUCAUGUGAAGGUGCAUAGCUUGCUUGCAAAGGUGGAAUGCUUCUCACACACACAUCUACUCCACAUCACCCACAAGCACAUCAUGCUCUUGAUCAAAACACAUACCUACACAUGUUAUGAUAGCAAUAAUCACUAGAACAAGCUCACACACACAAGGUAUAUGUGGUGAGGGGGAGACCCUCCACACACAUACACACUCCUCUAAAACUUAUAAGAUCACUACACAAGAAAUAUGGGCAGCACACAUGAUCAAGCUAGACCUGCAUUCCUACUAACAUAAAACAACCCACACAACUCUACUCAAAGCAACUACAUGCACACACAAGCAUCAACACCAUGUAUGCCCACAUAAACACACAUACACCACACCACCUAUGUUGCCAUCAACAAUAGAAGUGUUAGACAUGAAAGAAAAAAUAAAGAAGAUGCACACCCUCAUGUCUAUUGUUUAGUCACAAGGUGUAGCAAGCAUAUAGCAAGGCAAAAAAAAUACAAGGAAGAAAGGAAAAUUAAAAGGGCAGACCUGGGUUUCGAACCCCAGUGCCCCUUGUACUGCCCUGUGGUGCAAACCACCCUGCUACCAUGCUCAAGCUCGACAGGGAAGGUUAGCUAAGAAGGUAAAACUGCACUGUUGCUGCAAACGCUACUGUCAGGAUAAAAUGAAAAAAGGGGGAGGUGUAUCCCGUGGGAAUUGAUCCCUGCACCUCGCGAGAACAACCACAAGAUGCCAACCACUGCGCUACGCUACUGCUACUGCCACAGAGGAGGAGGCAUCUCUGAAGAACAACCUCCCUGCUACGAAGCAUCUGCCGGCGGCGACCGAACCAGAGGAAGAUGCCGCGUCUACCACGACCACCUACGCCAUACUACGCUGCGGGGGGUGAAGUAGGAUCGGCAGGGGAUCCAUUCCCGCCUCGAAAGGGACCUACCGACGCAUCUGGCAACGGGCACAACCUCAUCUACCACUGCGUUGUUUGUUGUCAUUGCACCCGAGCAGAGCACCUCGGCGACGAGCUAGAGCUACGCCUCGCUAGAGAGGAAAGAGAAGGGACGGCGGCUACUCACCGAGGGGGAAGGAGAGGAGAGGACGACAUCGUCGUGGAAGAAGAAGAAGUGGUGUUGGUCUCCGUAGGAAGAAGCCGCCCGAACCAGAGGAAGGAGGUGCACGUCGGGGACGUCGAGGAAGAAGCCCCGGCUCCGGCUCCGCGCAAAAAUGGAACCCCUCCUGGGUCCUCUUGCUUGCGCAGCUGCGGGGAGGCGACGAGGUUGGUGCUACGCCGGCGUCGAGCUCGACCCGGAGCUACUCAUGGCGUUGGGAACGACCUCGUGGUCUCUGGCGGCGCGGGAGGGAGAAGAGGAGGAACCCUAGCCACCUGGGGGAGGGAGAGGAGAGCUUAUAUGAGCCUCGGGGGACGAGCUGGAGCCGCAAGAUCAAGGCAAGGACGAUCGGGAGGCUGAGACUCGGUCGUACAAGCAUGACGUCAGGAGGAAGAAGAGAGGGUUGCUAGCUGGGCUCCUGUGCUGCGAAGAGGAGGGGAAGAUGGGCCACCAGAGCGGGAGGAAGCCCACUUAGGCGCCAGAUAGAGAGAAGACAACUCCGUGGACUAAAUCCUUUUAAAAGAAAUACCAGAGAAAAGAAAAAUAAACACAGGGUUUUCUGUAGGAGAUAAAAACAAAAUAAAAAUGCCCCUGGUCAUGAAAACAUUUAACCUAAUUGAAUAAAAUACAAAGGGAAUUUUUGGAGCAACUUGAAUAAAUGCAAAACAGCAAUUUAGUUUCUGUUUUGGAUAUAUUUGCACCCUUAUUUCAACUCAACAAAACAUCAAAUAUGUCACUCCAUCAUCCUCACAAUAUUCUCUAAACAUUGGACAUUUUAAAAACAGGGAAGGAACAAGUAAAUAUUUCAACUAGGGAAUAAAGAGAGAGAGAGAGGGUUUGCAACCAAAGAGUUUUUGCAAAGAUCCAACACCACGCUACCACUUCUACUUUUCACCACAACACAUAUGCACCCACAUCACAAGAACUCACAAGACCCCACAUCAUCACUACCACCUUGCAAUCACAAAGUCACAAAGAUACAUGGAAGAGAUGAUAUGACAUGCAUGCAUGCAAGGAAGAAAAAUACAAGGGACAUCACAUGAAGUCAUGGCACAAAUGAUAUUAUCAUAUCCCUGACAAGGUGGACCCACUUGCAAUAGGUUCCAAAUAGGGAAGGUUUACACUUGGGGCACUACAGAUCUAUCCAAGUAGGUCUCACAAACUCAUCUCUUGCAUUUACUUUUUUGCCAGUUGCCUCUCGUUUUCCUCUCCCCCACUUCACAUUUGCCGUUUUCAUUUGCCUUUCUCCUUUGCCAUUUUCUUUUGGGGGCUCUUACCUUUUUGCCAUUUUCCUUUUCCUGUUUUUUCUCACUCGCUCUUGGGCUUGUUCGUAUGAGACCUUUUCUCAUGGCCACACCAAACUAUUUCAGAAGAUUGGAAGACAUUGAAACUAGUGUCAAAGGUUUCAUGUCUUCUUAGUUUGACCAGAAUAGUUACUUCCGUAGAGAAUUAAAAGAGCAAAGUUCUUUUAUGGCCUGUUUGAAUAAAAAAGUUGAUGACAUGGCCAAAGAAUUCCUUGCACUAAAUUCUCAGCUUGCUCACCUUGAAAAAUUGGUGGGCCAAAUUUCUGACAAGCAGGCCACCUUAAUCAAUAAGAUGGCAGCUAAACCGGAAAUUUGUGAUGCAAAUCACGAAGAUCUUAAAGUGCUUGGUGUGACUCCUCUUGAAUCUUUGUUUUCGCGUGUCAAACCUAUUGAUGAAGGGGCUGGAUAUGAAUCCACUUUGGUUGAAAAACGCCCCAAUGAUUCGGAGUCUACCCAUCUUGAUGAUAAAGGUGUGGAGAGUGGAGUAGAAGAAGUCAAAAUUUUGGGUAGUAAUGAAACUCCCACUUUGGAUUUCAAGGAAUUCAAUUAUGAUAAUUGCUCUUUGUUUGAAUGCAUUUCUUUGAUGCAAUCCAUUGCAAACUCUCCACAUGCUUAUAGCCAAAGCAAAGCCUUUACCGCGCAUAUCGUACAUGCUAUGAUGAAAUCUCUUGAAGAGAAACUCGAACUAGAAGUCUCUAUACCUAGAAAACUUCAUGAUGAGUGGGAACCUACUAUCAAAAUCAAGAUAAAAAACUAUGAGUGCAAUGCUUUGUGUGAUUUGGGUGCUAGUGUUUCCGCGAUUCCAAAGUCUUUAUGUGAUAUUCUUGGUUUUCAUGAGAUUGAAAUGUGUUCUCUUAAUUUGCAUCUUGCAGAUUCUACUGUCAAGAAACCCAUGGGAAGGAUCGAUGAUGUUCUUAUUGUUGCAAAUAAGAACUAUGUACCCGUGGAUUUUAUUGUGCUUGACAUAGAUUGCAAUCCUUCAUGUCCCAUUAUUCUUGGUAGACCUUUCCUAAGGACUAUUGGUGCUAUCAUCGAUAUGAAGGAAGGGAAUAUUAGAUUUCAAUUUCCUUUGAAGAAGGGCAUGCAACACUUUCCUAGAAAGAAAAUAAGAUUACCUUAGGAAUCUAUGAUGAGGGCUACUUAUGGUUUGAGCACCAAAGAUGACCAUACGUGAUUCCAUCACCUUUUGCCUAGCUAAGGGCGUUAAACAAUAGCGCUUGUUGGGAGGCAACCAACAAAUCUAUCCUUUUUCUUUCUGUUUUGUGUUUUCCACACUUUCAUAAUUCUUUUAUAAUUGUGUUUUUUGUGUUUAUUUUUGCGUUUGUGCCAAGCAAAACCGUUAUGAUUAGUCUUGGGGAUGAUCAUCUGGUGAUGCUGGAAAAGGCAGAAACUUUCUGCUCACGAAAAGAAUUUCAUUUUUUUCGUAAGAGCUUUUGAGUUGAUUCUUUUUUUUGCUGAUCGCUACACAAAUUCUUCAGACUGUCGUAAUGUUUCAAAUUUUUUGAAGUACCAGAAGUAUAGGAAGUAUACAGAUUGCUACAGACUGGUUUGCUGUUAACAGAUUCUGUUUUUGUUGUGUUGGUUGCUUAAUUUCAUGAAACUAUGGAUAGUAUCGGGGGGUAUUAGCCAUGGAAGAUCGAAAAUACAGUAACCCAACAUCAACAUAAGUAGAAUUUAAGUUUGCUACAGUACCUAAGGAAGUGGUGGUUUGCUUUCUUAUACUAAUGUUAUCAUGAGUUUCUGUUUAAGUUUCGUGUUGUGAAGUUUUCAAGUUUUGGGUGAAGUUCUUAUGGACAAAGAGAUAAAGAGUGGCAAGUGCUCAAGCUUGGGGAUUCCCAAGGCACCCCAAGAGAUUCAAGGAUGCCGUAAAAGCCUAAGCUUGGGGAUGCCUCGGGAAGGCAUCCCCUCUUUCGUCUUCAAUCCAUCGGUAACGUUACUUGGGGCUAUAUUUUUAUUCACCACAUGUUAUGUGUCUUGCUUGGAGCGUCUUGUAUCGUAUGAGUCUUUUAUUUUUGUUGUGUCACAAUCAUACUUGCUGCACACCUAAAACGAGAGACAUGCACUCACCGUGAUUUUGUCGAGCUUCACUUAUAUCCUUUGGUAGACAAUUCAGCUCACAUGUGCUUCACUUAUAUCUUUUGAGCUAGUUGAUUUUGCUCUAUGUGCUUCACUUAUAUCUUUUAGAUCACAUCGGUCCGUGGCUUGGUAGUUGAUCUAUGCUUUGAAAGUAGUCUCGAAAGGGGUAGUUAUCCAAAGGGAUAUGAAAACUUCCACCUUCAUGUGCAUUGAAUAGUUAGAGAAGUUUGAUUCAUCUCAAUUAGUUUUGAGUUGUGGUUGUGGUAAUAUUGAAGUUAUGCUAGUAAGGUGUUGUGGAUCUAGAAAUACUUGUGUUGAAGUUAGUGAUUCCCGUAGCAUGCACGUAUGGUGAACCGCCAUGUGAUGAAGUCUGAGCAUGAUUAGUCUAUUGAUUGUCAUCCUUUGUGUGACGGUCGGGAUCGCGCGAUGGUUUAUACCUACCAACCCUUCCCCUAGGAGUAUGCGCUGAAUGCUUUGUUUCGAUUACUAAUAAAACUUUUGCAACAAGUAUAUGAGUUCUUCAUGACUAAUGUUGAGUCCAUGGUUUAGAUGCACUUUCACCUUCCACCAUCACUAUCUUCUUAGUGCCGUGCAACUUUUGCCAGUGCACAAAACCCACCAUUAGCCUCCCUCAAAACAGCCACCAUACCUACCUACUAUGGCUUUUUUAAAGUCAUUCCGAGAUAUAUUGCCAUGCAACUACCACCGUGACAUGUGCCACCACUUCUACUUCGCCAUUGCAUGAUCGUAAGAUAGCUAGCAUGAUGUUUCCAUUAAUGUCUAUGCCAUGCGAGAUCAUUGUCACGGUACACUACCGAAGGCAUUCCAUAUAGAGUCAUCGUUGCUCUAAGUUUUGAGUUGAAAGUGUGAUGAUCAUCAUUGAUGGAGCAUUGUCCCAUGUGAGGAAAUAAAAGAGGCCAAAGAGCCCAUUCACAAAAAAAUGAGAGAAAGAGAGAAGGGACAAUGCUACCACCUUUCCACACUUGUGCAUAUUAAGCACCAUGAUCUUCAUGAUUGAGAGUCUCUCGUUUUGUCACCACCAUAUAGCUAGUGGGAAUUUUUCAUUAUAUAACUUGUCUUGUAUAUUCCAAUGAUAGGCUUCCUCAAAUUUGCCUUAGGUCUUCGUGAGCAAGCAAGUUGGAUGCACACCCACUAGUUUUCUUUAAGAGCUUUCACAUACUCUUAGCUCUAGUGCAUCAUUUGUAUGGCAAUCCCUACUCAUUCACAUUGAUAUCUAUUGAUGAGCAUCUCCACAGCUCAUUGAUAUGCCUAGUUAAUGUGAUCAUCUUCUCCUUGUUUGUCUUGCAACCUCCACCACACUCCACACCACUUAUAGUGCUAAAACCAUGGCUCACGCUCAUGUAUUGUGUGAGAGUUGAAAAGGUUUGAGAAAGUAAAGGUGUGAAAACAAUUACUUGGCCAAUACCGGGGUUGUGCAUGAUUUAAAUUUGUUGUGCAAUGAUGAUAGAGCAUAGCCAGACUAUAUGCUUUUAUAGGGAUAACUUUCUUUUGGCCUUGUUAUUUUGAAAGUUCAUGAUUACUUUGCUAGUUUGCUUGAAGUAUUAUUGUUUCCACGUCAAUGGCAAAGUAUUGUUUUGAAUCUAAUGGAUCUAAACAUUCACGUCACAUAAGAGGAGUUACAAAGGACAUCUAUGCUAGGUAGCAUGAAAGCAUCAAAAAAUCAUACUUUAUCACUUCCCUACUCGAGGACGAGCAGGAGUUCAGCUUGGGGAUGCUUGAUAUGUCUCAAACGUAUCUAUAAUUUUUGAUGGUUUCAUGCUGUUAUCUUGUCAUCUUUGGAUGUUUUAUGUACCUUUUAUAUCUUUUUUGGGACUAACUUAUUAAUUCAGUGCCAAGUGCCAGUUCCUGUUUUUUCUGUGUUUUUGACUCUUUUCAGAUCUGAUUUUGGAACGGAGUCCAGACGGAAUAAAAUCCCCGAAAUAAAUUUUUCCCGAACGGAAGAAGAUAAGGGGGCUUGAGGGCCAAGCCAGGAGAGCUACAGGGGGCCCACAAGCCCUGUAGCUGCCACCACGGGGUGGGGGCGGCGACUAGCAGGCUUGUGGCCUCCCUGGCGCCUCCCUGACCUAGCUCCUUCGCCUAUAUAUUCCCUAAAAUACAGAAAAAAUGAGGGAAUCCACGAAAACACUUUUCCGCCGCCGCAAGCUUCCGUUUCUGCGAGAUCUCAUCUGGAGACCCUUUCCGGUGCCCUGCCGGAGGGGACUUUGGAGUUGGAGGGCUUCUUCAUCAACAUCAUCGCCCCUCCAAUGACUCAUGAGUAGUUCACUUCAGACCUACGGGUCCGUAGUUAGUAGCUGGAUGGCUUCUUCUCUCUCUUGGAUCUUCAAUACAAAGUUCUCCAUGAUCUUCAUGGAGAUCUAUCCGAUGUAAUCCUCUUUGGCGGUGUGUUUGUCGAGAUCCGAUGAAUUGUGGAUUUGUGAUCAGAUUAUGAUAUAUAUUUGAGUCUUUGCUGAUUUCUUUUAUGCAUGAUUUGAUAUCCUUGUAAGUCUCUCCGAGUCUUGGGUUUUGUCCGGCCAACUAGAUCUAUGAUUCUUGCAAUGGGAGAAGUGCUUGGUUUUGGGCUAAUACCGUGUGGUGACCUUUCCCAGUGACAGUAGGGGCAGCAAGGCAUACAUCAUGUAGUUGCCAUCAAGGGUAACAAGGUGGGCUUUGUCGUAGACAUGAGAUUGUCCAUCUACAUCAUGUCAUCUUGCUUAAGGCGUUACUCUGUUCUUUUGGACUUAAUACACUAGAUGCAUGCUGGAUAGCGGUCGACGUGUGGAGUAAUAGUAGUAGAUGCAGAAAGUAUCGGUCUACUUGUUUUGGACGUGAUGCCUAUAGAUAUAAUCAUUGCCAUAGAUGACGUCAUGACUUUGCGCGGUUCUAUCAAUUGCUCGACAGUAAUUUGUUCACCCACCGUCUACUUGCUUUCAUGAGAGAAGCCACUAGUGAACACUAUGGCCCCCGGGUCUAUUCACACCUAUCGUUUCCACUUUCGCUUUUACUUUGCUUUGUUACUUUGUUGCUUUCAGUUCUCACUUGGCAAACAAUCUAUAAGGGAUUGAAAACCCCUUCAUAGCGUUGGGAGCAAGCUUUUUGUGUUUGUGCAGGUACUUGUGAUACUCCUUCACUGGAUUGAUACCUUGGUUCUCAAAACUGAGGGAAAUACUUACCACCGCUGCGCUACAUCACCCUUUACGCUUCGUGGGAACACCAACGCAAGGCUCCAAGGCCACAGGGAAAUCCUUUGCAUAUUUGCCUAGGAAGUCCCUAAAGGCGUAGCCGUAGCAGAAGGAUUCCUGGUGCCGUUGCUGAGGAGAAUCAAGACAAGAAUAGUCUCCCGUCAGCACGUGUUUCUGGCGCCGUUGGAAGGUCUUUUGUUGCAGUAGCAAUGCCCGUGUUGAGAAAUAUGAAGUCUCCGACAAGUUCUUUAGCUGUAAGAUGGAGGAGAAUAGUUCUGUCAGUGAGCACAUACUCAAAAUGUCUGGGUUAAACGGUCGUCUGACUUCACUUGGAGUCGAACUUCCGGAUGAUGCUAUAAUUGACAGAAUCCUCCAGUCUCUCCCACUAAGCUACAAAGGUUUUGUGCUGAACUACAACAUGCAAGGGAUGGAGAAGACCAUUCCCAAGUUGUAGUCGAUGCUCAAGUCUGCAGAAGUAGAAAUCAAGAAAGAGCAUCAAGUGUUGAUGGUCAACAAGACCACCAGUUUCAAGAAGGGAAAGGGUAAGAAGAACUUCAAGAAAGAUGGCAAAGCCGUUGCCGCACCCGGUAAGCCAGAUACCGUGAAGAAGAAAAAGAAUGGACCCAAGCCUGAGACUGAGUGCUUCUAUUGCAAGGGAAAAGGUCACUGGAAGCGGAACUGCUCCAAGUACUUAGCGAACAAGAAGGCCAGCAACGUUAAAGGUAUAUGUGAUAUACAUGUUAUUGAUGUGUACCUUACCAGCGCUCGUAGUAGCUCCUGGGUAUUUGAUACCGGUGCUGUUGCUCACAUUUGCAACUCAAAGCAGGAACUGCGGAAUAAGCGGAGACUGGCCAAGGAUGAGGUGACGAUGCGCGUCGGGAAUGGCUCCAAGGUCGAUGUGAUCACCGUCGGCACGCCACCUCUACAUCUACCGUGAGGAUUAGUUUUAAACCUUAAUAAUUGUUAUUUAGUACCAGCUUUGAGCAUGAAUAUUGUAUCAGGGUCUUGCUUAAUGCGAGACGGCUACUCAUUUAAGUCAGAGAAUAAUGGUUGUUCUAUUUAUAUGAGUGAUAUGUUUUAUGGUCAUGCUCCGCUGGUGAAUGGUUUAUUCUUGAUGAAUCUCGAUCGUGAUGUUACACAUAUUCAUAGUGUGAGUACCAAAAAAUGUAAAGUUGAUAAUGAUAGUCCCACAUACUUGUGGCACUGCCGCCUUGGUCAUAUCGGUGUUAAGCGCAUGAAGAAGCUCCAUACUGAUGGACUAUUAGAGUCUCUUGACUUUGAAUCAUUUGACACAUGCGAACCGUGCCUCAUGGGCAAGAUGACUAAGACUCCAUUCUCAGGAAUAAUGGAGAGAGCGACCGACUUAUUGGAAAUAAUACAUACUGAUGUGUGUGGUCCAAUGAACGUUGAAGCUCGCGGUGGCUACCGUUAUGUUCUCACUCUCACCGAUGAUUUGAGUAGGUAUGGGUAUAUCUACUUGAUGAAGCACAAAUCUGAGACGUUUGAAAAGUUCAAGAAAUUUCAGAGUGAGCUUGAGAAUCAACGUGACAGAAAAAUUAAGUGUCUACGAUCUGAUCGUGGAGGAGAAUAUUUGAGUCACGAGUUUGGCACACACCUAAGGAAGCGUGGAAUCAUUUCACAAGUGACACCGCCUGGCACACCGCAACGCAAGAGAGUGUCUGAACGUCGUAAUCACACUUUAUUAGAUAUGGUACGAUCUAUGAUGUCUCUUACCGACUUACCGCUAUCAUUUUGGGGAUACACAUUAGAAACUGCAGCAUUCACUUUAAAUAGGGCACCGUCUAAAUUCGUUGAGACGAUACCGUAUGAACUAUGGUUUGGCAAGAAACCUAAGUUGUCGUUUCGUAAAGUUUGGGGCUGCGAUGCUUAUGUGAAGAAACUUCAACCAGAGAAGCUCGAACCCAAAGCGGAGAAAUGCGUAUUCAUAGGAUACCCUAAGGAAACUAUUGGGUAUACCUUCUAUCUUAGAUCCAAAGGUAAAACCUGUGUUGCCAAGAACGGAAAGUGGGAGGAAAGUAGAACUUGAUGAGGUAAUUACACCCCCUCUCGAAAGAAGUAAGUGGGAGGAAAGUAGAACUUGAUGAGGUAAUUGCACCCCCUCUCGAACCGGAAAGUAGCAUAGCACGAGAAAUUGUUCCUGUGGCGCCUACACCAACUGAAGAGGAAGUUAAUGACGAUGAUCAUGAAGCUUCAGAUCAAGUUGCUACUGAACCAUGAAGGUCCACAAGGGUACGCUCCGCACCAGAGUGGUACGGCAACCCUGUGAUGGAAAUCAUGUUGUUAGACAAUGGUGAACCUUCGAACUAUGAAGAAGCAAUGGCAGGCCCGGAUUCCAACAAAUGGCUUGAGGCUAUGAAAUCCGAGAUAGGAUCCAUGUAUGAGAACAAAGUAUGGACUUUGGUGGACUUGCCCGAUGAUCGGCGAGCCAUAGAAAAUAAAUGGAUCUUCAAGAAGAAGACUGAUGCAAACGGUAAUGUGACCGUUUAUAAAGCUCAACUUGUUGCAAAGGGUUUUCGACAAAUUCAAGGAGUUGACUACGAAGAGACUUUCUCUCCCGUAGCAAAGCUGAAGUCAGUCCGAAUCAUGUUAGCAAUUGCUGCUUUUCAUGAUUAUGAAAUUUGGCAAAUGGACGUCAAAACAACGUUCCUUAACGGGAAUCUUAAGGAAGAGUUGUAUAUGAUGCAACCAGAAGGCUUUGUCGACCCUAAGGGUGCUAACAAAAUGUGCAAGCCCCAGCACUCCAUCUAUGGGCUGGUGCAAGCAUCUCGGAGUUGGAACAUUCGCUUUAAUGAGGUGAUUAAAGCGUUUGGGUUCAUACAGGUUUAUGGAGAAGCCUGUCUGUACAAGAAAGUGAGUGGGAGCUCUGUAGCUUUCCUCAUACUGUAUGUGGAUGACAUAUUAUUGAUGGGGAAUAGUAUAGAGAUGUUGGAGAGCAUAAAGGCCUAUUUGAAAAAGAGCUUGUCGAUGAAGGACCUUGGAGAAGCUGCAUACAUAUUAGACAUCAAGAUCUAUAGAGAUAGAUCGAGACGCCUCAUAGGUCUUUCGCAAAGUACAUACCUUGACAAGAUAUUGAAGAAGUUCAAUAUGGAAAACUCAAAGAAGGGGUUCUUGCCAAUUGUGCAAGGUAUGAUAUUGAGUAAGACUCAGUCACCGACCACGACAACAGAUAGAGAGAAGAUGAGUACCGUCCCCUAUGCUUCAGCCGUAGGCUCUCUAAUGUAUGCCAUGCUGUGUACCAGACCUGAUAUAAACCUUGCCAUAAGUUUGUAGGGAGGUACCAAAGUGAUCCCGGUAUGGAACACUGGAUAGCGGUCAAGAAUAUCCUUAAGUACCUGAAGAGGACUAAGGAGAUGUUUCUCGUUUAUGGAGGUGACGAAGAGCUCGUCGUAAAGGGUUACGUCGAUGCUAGCUUCGGCACAAAUCCGGAUGACUCUAAGUCACAAACCGGAUACGUGUAUGUUUUGAAUGGUGGGGCAGUGAGCUGGUGCAGCAGCAAGCAAGAAGUUGUGGCAGCAUCUACAUGUGAAGCGGAGUACAUAGCUGCUUCAGAAGCGGCUCAUGAAGGAAUUUGGAUGAAGGAUCUCAUCACCGACCUUGGAGUGGUUCCAAGCACGUCGGGUCCAAUGACACUCUUCUGUGAUAACACUUGAGCCAUUGCCAUAGCCAAGGAGCCCAGGUUUCACCGAAAAACCAAGCACAUCAAACGCCACUACAACUCCAUCCAAGACCAUGUCCAGAGUGGAGUAAUAGAUAUUUGUAAAGUACACACAUAUUUGAAUGUUGGAGACCCGUUGACUAAACCUCUUCCUCGAGCAAAACAUGAUCAACACCAUAAUGCUGUGGGUGUUCGAUACAUCACAAUGUAACUAGAUUAUUGACUCUAGUGCAAGUGGGAGACUGUUGGAAAUAUGCCCUAGAGGCAAUAAUAAAAUGGUUAUUAUCAUAUUUCCUUGUUCAUGAUAAUCGUCUAUUGUUCAUGCUAUAAUUGUAUUAACAAGAAACAAUAAUACAUGUGUGACUAAAUAGAUCACAAUGUGUCCCUAGCAAGCCUCUAGUUGGCUAGCUCGUUAAUCAAUAGAUGGUCAUGGUUUCCUGAUCAUGGACAUUAUAUGUCAUUGAUAACGGGAUCACAUCAUUGGGAGAAUGAUGUGAUGGGCAAGACCCAAUCCUAAGCAUAACACUAGAUCGUAUUGUUCGUAUGCUAAAGCUUUUCUAAUGUCAAGUGUCUUUUCCUUCGACCGUGAGAUUGUGCAACUCCCGGAUACCGUAGGAGUGCUUUGGGUGUAUCAAACAUCACAACGUAACUGGGUGACUAUAAAGGUGCACUACGGGUACCUCUGAAAGUGUCUGUUGGGUUGGUACGAAUCGAUAUCGGGAUUUGUCACUCCGUGUGACGGAGAGGUAUCUCUGGGCCCACUCGGUAGAACAUCAUCAUGAGCUCAAUGUGACUAAGGAGUUUGUCAUAGGAUGACGUGCUACGGAACGAGUAAAGAGACUUACCGGUAACGAGAUUGAACAAGGUAUAGGUAUACCGACGAUCAAAUCUCGGGCAAGUUCUAUACCGACAGACAAAGGGAAUUGUAUACGGGAUUGAUUGAAUCCUUGACAUCAUGGUUCAUCUGAUGAGAUCAGCGCGGAACAUGUGGGAGCCACCAUGGGUAUCCAGAUCCCGCUGAUGGUUAUUGGUCGAAGAGCGUCUCGGUCAUGUCUGCAUGCUUCCCGAACCCGUAGGGUCUACACACUUAAGGUUCGAUGAUGCUAGGGUUAUAGCAAAAUGUUAUAUGAGGUUACCAAAAGUUGUUCAAAGUCUCGUAUGAGAUCCCGGACGUCACGAGGAGCUCCGGAAUGGUACAGAGGUAAAGAUUGAUAUAUAUGAUGAAUGGUUUUGGACACCGGAAAUGUUUCGGGCGUCACCGGUAGCGUACAGGGACCACCGGGACCACCGGAAAUGGUCCCGGGGGUCCACCGGGAGGGGCCACCAGCCCCAAGAGGUAGCAUGGUGACACGUCCAUUUUGCAUCAUGCUUUCAUGUUGAUAUUUAUCGCUUUAUGGACUGUUAUUAUACUUUAUGGUACCAUACUUAUGCCUUUUCUCUCUUAUUUUGCAAGGUUUAUUUGAAGAGGGAGAAUACCGACAGCUGGCAUUCUGGACUGGAAAAGGAAAAAGUCUGAGUCCUCUAUUCUGCGCAACUCCAAAUGCCCUGAAAAUCAACGUGGAAUUUUUUGGGAAUAUAUAAAAAAUACUAGGCGAAAGAAGUGUCAGAGGGGAGCUGCCAGGGGCCCACAAGCCUGGUUGCCGCGACCUACCCGCCUGGCCGCGGCAACAGGGCUUGUGGGCACCCUGGUGGCCCACUGGCCCCCCCUCUUUUGCUAUAUGAAGGGUUUGGUCCAAGAAAAAAUCAAGGUGGAGCUUUUUCGUGGAUUCUCCGCCGCUACGAGGCGGAACUUGAGCACAACAAAUCUAGAGCUCCGGCAGGACGAUCCUGCCGGGGAAACUUCCCUCUCGAAGGGGGAAAUCUUCGCCAUCGUCAUCACCAACACUCCUCUCGUCGGAGGGGAGUCAUCUCCAUUAACAUCUUCAUCAGCAGCAUCUCCUCUCCAAACCCUAGUUCAUCUCUUGUAACCAAUCUCCGUCUCGCGACUCCGAUUGGUACUUGUAAGGUUGCUAGUAGUGUUGAUUACUCUUUAUAGUUGAUGCUAGUUGGAUUACUUGGUGGAAGAGUUUAUGUUCAGAUCCUUGAUGCUACUCAUUACACCUCUGAUCAUGAUUAUGAUUAUGCUUUGUGAGUAGUUACUUUUGUUCCUGAGGACAUGGGAUAAGUCAUGCUGAUAAUAGUCAUGUGAAUUUGGUAUUGGUUCGGUAUUUUGAUAUGUUGUAUGUUGUCUUUUCCUCUAGUGGUGUUAUGUGAACGUCGACUACAUAAUACUUCACCAUCUUUGGGCCUAUAGGAAGGCAUUGGGGAGUAGUAAGUAGAUGAUGGGUUGCUAGAGUGACAGAAGCUUAAACCCCAGUCUAUGCGUUGCUUCGUAAGGGGCUGAUUUGGAUCCACUAGUUUAAUGCUAUGGUUAGACGUUGUCUUAAUUCUUCUUUCGUAGUUGCGAAUGAUUGCGAGAGGGGUUAAUCAUAAGUGGGAUGCUUGUCCAAGUAAGGGCAGUACCCAAGCGCCGGUCCACCCACAUAUCAAACUAUCAAAGUAACAAACGCGAAUCAUAUGAACAUGAUGAAACUAGCAUGACAGAAAUUCCCGUGUGUCCUUGGGAGCGUUUUUCCUCUUAUAAGACUUUGUUCAGGCUUGUCCCUUGCUAUAAAAGGGAUUGGGCCAUUUUGCUGCACCGUUGCUACUACUUGUUACUUGUUACUUUUCGCUUGCUACGUUUCACCUCACUACACCAUCACUUGUUACCGCUACUUUCAGUGCUUGCAGUUAUUACCUUGCUGAAAACCGUUUAUCAGAGCCUUCUUCUCCUCGUUGGGUUCGACAGUCUUACUUAUCGAAAGGACUACGAUUGAUCCCCUAUACUUGUGGGUCAUCAAGACUCUUUUCUAGCGCCGUUGCCGGGGAGGGAAGCGCCUUUGGUAAGUGGAAUUUUGUAAGGAAACAUUUAUAUACUGUGCUGAAAUUUAUUGUUAAUUGUCACUAUGGAGACUGUUCCUUUGAGGAAUUUGUUCGGGGUAUAUUCACCACGAACGGAAGCAUGAGGGGUUGCUCCUCAACCUGAGGUACCUACUGAAAAUAUCUUUUAUGAAAUUCCUUCGGGUAUGCUUGGGAAACUGCUGGCUAAUCCUUUUACAGGAGAUGGAUCUUCACAUCCAGACUUGCAUCUAAUCUAUGUAGAUGAAGUUUGUGGUUUAUUUAAGCUUGCAGGUUUACCCGAGGAUGAGGUAAAGAAGAAAGUCUUUCCUUUAUCUUUGAAGGAUAAGGCGUUGACAUGGUAUAGGCUAUGUGAUGAUACUGUAUCAUGGGGCUACAAUCGGUUGAAAUUGGAAUUUCAUCAAAAGUUUUAUCCUAUGCAUUUAGUACAUCGUGAUCGGAAUUAUAUUUAUAACUUUUGGCCUCGUGACAGGGAAAGCAUAGCUCAAGCUUGGGGGAGGCUUAGAUCAAUGCUAUAUUCAUGCCCCAAUCAUGAGCUCUCGAGAGAAAUUAUCACUCAAAACUUUUAUGCUCGGCUUUCUCAUGAAGAUCGUACCAUGCUUGACACUUCUUGUACCGGUUAUUUUAUGAAGAAGGAUAUUGACCACAAGUGGAAUUUAUUGGAAAGAAUCAAACGUAACUCUGAAAAUUGGGAGCUUGAAGAAGGUAAGGAGUCAGGUAUGAAUUUCCAGUUUGAUUGCGUUAAAUCUUUUGUUGAAGCAGGCAUUUCUAGAGAUUUUAGCGCUAAGUAUGGACUUGACUCUGAGAUAGUAGCUUCUCUAUGUGAAUCUUUUGCUGCUCAUGUUGAUCUUCCCAAAGAGAAGUGGUUUAAGUAUCAUCCGCCUGUAGAACUAAAUAUAGUUAAACCCAAUCUAGUUGAAGAGAAAGUCAUUGACUUUAGUGAUCCUAUUGUUCCUUGUGCCUACGCUGAGAAACCACCUUACCCUGCUAGGAAAAAGGAUUAUUCUAAAGCUCCAACUGUGAUACGUAGGGGUUACAUUAGACCACUUGCACCCCCUGAGGAAAUUAGAGUUGAACCUAGUGUUGCUAUUAUCAAAGAUCUCUUAGCUGAAGACAUCGACAUGCAUGUUAUCAAAUUCUGUGAGGACUCUGCUAGAAUUGCUAAACCUCACGCGAAAGACAAAUAUGGACCUGUAGUUGGCCUGCCCGUUGUUUCUGUCAAGAUAGGAGAUCACUGUUAUCAUGGUUUACGUGAUAUGGGUGCUAGUGUUAGUGCAAUACCCCGGUCCCUAUAUGAUGAAAUCAAAGAUGAGAUUGCACCUGCUGAGUUAGAACCCAUUGAUGUCAAUAUUACGCUAGCUAAUAGAGACACUAUCUACCCUGUGGGAAUUGUGAGAGACGUAGAAGUCCUGUGUGGUAAGACGAAGUAUCCUACUGAUGUCCUCGUCCUUGCUACUGCACAAGAUAGCUUUUGUCCCAUCAUAUUUGGUAGACCCUUUCUCAACACUGUCAAUGCUCAUAUAUAUUGCGUUAAACAGACUGCCACUAUUAGUUUCGAGGGUGUGUCUCAUGAAUUUAACUUCUCCAAGUUUGGAAGACAACCCCAUGAAAAAGAGUCAUCUGGUAGGGAUGAAAUCAUUGCUCUUGCCUCUAUUGCCGUACCUCCUCUGGAUCCUUUAGAGCAAUACCUGCUUGAGCAUGAAAAUGAUAUGCAUAUGGAUGAAAGAGAUGAGAUAGAUAAAAUUGUUUUAGAACAAUAUCCUAUUCUCAAGAAUAAUCUGCCUGUUGAACUGCUUGAGGAUCCUCCCCCACCAAAGGGUGAUCCUGUGUUCGAGCUAAAAUAGUUAUCAGAUACUCUUAAGUAUGCCUAUCUUGAUGAGAAGGAGAUAUAUCCUGUUAUUAUUAGUGCUCACCUCUCGAAUCACGAAGAGAAGAAGUUAUUAAAACUUUGAGGAAGCACCAUGCUGCUAUUGGAUAUACUCUUGAUGAUCUUUAGGGUAUUAGUCCCACUCUAUGUCACCACAAGAUUAAAACCGAUCCUGAUUCUAAGCCAGUUGUUGAUCAUCAACAGAGAUUAAAUCUGAGGAUGAAAGAGGUCGUGAGAAAAGAAAUAUUAAAGCUUCUGGAAGCAGGAAUAAUUUAUCCUGUUGCUCAUAGUGAUUGGGUAAGUCCAGUACAUUGCGUACCUAAGAAGGGAGGUAUCACCGUCAUUCCUAAUGAUAAGAAUGAACUAAUCCCACAGAGGAUUAUUACUGGCUAUAGGAUGGUGAUAGACUUCCCGAAACUGAACAAGGCAACCAGGAAAGACCAUUAUCCUUUGUCGUUUAUCGACCAAAUGCUAGAAAGGCUAUCUAAACACACACACUUCUGCUUUCUAGACGGUUAUUCAGGUUUCUCCCAAAUACUUGUUGCACAAUCUGAUCAGGAGAAAACCACUCUCACCUGCCCCUUCGGUACCUUUGCUUAUAGACGUAUGCCUUUUGGCUUGUGCGAUGCACCUGCCACCUUUCAAAGAUGUAUGAUGGCUAUAUUCUCUGACUUUUGUGAAAAGAUUGUUGAGGUUUUCAUGGAUGAUUUCUCCGUUUACGGUUCUUCCUUUGACGAUUGCCUCAGCAACCUUGAUCGAGUCUUACAGAGAUGCAAAGAUACCAACCUCGUCUUGAACUGGGAGAAGUGCCACUUCAUGGUUAAUGAAGGCAUCGUCUUAGGACACAAAAUCUCUGAGAAAGGCAUUGAAGUUGAUAAGGCUAAGGUUGAUGCAAUUGAGAAAAUGCCUUGCCCCACAUAUAUCAGAGGUAUACGAAGUUUCCUAGGUCAUGCUGGUUUCUAUAGAAGGUUCAUUAAAGACUUCUCUAAGAUUUCUAGGCCUCUUACCAACCUCUUACAGAAGGAUGUUCCUUUUGUUUUUGAUGAGGAUUGUGAGGAAGCUUUCGAAAUACUUAAGAAGGCCUUGAUAACCGCACCUAUUGUUCAACCACCUGAUUGGAACUCGCCCUUUGAAAUCAUGUGCGAUGCUAGUGAUUAUGCAGUUGGUGUUGUUCUAGGACAAAGAGUUGACAAGAAGUUGAAUGUAAUUCACUACGCUAGUAAAACUCUAGACAGUGCCCAAAGAAACUAUGCCACUAUGGAGAAGGAGUUUUUAGCAGUCGUGUUUGCAUGUGAAAAGUUCAGAUCUUAUAUAGUUGACUCCAAAGUCACUAUUCACUCUGAUCAUGUUGCUAUUAAGUACCUUAUGGAGAAGAAGGACGCCAAGCCUAGGCUAAUCAUAUGGGUUCUCGUGCUACAGGAAUUUGAUUUGCACGUUGUUGACCGAAAGGGUGCUGAUAACCCUGUAGCAGAUAACUUGUCUAGGCUAGAGAAUGUCCUUGAUGACCCACGACCUAUUGAUGACAGCUUUCCUGAUGAGCAAUUGAAUGUCAUCCGCACUUCACAUAGUGCACCGUGGUAUGCUGAUUACACAAACUAUAUCGUAGCCAAAUACAUACCACCCAGUUUCACCUACCAGCAAAAGAAGAAAUUCUUCUUUGAUUUGAGACACUACUUUUGGGAUGAUCCUCACCUUUAUAAGGAAGGAGUAGAUGGUGUUAUUAGACGUUGUGUGCAUGAACAUGAACAGGGACAGAUCCUGCAGAAGUGUCAUUCCGAAGCCUACGGAGGACACCAUGCUAGAGACAGAACUGCUCAUAAGGUAUUGCAAUCAGGUUUCUAUUGUCCCACUCUCUUCAAGGAUGCCCGUAAGUUUGUCUUGUCUUGUGACGAAUGCCAAAGAAUAGGGAACAUCAGUAAGCGUCAGGAAAUGCCUAUGAACUAUUCACUUGUCAUUGAACCAUUUGAUGUCUGGGCUUUGAUUAUAUGGGACCUUUCCCGAGUUCCAAUGGGUAUAUUCACAUCUUAGUUGCUGUGGAUUACGUCACUAAGUGGGUAUAAGCUAUCCUCACUAGAAAUGCUGAUCACCACUCCUCUAUUAAGAUGCUUAAAGAAGUCAUUUUCCAAAGAUUUGGAGUCCCUAGAUAUCUGAUGACUGAUGGCGGUUCACACUUCAUUCAUGGUGUUUUCCGUAAGAUGCUCGCUAAGUAUGAUGUCAACCAUAGAGUUGCAUCUCCUUAUCAUCCUUAGUCUAGUGGUCAAGUGGAGUUGAGUAAUAGGGAGAUCAAAUUGAUCUUACAAAAGACCAUCUAUAGAUCUCGAAAGAAUUGGUCUAGCAAACUUGACAUGCACUAUGGGUUUAUAGGACUGCUUAUAAGAAUCCCAUGGGGCAUGUCGCCGUAUAAAAUGGUUUAUGGUAAGGCCUGUCAUUUACCUCUUGAGCUGGAACACAAAGCUUAUUGGGCAAUCAAAGAGCUCAACUUCGAUUUCAAACUUGCCGGUGAGAAGCGGUUGUUUGAUAUCAGCUCAUUAGAUGAAUGGAGGGCCCAGGCAUACGAGAAUGCCAAGUUGUUCAAGGAAAAGGUUAAGAGAUGGCACGAUAAAAGAAUACAAAAACGAGAGUUCAAUGUAGGUGAUUAUGUCCUGCUAUACAAUUCUCGCUUAAGAUUCUUCGCAGGCAAGCUUCUCUCUAAAUGGGAAGGUCCCUACAUUGUCGAGGAAGUAUAUCGUUCCGGUGCCAUCAAAAUCAAUAACACGGAAGGUAAUUUUCCUAGAGUGGUAAAUGGGCAAAGAAUCAAGCAUUAUAUCUCUGGUACUCCCAUAAAUGUUGAGACUAAUAUCAUCAAUAUCAUAACUCCAGAGGAGUACAUAAGGGAUGUUUAUCUGCCUAUUUCAGACCAUGAAAACGAAGAGGUAUGUGUUUCGAUAUGUAAUUGUACUCCGAAACUUUUCCAAUAGGAUUUUUUCUCCAUUUUGGAAUUUAUGGAAAAUUAGAAAAAUAAAAAGCAGUCCGGAGAGCGCACGAGGCGGCCACGGCAACAGGGCUUGUGGGCACCUCGUGUGCCUCCCGAACUUCGUUUCUUGCGGAGCACUCCUUCUGGUCCAUAAAAAAAAUCAUUAUAUAUACGCCCGAGGGUUUUGAUCUCCGUAUCACGCAGUUUUCCGGUGUUUUCGUUUCGAGCCAGUUGUCUGCCGCAGAUUUAGAGAAAAGAUGUCUCAGGAAUCUGUUGGGGAGAAUAAUCUCCCUCAAGUUCAUGAAGAAGUAGAUGAUGAUCUGAAAAGAGUAGAAGUCAUGGAAGCCAGGGACAAAGCUAAGGACAAAACCCAAGCUAGGGAGGAAGUUCAACCUAUGUUCAAUUUUGAAGACGUUGAAGGAGUGGAUUUUCUCCAGCCCUUCCUCCACGUGCUUUCUCCAUCCUUGAUUGAACUCUUGAGGUUUUGUGAAACAACUCGUGCUCGCAAUAUUUCCCUUUCUCAUGAAGUUGUUUUGCUAGAAAACCUUGUCGCAGAUCUCCAAGGUAUAAAUCAAAGAUUGAUAGCUCUCUUGGAAUCAAAGGCAAAGACUCCACCACCAUCACCACGGAAGACAACUAAGCAUUGGUAUGGGCAACUCCCUUGGCUUAUGCCAAGCUUGGGGGAGUUGCCCUGGUAUCGUAUCACCUUUAUAUCUUUUGCUUUUACCUUUGUUUUAGUUCUUUCCUUUUCAGUUUUUAUUUCUUCUCUUAGUGGAAGAAGUCUUUAGUGUUUAGUUUGAGUCUUUUUCCUUGUGUCUCCCCCGAUGUAUUUGAGAUUGCGAGCUAUAUAAUAAAGAGUAUCUUAGUCAAGGGCUUUGUUUUGUGCCGUGAUCAAAAGUAUGAAAAGAACGAUAGCAUGAAAGAUCAUGAGAUGAUCUUAUGGAAAGUGAUAGCUUCACAUAUAACAAGUAUGAUGGCUGAAACUUGUUGAGAAUAGACCAACAUAGACCUCAGUCAUUGUUGCAAUUAAUAAGAAGUAAUAAGGAAAGAGAGGUUCACAUAUAAAUAUAUCAUCUUAGACACUUUCUAUAAUUGUGAGCACUCACCAAACCAUUACAUGCUUAGAAGUAGAUGUUGGACAAGAAAGACAACCUAAUGAAUUGUGUUUGCUUGGUUCCAAACAAUGUUAUAUGAUUAGAGAUCCCUUAGCAUGUGAUGAUUGCUUCCACCUCAUAUUAGCCAAAACUCCCGCACCAAGUAGAGAUACUACUUGUGCAUCCAUAAACCUUCCACCCAGUUUUGCCAUGAGUGUCCACCAUACCUACCUAUGGAUUGAAUAAGAUCCCUCAAGUAAGUUGUCAUCGGUGCAAGCAAUAAAAAUUGCUCUCUAAUAUGUAUGAUCUAUUAGUGUGUGGAAAAUAAGCUUUGUACGAACCUGUGAUGAGGAAGACAUAAAAGCAACAAACUGCAUAAUAAAGUUCUUUAUCACAGGAGGCAAUAUAAAUCGAGGUUCCUCCGCACUAAGAGGACACGCAUCCAAACCUCAAAAGCGCAUGACAACCUCUGCUUCCCUAUGCGAAGGGCCUAUCUUGUGCCUUUAAUUUUUGCCUGUCGGGACCCCGAUCCCAAGCCAUACAACUCCAGAAUGUACACAUCAUAUCACUUUGUGGCCUCACGCACGGUAAUCACCCCGGUUGCCACCUUACCUUGGUCGGGACUGUUUGCAUCUUUUGGCUCACGUAUAUGACUAUGUUGCCAGCAAUCAUAUGUCAAAGAAUCUGGGUCGACAUGGCUAGUUAUGAACCCAAGCAGCACAUCCGAUCAGGGACAGGCAUACAUAACCCAGCAAGGCAGGUGUCGGUCAUCAACUAGUGUAGACGAGUCGUAGCAAGCUACAGGGACUCCAUUACACCGCGUGACAUUUCCCCGUGGGGACAGACACAACAACCAAGAAGGAUACAUGCUGGUAAAUCAAUGUGUCCGGAGCAGUAGCAAGCUACCAAGGCUCGGUGGAAGCACAAAGAGGCAUUUCCCGGUACGGAGUACUACUCAAGGCACACAACUAGGUGUCGGAUCCCACACAUACCAAUGCAUUGCAAGCAUACACACAAUAUGCACGAUAUGUGUAGAGACAACAUGGCAUCACAACAUAACUCUACAACACAUCAUUUAUUUAAUAGACUUCGAAGAGCCAACAUAGUUUAAUGUUACAAACAGAAGGGGUCACAUGACCCAACAUUCACAGCAUACAAGCAUCAAGCGGAAGUUACAUGUCUGGGUACAAACAUCUACUAAAAGCGUCUGGAAGAGCCUAAAGGCUACAACGACCCUACCAUAGGAGCGAGAUCACUGUCUGGGUUCCCAAGCUAAACCAUCGAUGUUAACGUCAAGAGAUAACGUAGAGAGAGCGGCGUCUAUUCUGCAAAAAUGUAAAUAAGCAAUAGUGAGUACGAAGGUACUCAGCAAGUCUUACAUCAGUGCUAACUACAUAUGCAUCAAGUAUCAAUGAACGGAAUUGUGGAGUUUAUUGCAGAGAAGCCAGCUUUGACCUUUGGCUAACCUAUUCUACAACAAAGUUUUAUUAUCUCUCUCGUCUCCUUACGAGAGAGCGCACACGAGUCCACAUAACCAUCACAUCAAUACACCACCAUGGAUCCCCUCUUGUCAUCCUAUGAGAAGGCCAUCCAUAGCACUCACACUUAUGUGGACCAUUUUAGAGUAACCAUUAACGUUAUCUAUGAACUAUGUAAGUAUCCAAGUAGUCCAUAUCCGAGGACGCGGCUAUUCGAAUAGAUAGUUACCCUGCAGGGGUGUACUUCGUCACACAUGCUUCCGCCACUUAUCGCCAAGUGCACAUAAAACCAGCACCUCGGCAACCUUCAAGCGGAAGCCCAGCGAGGGAGUUGGCCACGAACGUUAACCUACUAAGACUCACGCCCAAGAGAGUCGCCUAUCUGAGUUGGAACCCACAAUGGAAGUCCGACCGAGGUUUCCAACAUGGCCUCAAACGAUGUGAGCAGGGCCCCAAGCCGGUCCCGACUGGGCCGUUCAUCCACUUAGCAGGUCGUGCCACAACCUAUGAACGUUUCGAACUACUGCGACUUCUUGACUGAGAACAGAAUAGUUAAUAGGCCGAGAGGGGUCGAGUUACCGGAACCCAAUGUGCGGUAGUAUCUCGUCUUGGAACACCAACACAAGAUCUCAGGUCCUAACUACGGCGGCAAUGAGACAUCCCACCAUGUAGUCCUACAUGGCCUCUCAUCGCUACCUUUACCAAAACAGUUUCACAUCUUUAACUCUCAUCAAUAGGACAUGAUCAUUCCAAUACAUCAUUCCGAUGCUCGGACCAAACUCAACCUAAGCAUAGUAAGCAUAACAGGGUAAAGCACAUAUGACUCAAGCAUCUACCAGGUAUGCUAGGUUGCAUUGGUUUAGCUAUUUACUGUGAUCAAAAUCAGGUCAUGCAAAGGAAUAGGUGCAGCUAUCGUAAUACAACUAUCAAUUGAAUCAUUUUGUCCUAAUGCAUAGAAGUGAGAGCAGGAGCGAGAGAAUAGGAUUUUGUCGGAAUGUUCAAAGGGGUUUUGCUUGCCUGUUGAUCGGAAGAACUCAGCUAUUCUUCGAUGCCGGUGAUAACUACAUCUCGCAAGGUCUAUUGACAGAUCAAAGAAAAGAAAUUAAUCACGGAAAAUGCUUCACAAUGAUGCAUGAGCAUGGCAAGUUAUCAUGAUGCUGAUUUCAUCUAAUGCAAGUGAUCACAGGUUGAAAGAAGUUUAUUUGAUCUAUAUAAAUCAUUUUCAAAAUCCAAUUAUAUCCUUUAUAAGCCUAUUGUUAAUUUGUCAUAUUCAGCAAGGUUAAAAUGUCCAAACAUGUGUAUAAAUGCCACCAAUGGAUUCCUUGCAUUUUUCUGAUAAUUUCUCAUAUACAAAUUAUUUUCAUCAGAGUUAUAUUUUAAUUUCUAUGAUUUUUACAAGUUUUAGCGAUUUUCUGGAAUUAAAUUAAAUCAGAAAACUAUUACUGCGUCAGGCUGAUGUCAUCCCUCCACCAGCAGGUCAACCAACCGGGUCCAGGUCAACCUGACCUGUGGGGUCCACUGGUCAGUGACCCAAAGACUAAUCCCGCGUUGACCCGCACUAAGUGAGGUUUGACUCACUAGUGGGGCCCUCUGCCAGCGUCUGUGUGGGAAUUAAUUAGCGCUAAGGGUCGGCCACGUCGACGGCUACCGGAGAGUGGUCGCCGGCGACUGAGCCGCGGUGGAGGGCUCGCCGGAGUUGUGCUAUUUUGCGCUACAGAGGUCCAAAUCGAGCGUGGUUUGCAGCUACGGGACGCUGGCAAAGCGCCCGAUCUGGCAGGGGCAACGACUGGGGCUAGAGUGGACCGAAGCAUCACCGGCGACGAGCGGAGGGGUCGCCGGAGUUCGGCCAUGGUUGGGGAACGGGCUACGGGGCACGGUAGAGCAUGAGAGGAGAGGGGAAAGAGUCAGCGGCUCACGGGGGGUCCAUUCCUGGCAUCGGCGAGGUUGGAGGGGCUCUCUGGCUGACGAAUCGACGGCGGUGAGAUCCGGUGGCCGGAGGGGAAGAAGACGGUGAUGCGUCGCUGUGGAGGCCCUGGAGCUCGGGGUUAUUGACGAUGAGAAACAUCACGUCGGGGCGGAGCCGUAGAGCUCUUCAGGGAGGCGAGGGGUGGCCGGGGUCGAGGCGACGAACUUGAGCAGUGCUCGGCAAUGGCGGCCAGAGAAGAGAGGAAACAGGGAGAGAGGGAGAAAUGGAGAGGAGGGGAUCGGGACGGCUCAGCGGCGCGAAGAUAAGGGAGAGGAGGGCGACGAGGCAGGCACGCAGGGAGGAGGUGGAAGCAGGAGGUGGUGAGGGGGCGCCGUGCCUUCCUUCUCAUCUGCCUUCUAGCACGAGGAGGAAGACGACAGGGGAGACCCCCCUGGUUGGCUGGGCUAGGAGGUGCGACAAAUAGACAAGUUUGCUCUCUCUCUUUUCCUUUCUGUUUUAUUCCUUUCUGGUAUUUACUUUUAGGGUUUAAAAUAAAUUGUUUGACCAAAUAUAAAACCCCCCAAAAAUGUUAUUAUGUGACAGAGACAAUAAUAUACAAUGCCACAUAAAAGUUUCAACAUUUUUGAAACUUUAAAAUAGAAGGAAUCAAAAUAACUCCAUUCCAAAUAGCUAUGUAGUCAACUCAAAAAUCCUUUUCAAAAAGUUCCUGUGACCUAGAAUUUUGGUUUGACAAAUUUACUUUAUGUCACUAUUUUUCCAAGUAUUUGGAACAUUUUCCUGAUUCCUUUUAAGGUAUUAAAUUUUUAUUGCCUUCUUGUCAAUUGAUCAAAACAUUUGGGGCUUUGAUCACUUCCUAUUUAAACAUCAAAGUUUUUAUAAUGAAUGCAUGAAUGCUUGGCAAACAAAAGAAAGCUAGGGCUGUGACAACUCACCCCCACUAAACAAGAAUCUCGUCCCGAGAUUUAGGGUAGUCGGGAAGAGUUCGGGGUAUUCAAGCCGAAGGCGAUCUUCGCGCUCCCAGGUUGCUUCAUUCUCGGAAUGAUGAGACCACUGAACCUUGAGAAACUUGAUGAUGCGAUGUCGGGUGCUACGCUCGGUUUCGUCAAGAAUACGAACAGGAUAUUCUCGAUAUGACAGAUCAUCUUGGAGAUCAAGCGUUUUGUGGUCUACUUCACGGACAGGGCCCUUGAAGCAACGCCUAAGUUGAGAAACGUGGAACACAUCAUGAACUUUGGAAAGCUGAGGAGGCAGCUCUAGCUCGUAGGCAACCUCUCCUCGUUUAGUGAGAAUACGGAAAGGACCAAUGUAACGAGGAGCCAAUUUGCCUUUGAUACCGAAACGAUGGGUACCUUUGAGAGGUGAAACCCAAAGGUAAGCCUUCUCGUCAACUUCAUAACUUACUUCCUUAUGACGGCGGUCAGAUUGACUCUUUUGACGAGAUUGGGCAGUUUUUAAAUUCUCACGAAUAAUGCGAACUUGCUCUUCUGCAUCCUGGAUCAUAUCCGGUCCAAAGAACUGUCUUUCACCGGUUUCUGACUAGUUUAAUGGUGUUCGGCAUCUUCGUCCAUACAGAACUUCGAAAGGAGCUUUGCCCAGACUAGACUGGAAACUGUUGUUAUAAGCAAAUUCGGCGAAUGGAAGACACUUCUCCGAAUUCAUUCCGAAUGAGAUAACACAGGCUCUGAGCAUAUCUUCAAGAAUUUGGUUGACUCUUUCUACUUGACCACUUGACUGAGGGUGAUAAGCAGUGCUAAACGAAAGAUGAGUUCCCAUAGCUUUUUGGAAACUUUCCCAAAAUCGAGAAGUGAAAAGACUUCCACGAUCAGAAUUGAUUUCUAGAGGGACACCAUGAAGAGAAACUAUUCGAGAAAUAUAUAGGUAUGCUAGCUGACUAGCAGUUAUACUUUCUUGGAUUGGAAGGAAGUGAGCAACUUUCGAAAGGCGAUCAAUGACGACAAAGAUGGCAUCAUUCCCUUUCUUGGUCUUUGGAAAACCAGUGAUAAAAUCCAUACUAACCUUGUCCCACUUCCACUCGGGAAUAGACAGGGGUUGAAGGGUGCCAGCAGUCCUUUGAUGCUCUGCCUUAACGCGACGACAAACGUCACAAUUAGCAAUGAAUUGAGCGAUUUCUCUCUUCAUCCGGGUCCACCAGAACCUCUGGCGUAGGUCCUGAUACAUUUUAGUGCUACCGGGAUGAAUCGUGAGAGGCGAUUCAUGAGCUUCCUUAAGAAUCAAAUCACGAAGUUGUUGCUUCUUAGGAACCACCAAACGAUUCUCAAAGAAUACAACACCUUUAUCAUUUACCCAGAAAUGACCAACAACUCCUUUGUCGAUGUUGCUUUGAUCCGGGAAAUUCCCGUAUCAUGUUUCUGGGCUUCUAUGAUCUGAUCCUCAAGAGUCGAUUUCGACACCAAGGUAGAAAGGAAUCCUUGAGGAACAAGGUGAAGAUUAAGCUUACGAAAUUCCUCAUGGAUAAGUGGUUGCUUUUGUAGCAACAUGAGGUUGUUACAAUAGGAUUUACGACUUAGUGCAUCAGCCAUGACAUUGGCUUUGCCUGGGGUGUAAGAUAUUCCUAAAUCGUAAUCCGUAAUCAACUCAACCCACCGUCUUUUCCUGAGAUUCAAAUCCGGUUGGGUGAAUAUAUACUUGAGACUCUGGUGAUCAGUGUAUAUUUUGCAACGAUUACCCAGGAGGUAAUGUCGCGAGGUUAACAGUGCAUGGACUACAGCGGCAAGUUCCAGAUCAUGAGUUGGAUAAUUCUCCUCAUGUGGACGCAACUGUCGAGAUGCGUAUGCAAUCACAUGACGAUCUUGCAUAAGAAUGCAUCCAAGUCCUUGUCGCGAGGCAUCACAGUAGAUAAUAAAGUCCUUUGAGAAAUCUGGGGGCACAAGUAUCGGGGCAGUAGCCAGUCGUCUUUUCAACUCCUGAAAACUUUCCUGGCACCGUGGGGUCCAUUCGAACUUCUUAUCUUUCUUGAGAAGUUCAGUUAGAGGUUUGGCAAUUUUGGAGAAAUUCUCGACGAAGCAGCGGCAAUAGCUUGCUAAGACAUGGAAACUCCUAACUUGUUUCACCGAUUCAGGUGGAGUCCAAUCAAGAACGGCCUGAACUCUCUCGGGAUUGACAGCAAUACCUUUUGCCGAGAUUACGUGACCUAGAUAGGUCACUUCUGGUAACCAGAAUUCACAGUUGGAGAAUUUGGCGUAAAGGCGGUGCUCUCGAAGUUUCAUCAAUACCAGCCUAAGAUGCUCAACAUGUUCUUCUUCGUUCUUCGAGUAAAUCAGAAUAUCAUUGAGGUAAACCACGACGAAUUUAUCCAAGUACUCCAUGAAGAUCGAAUUCAUUAAGCGGGAGAAAGUGUCUGGGGCAUUGGUUAGACCGAAGGACAUGGCAGUGUACUCGUAAUGGCCAUAACGAGUGACAAAGGCCGUCUUAGGAAUGUCCCCGUUCCUAAUUUUGAUUUGAUGAUAACCUAAUCUCAAAUCCAUCUUUGAAAAGACUGCAGAUCCAGCGAGCUGAUCAUACAGAUCGUUGAUCCUGGGGAGCGGAUAUUUGUUCUUUAUCGUGACCAGAUUAACCGGUCGGUAAUCUACAACCAUCCGUUCCGUACCAUCCUUCUUUUUGACGAAGAGGACAGGGCAAGCCCAAGGGGAAGAGCUAGGACGGAUGAAACCUUUCUUCAAGGAUUCAUCAAGUUGGGUUUUAAGCUCAGCUAAUUCUUGAGGAGACAUCUUAUAGGGUCUUCUAGCAAUUGGAGCAGUUCCUGGGACAAGUUCUAUGACAAACUCUACUUCUCUGUCAGGUGGAACACCUGGCAGUUCCUCUGGAAAGACAUCCGGAAAAUCACGGACUACUGGGAUGUUUUCAAGGUCUGGAAGAGGAUUGGCAUUGAGGGCAUAUAUCUAGCGUUUUGAAAUACCAGAUGAGACAUUUACUAACCGGCCAGAAGUAUGGGUGAGCUGAACAGAUCUAGAGAAACAAUGAAUUUUGGCAUGAUGAGCUAUCAACCAGUCCAUCCCCGAAAUGAUAUUGAUGUCUAAAGUCUUGAGAGGUAUCAAGGAAGCAAGGAAUACUAGACCAUCAAUAAGGAUUUGGUUCCCAUGACUUACUGCAUUAGUUUGCCAUUUGGAACCUGGAGCCUGAAUUACUAAUGGGGUGGGCAUAUCUACGAAAGCAAUGUUAUGCAAGGAGGCAUAACGUUCGGAGAUGAAGGAAUGAGAUGCUCCAAAGUCAAAAAGAACUGAAGCUGGAUGAGAAUUAACAAGGAGCGUCGUAAGCACGACAUCAUCAUCAUCUUGAGCUUCUUCUGCAGAUACAUGGUGCGCGCAUCCACGAGUUAGAGCAACUGACUUUUCCUUGAGCUUCUUGGUUGGUGGCUUGCAACGAACAACACCCAUUCCUGAAGGAGGUGGAAAAAAACCACGCAAAGGACAAUCCCUUGAAUAGUGUCCUGGCUUGCUACACUUGAAGCAUGAUCCAAAAAUAGGACGGGGGUCUGGGUUGAACGCUUGAUUGAUGAGAUUAUCCUGGGGAACACUUGGCAUCGGCAAACGAGGCGCCACAUAGGUUGGCCUUGGUACAUAUCUCGGAGUGAUAACAACAUUCGGGAUCCAUAUCCUAUGCUUCUGGGAUAUAGAAGUUGAAGAUGAUCCAACAUCACGGUUGUGCUUGCGAGAUUCCUCGUAGGUCAUUCUGCUUGUUUCUACUUGGAUGGCUUUGUUCACAAGGACAUCAAAACUGAUGAACUCAUGCAAAUUGAGAUCAUGAUGAAGCCUUGGGUUAAGACCUUUCCUGAACCUAGAUUGCUUCUUGGCAUCCGUGGAUACUUUUUCUGGUGCAUAACGCGUAAGGCAUCCAAAUUCACGACUAUAAGCAUUUACAUCCAACUUGUCUUGAGUCAAAUUGCAAAACUCUUCUUGCUUACGAUCUAUCAGGGCCUGCGGAAUAUGAUGUUCACGAAAAGCUUCAAAGAACUCCUUCCAUGAAGUAACUUGGCCCCAAGGAUGCAUAGCCUCAAAGUUCUCCCACCAUAGACUAGCAGAACCUUCGAGGUGAUAUGUGGCAUAGGUAACCUUGUCUCCUUCAGCCACGUUUGCAUAAUGCAGCUUGUUAUUGAUACUUCGGAGCCAAUCAUCUGCAUCUAGUGGCUCAAUGGAAUGAUGGAAGGUGGGUGGAUUCAAUUUGAUGAAGUCUCUGAUGGAUACUAGCUCAUUGCACUGAUAUGCUGUAUUCCGCUCAAUGUGCUCCAACAGACGGUUGGUGGCAUGCUUAUUCCUCUCAAUUUCUAGCAUAACCUGUGUCAACAAAGGCGGAUUAAGAGAAUCUUCUCCCUCCCUACCAUCUCCAUGGUUCUGAUCACGGCCAGCAAAACUCCGGGUUACUCGCAACAUCCUGUUGAAACAAUCCAGGGUUCAGAAACAAAGAACACUAAACACCACAAUCCUAGAGAAAAUUGGACAGCAUAACGACUGUAUAGGCAUGAAAUAUGAGGCAUCCUUCAGGAGAUCUGGGCAACAUAACUACUCAAUAUUAUGGAUUCGAGGUGCAGCAAGAACAAAGGCAUCUCUUCUCACAAUUCUGAUGAAAGCAGGAAUGACACACAGAAACCAUCCUAUAAGUCCAUGGUUCAGUAACUCGUCCUCCUAGUAGACAGAUAAGAAAACCUAGUCCUUAAUCCCCAUAGAAAAGAAAAGGUGACUCAGGAUAGAGUGACUCGAGGAAAAGAGUAAAAAGAGCCUUAAGUGCCCUUCCACAAUCAAUUCCCUUAUAUAGCUAUAGAUUUUCUAGACUCAACAUCAACCAUUUUGGCUUGGUAAUCCUACAUGCAGUCAAGCUCUGAUAUCAAUGCUGUCGGGACCCCGAUCCUAAGCCAUACAACUCCAGCAUGUACACAUCAUAUCACUUUGUGGCCUCACGCACGGUAAUCACCCCGGUUGCCACCUUACCUUGGCCGGGACCGUUUGCGUCUUUUGGCUCACGUAUACGACUAUGUUGCGAGCAAUCAUAUGUCAAAGAACCUGGGUCGACAUGGCUAGUUAUGAACCCAAGUGGCACAUCCGUACAGGGACAUGCAUACAUAACCCAGCAAGGCAGGUGUCGGUCAUCAGCGAGUGUAGACGAGUCGUAGCAAGCUACAGGGACUCCAUUACACCGCGUGACAUUUCCCCGUGGGGACAGACACAACAACCAAGAAGGAUACAUGCCGAUCAAUCAAUGUGUCCGGAGCAGUAGCAAGCUACCAAGGCUCGGUGGAAGCACAAAGAGGCAUUUCCCGGUAUGGAGUACUACUCAAGGCACACAACUAGGUAUCGAAUCCCACACAUACCAAUGCAUUGCAAGCAUACACACAAUAUGCACGAUAUGUGUAGAUACAACAUGGCAUCACAACAUAACUCUACAACACAUCAUUUAUUUAAUAGACUUCGAAGAGACAACAUACUUUAAUGUUACAAACAGAAGGGGUCACAUGACCCAACAUUCAGAGCAUACAAGCAUCAAGCGUAAGUUACAUGUCUGGGUACAAACAUCUACUAAAAGCGGCUGGAAGAGCCUAAAGGCUACAACGACCCUACCAUAGGAGCCAUAUCACUGUCUGGGUUCCCAAGCUAAACCAUCGAUGUUAACGUCAAGAGAUAACAUAGAGAGAGCAGCGUCUAUUCUGCGAAAAUGUAAAUAAGCAAAAGUGAGUACGAAGGUACUCAACAAGUCUUACAUCAGUGCUAACUACAUAUGCAUCAAGUAUCAAUGAACGGAAUUGUGGGGUUUAUUGCAGAGAAGCCAGCUUUGACCUUUGGCUAACCUAUUCUACAACAAAGUUUUAUUAUCUCUCUCGUCUCCUUAUGAGAGAGCGCACACAAGUCCACAUAACCAUCACAUCAAUAGACCACCAUGGAUCCCCUCUUGUCAUCCUACGAGAAGGCCAUCCAUAGCACUCACACUUAUCUGGACCAUUUUAGAGUAACCAUUAAUGUUAUCUAUGAACCAUCUAAGUAUCCAAGCAGUCCAUAUCCGAGGACGCGGCUAUUCGAAUAGAUAGUUACCCUACAGGGGUGUACUUCGUCACACAUGCUUCCACCACUUAUCGCCAAGUGCACAUAAAACUAGCACCUAGGAAACCUUCAAGCGGAAGCCCAGCGAGGGAGUUGGCCACGGACGUUAACCUACUAAGACUCACGCCCAAGACAGUCGCCUAUCUGAGUUGGAACCCAUAAUGGAAGUCCGGCCGAGGUUUCCAACAUGGCCUCAAACGAUGUGAGCAGGGCCCCAAGCCGGUCCCGACUGGGCCGUUCAUCCACUUAGCAGGCCGUGCCACAACCUAUGAACGUUUCGAACAACUGCAACUUCUGGACUGAGAACAGAGUAGUUAAUAGGCCGAGAGGGGUCGAGUUACCGGAACCCAAUGUGCGGUAGUAGCUAGUCUUGGAACACCAACACAAGAUCUUAGGUCCUAACUGCGGCGGCAAUGAGACAACCCACCAUGUACUCCUACAUGGCCUCUCAUCGCUACCUUUACCAAAACAGUUUCACAUCUUUAACUCUCAUCAAUAGGACAUGAUCAUUCCAAUACAUCAUUCCGAUGCUCGGACCAAACUCAACCUAAGCAUAGCAAGCAUAACAGGGUAAAGCACAUAUGACUCAAGCAUCUACCAGGUAUGCUAGGUUGCAUUGGUUUAGCUAUUUACUGUGAUCAAAAUCAGGUCAUGCAAAGGAAUAGGUGCAGCUAUCGUAAUACAACUAUCAAUUGAAUCAUUUUGUCCUAAUGCAUAGAAGUGAGAGCAGGAGCGAGAGAAUAGGAUUUUGUCGGAAUGUUCAAAGGAGUUUUGCUUGCCCGUUGAUCGGAAGAACACAGCUAUUCUUCGAUGCCGGUGAUAACUACAUCUCGCAAGGUCUAUUGACACAUCAAACAAAAGAAAUUAAUCACGGAAAAUGCUUCACAAUGAUGCAUGAGCAUGGCAAGUUAUCAUGAUGCUGAUUUCAUCUUAUGCAAGUGAUCACAAGUUGAAAGAAGUUUAUUUGAUCUAUAUAAAUCAUUUUCCAAAUCCAAUUAUAUACUUUAUAAGCCUAUUGUGAAUUUGUCAUAUUCAGCAAGGUUAAAAUGUCCAAACAUGUGUAUAAAUGCCACCAAUGGAUUCCUUGCAUUUUUUUGAUAAUUUUUCAUAUACAAAUUAUUUUCAUGAGAGUUAUAUUUUAAUUUCUAUGAUCUUUACAAGUUUUAGCGAUUUUCUGGAAUUAAAUUAAAUCAGAAAACUAUUACUGCGUCAGGCUGAUGUCAUCCCUGCGCCAGCAGGUCAACCAGCCGGGUCCAGGUCAUCCUGACCAGUGGGGUCCACUGGUCAGUGACCCAAAGACUAAUCCCGCGCUGACCCGCACUAAGUGAGGUUUGACUCACUAGUGGGGCCCUCUGUCAGCGUCUGUGGGGGAAUUAAUUAGCGCUAAUGGUCGGCCACGUCGACGGCUACCGGAGAGUGGUCGCCGGCGACUGAGCCGCGGUGGAGGGCUCGCCGGAGUUGUGCUAUUUUGCGCUACAGAGGUCCAAAUCGAGCACGGUUUGCAGCUACGGGACGCUGGCGAAGCGCCCGAUCUGGCAGGGGCUACGGCUGGGGCUAGAGUGGACCGGAGCAUCGCCGGCGACGAGCGGAGCGGUCGCUAGGGUUCGGCCACGGUGGGGGAACGGGCUACGGGGCACGGUAGAGCAUGGGAGGAGAGGGGAAAGAGUCAACGGCUCACGGGGGGUCCAUUCCUGGCAUCGGCGAGGUUGGAGGGGCUCUCUGACCGACGAAUCGACGGCGGCGAGAUCUGGUGGCCGGAGGGGAAGAAGACGGUGAUGCGUCGCUGUGGAGGCCCUGGAGCUCGGGGUUGUUGACUAUGAGAAACAUCACGUCGGGGCGGAGCCGUAGAGCUCUUCAGGGAGGCGAGGGGUGGACGGGGUCGACGGCGACGAACUUGAGCAGUGCUCGGCAACGGAGGCGAGAGAAGAGAGGAAACAAGGAGAGAGGGAGAAAUGGAGAGGAGGAGAUUGGGACGGCUCAGCGGCGCGAAGAUAAGGGAGAGGAAGGUGACGAGGCAGGCACGCAUGGAGGAGGUGGAAGCAGGAGGUGGCGAGGGGGAGCCGUGCCUUCCUUCUCCUCUGCCUUCUGGUACGAGGAGGAAGACGACAGGGGAGACCCCCCUCGUGGGCUGGGCCAGGAGGUGCGACAGAUAGACAGGUUUGCUCUCUCUCUUUUCCUUUCUGUUUUAUUCCUUUCUGGUAUUUACUUUUAGGGUUUAAAAUAAAUUGUUUGACCAAAUAUAAAACCCAAAAAAUGUUAUUAUGUGAGAGAGACAAAAAUAUACAAUGCCACCUAAAAGUUUGAACAUUUUUGAAACUUUAAAAUAGAAGGAAUCAAAAUAAUUCCAUUCCAAAUAGCUAUUUAGUCAACUCAAAAAUCCUUUUCAAAAAGUUCCUGUGACCUAGAAUUUUGGUUUGACAAAUUUAUUUUAUGUCACUAUUUUGCCAAGUAUUUGGAACAUUUUCCUGGUUCCUUUUAAGUUAUUAAAUUUUUAUUGCCUUCUUGUCAAUUGAUCAAAACAUUUGGGGUUUUGAUCACUUCCUAUUUAAACAUCAAAGUUUUUAUAAUGCAUGCAUGAAUGCUUGGCAAACAAAAGAAAGCUAGGGCUGUGACAUUGCCCUUGUAAGAGUCAUGGUGAUCUUCACCAAUUCCUUAUUUAGCCUUUUUCUUGGUGAACGUCAUAUGCUUGGGAAAGAUCUAUAUUCAUAUAUCAACUUGGAGAUGAGUACUUAUGCUUUAUUAUUGUUGACUUUACCCUUGAGGUAAAUGGUUGGGAGGCAAAAUUACAAGCCCCUAUCUUUCUGUGUGUCCAACUGAAACUUUGAUACCAUGAGUACCACGUGAGUUGUAACAAUUGUGGAAAACAAAAGAGAUGAUUGAGUAUGUGGAUUUGCUUUACAAGCUCUUAUUUGACUCUUUCGGAUGAUAUGAUAAAUUGAAUUGCUUCAAUGACUAUGGAUUGUUGUUGGCUACUUCUCGGUAAGGUUUUUAUUUCAUACUUUGCUUUGUGAAGGAAUUGUUACUUUCCCAUAAAAAUCUCUAUGAUGUAUUUCUGUUCUAUGUGUGAUCAUGAUGCCCUCAUGUCCGUAUUAUGUUUUAUCGACACCUUCAUCCCUAAACAUGUGGACAUGUUUAUGGAUCUUGGUUUUCGCUUGAGGACAAGCGAGGUCUAAGCUUGGGGGAGUUGAUACGUCCAUUUUGCAUCAAGCUUUCAUGUUGAUAUUUAUCGCUUUAUGGACUGUUAUUAUACUUUGUGGUACCAUACUUAUGCCUUUUCUCUCUUAUUUUGCAAGGUUUAUUUGAAGAGGGAGAAUACCGGCAGCUGGAAUUCUGGACUGGAAAUGGAGCAAGUCUGAGUCCUCUAUUCUGCGCAACUCCAAAUGCCCUGAAAAUCAACGUGGAAUUUUUUGGGAAUAUAUAAAAAAUACUGGGCGAAAGAAGUGUCAGAGGGGAGCUGCGGCCCACAAGCCUGGUUGCCGCGGCCUACCCCCUGGCCGCGGCAGCACGGCUUGUGGGCACCCUGGUGGCCCACUGGCCCCCUCUUUUACUAUAUGAAGGGUUUCGUCUGAGAAAAAAAAAUCAAGGUGGAGCUUUUUCGUGGAUUCUUCGCCGCCAUGAGGCGGAACUUGAGCAGAACCAAUCUAGAGCUCCGACAGGACGAUCCUGCCGGGGAAUCUUCCCUCCCGGAGGGGGAAAUCGUCGCCAUCGUCAUCACCAACACUCCUCUCAUUGGAGGGGAGUCAUCUCCAUAAACAUCUUUAUCAGCAAAAUCUCCUCUCCAAACCCUAGUUCACCUCUUGUAACCAAUCUCCGCCUCGCGACUCCAAUUGGCACUUCUAAGGUUGCUAGUAGUGUUGAUUACUCUUUGUAGUUGAUGCUAGUUGGAUUACUUGGUGGAAGAGUUUAUGUUCAGAUCCUUGAUGCUACUCAUUACACCUGUGAUCAUGAUUAUUAUUUUGCUUUGUGAGUAGUUACUUUUGUUCCUGAGGACAUGGGAUAAGUCAUGCUGAUAAUAGUCAUGUGAAUUUGAUAUUCGUUCGAUAUUUUGAUAUGUUGUAUGUUGUCUUUUCCUCUAGUGGUGUUAUGUGAACGUCGACUACAUAACACUUCACCAUCUUUGGGCCUAGUGGAAGGCAUUGGGGAGUAGUAAGUAGAUGAUGGGUUGCUAGAGUGACAGAAGCUUAAACCCCAGUCUAUGCGUUGCUUCGUAAGGGGCUGAUUUGGAUCCACUAGUUUAAUGCUAUGGUUAGACAUUGUCUUAAUUAUUCUUUCGUAGUUGUGGAUGCUUGCGAGAGGGGUUAAUCAUAAGUGGGAUGCUUGUCCAAGUAAGGGCAUUACCCAAGCGCCGGUCCACCCACAUAUCAAACUAUCAAAGUAACAAAUGCGAAUCUUGUCCCUUGCUAUAAAAGGGACUCGGCCACUUUGCUGCACCGUUGCUACUACUUGUUACUUGUUACUUUUCGCUUGCUACAUUUCACCUCACUACAUCAUCAUUUGUUACCGCUACUUUCAGUUCUUGCAGUUAUUACCUUGCUAAAAACCGUUUAUCAGAGCCUUCUUCUCCUCGUUGGGUUCGACACUCUUACUUAUCGAAAGGACUACGAUUGAUCCCCUAUACUUGUGGGUCAUCACAUGGGUCAAAAGGUGGAGGGCUACCAGCCCAAAGUGGGCUGGUGGGCCUCCCACAAAGGGGUCAAAGGCGCGGGAGGUGGAGAGGGGGGGAAACCCUAGGCGCUGGUGGGCCUAAGGCCCACCUAGGGGUGCGCCACCCCCUCCCCUUGCCCUGGCCGCCGCACCUCCCCUCUGGGGGGGGGGGCUGCCGCACCACCUAGGGUGGGAACCCUAGGGGUGGCACCCCCUUCCCCUCCUCCUAUAUAUAGGGAGGAGUUUGGGGCUGUUCUACACACCGUUUCUUCUCUCCCUCGGCGCAGCCCUGCUCCCCUCCUUCCUCCUCCUCCCACCGUUCUUGGCAAAGCCCUGCCGGGAGACCUCGUCUCACCAUCGACACCACGCCGUCAUGCUGCCGGAGAUCUUCCCCAACCACUCCCUCCUCCUUGUUGGAUCAAGGUGCGGGAGACGUCACCGGGCUGCGCGUGUGUUGAACGCGGAGGUGCCGUGGUUCGGCACUAGAUCGGAAUCACACCGCGAUCUGAAUCACCGCGAGUAUGACUCCAUCAACCGCGUUCUAGCAACACUUCCGCUUAGCAAUCUUCAAAGGUAUGAAGAUGCACUCACCCCUCUCUCGUUGCUGGUCUCUCCAUAGGAAGAUCUGAAUAUGGCGUAGGAAAAUUUUGAAUUUAUGCUACGUUACCCAACAAUCAUAUGCUUGGGAAAGAUCUAUAUUCAUAUGUCAACUUGGAAGUAAGUAUUCAUGAAUUAUUAUUGUUGACAUUACCCUUGAGGUAAGCAGUUGGGAGGCAAAACUAUAAGCCCCUAUCUUUCUUUGUGUCCAGCUAAAACUUUGAUAUCAUGAGUACCACGUGAGUUGUAGCAAUUGUAGAGAACGAAAGGAUGAUUGAGUAUGUGGAUUUUCUUUACAAGCUCUUAUUUGACUCUUUCUGAUGUUGUGAUAAAUUGCAAUUGCUUCAAUGACUAAAGGCUAUCGGUUGUUACUUCUCAGUAAGGUUCUUGAUCCAUGCUUUACUUUGUGAAGGAAUUAUCACUUUAGCAUGAGAGAUUAUAUGUUGGUAUUGCUGUUCUGAUCAUGAUCAUGAUGCAUGCAUGUUUGUAUCUUAUUUUGUCGACACCUCUCUCCCUAAGCAUGUGGACAUAUUUAUUGAGCUAGGCUUUCGCUUGGGGACAAGCGAGGUCUAAGCUUGGGGGAGUUGAUACGUCCAUUUUUCAUCAUGUUUUCAUGUUGAUAUUUAUCGCUUCUUGGGCUGUUAUUUCACUUCACGGUACAAUACUUAUGCCUUUUCUAUCUUUUUUAUAAGGUUUACAUGAAGAGGGAGAAUGCCGGCAGCUGGAAUUCUGGCCUGAAAAAGGAGCAAAGUUGAGAUACCUAUUCUGCGCAACUCCAAACGCCAUAAAAAUCAACGAGGAUUUUUUCCGGAUUUAUAAAAAAUACUGGGCCGAAGAAGCGCUAGAGGGGCGCCAACAGGUGGCCAUAAGCCUGCUAGGCGUGGCCACCCCCUGGUCGCACCUAGGGGGCUUGUGGGCAGCCUGCUGGCCCACUGGCCCCCUCUUCUGCUAUAUGAAGGGUUUCGUCCAUGAAAAUAUAAAGGAGGAGCUUUUUCGUGGAUUCGCCGCUGCCACGAGGCGGAACUUGACUAGAACCAAUCUACAGCUCCGGCAGGAUGAUCCUGCCGGGGAAACUUCACUCCCGGAGGGUGAAAUCGUCGCCAUCGUCAUCACCAACACUCCUCUCAUUGGAGGGGACUCAUCACCAUCAAUAUCUUCAUCAGCACCAUCUCAUCUCCAAACCCUAGUUCAUCACUUGUAACCAAUCUCCGUCUCGCAACUCCGAUUGUACUUGUAAGGUUGCUAGAAGUGUUGAUUACUCUUUGUAGUUGAUGCUAGUUGGAUUACUUGGUGGAAGAGUUUAUGUUCAGAUCUUUGAUGCUACUCAUUACCUCUCUGGUCAUUAAUAUGAUUAUGCUUUGUGAGUAGUUACUUUUGUUCCUGAGGACAUGGGAUAAGUCAUGCUAAAAAUAGUCAUGUGAAUUUGGUAUUCGUUCGAUAUUUUGAUGUGUUGUAUGUUGUUUUUCCUCUAGUGGUGUUAUGUGAACGUUGACUACAUAACACUUCACCAUUAUUUGGGCCUAGAGGAACGCAUUGGGAAGUAUUAAGUAUAUGAUGGGUUGCUAGAGUGACAGAAGCUUAAACCCUAGUUUAUGCGUUGGUUCGUAAGGGGCUGAUUUGGAUCCACUAGUUUAAUGCUAUGGUUAGACUUUUUCUUAAUUCUUCUUUCGUAGUUGCGGAUUCUUGCGAGAGGGGUUAAUCAUAAGUGGGAUGCUUUUCCAAGUAAGGGUAGUACCCAAGCGCAGAUCCAUCCACAUAUCAAACUAUCAAAGUAACGAACGCGAAUCAUAUGAACAUGAUGAAAACUAGCAUGACAGAAAUUCCCGUGUGCCCUCGGGAGCGUUUUUUCCUCCUAUAAGACUUUGUCCAGGCUUGUCCCUUGCUACAAAAGGGAUUGGACCACUUUGCUGCACCGUUGCUACUUUUGUUACUUGUUGCUUGCUACGAAUCAUCUCACCACACAAUCACUUGUUACCGAUAAUUUCAGUGCUUGUAGAAUUUACCUUGCCGAAAACCACUUGUCAGAUCCUUCUGCUCCUCGUUGGGUUCGACACUCUUACUUAUCGAGAGGAAUACGAUUGAUCCCCUAUACUUGUGGGUCAUCAAAAACCAUCAAAAAUUAUUGAUACGUUGGAGACGUAUCAAGCAUCCCCAAGCUUAACUCCUGCUCGUCCUCGAGUGGGGAAGUGAUAAAGACUGAAUUUUUGAUGUUGAAUGCUACCUAGCAUAGUUGUCCUUUGUAACUUCUUUCAUGUGACAUGAAUGUUCAGAUCUGUAAGAUUCAAAACAAUAGUUUGCUAUUGACAUGAAAACAAUAAUACUUCAAGCAAACUAGCAAGGUAAUCAUGAACUUUCAAAAUAACAAGGCCAAAGAAAGUUAUCCCUACAAAAUCAUAGAGUCUGGCUAUGCUCCAUAAUCCUCACACAACUAAUGUAAAUCAUGCACAACCCCGGUAUUGGCCAAGUAAUUGUUUUCGCACUCUUACUUUCUCAAACCUUUUAUAACUAUCACGCAAUACAUGAGCGUGAGCCAUGGAUAUAGCACUAUAGGUGGAAUAGAGUGUGGUGGUGGUUGUGAGACAAAAAGGAGGAGAUGGUCACAUUGACUCGGCAUAUCAAAGGUCUAUGGAGAUGCCCAUUAAUAGAUAUCAAUGUGAAUUAGUAGGGAUUGCCAUACAAGGGAUGCACUAGAGCUAUAAGUAUGUGAAAGCUCAAAAGGAGAACUAGUGGGUGUGCAUCCAACUUGCUUGCUCACAAAGACCUAGGGCAAUUUUGAGGAAGCCCAUCAUUGGAAUAUACAAGCCAAGUUAUAUAAUGAAGAUUCCCACUAGCAUAUGGUAUUGACAAAGCAAGAAGCUCUCAAUCAUGAAGAACAUGGUGCUAUUAUGAAGCACAAGUGUGGAAAAAGAUAGUAGCAUUGUCCCUUCUCUUUUUUUAUUUGCGCUCUUGGGCCUCUUUUUUUAUUUUUUUUAUUUGGGCUCUUUUGCCUCUUUUUUCUAUUUCCUCACAUGGGACAAUGCUCCAAUAAUGAUGAUCAUCACACUUUUAUUUACUCAUAGCUCAAAGCUUAGAACGAUGAUGCCUCUAAAGGAAAUGCCUCCGGCAGUGUACCGGGAUGUGCAACGAUCUAGCUUGGCGUAUGAUGUUGAAACAUAUCGCUAGCUAUCUUAUGAUCAUGCAAUGGCAAUAUGAGAGUGAUGGCACAAGUCAUGAGACGGAACGGUGGGAGUUGCACGGCAAUAUAUCUCGGAAUGGCUAUGCAAAUGCCAUAGUAGGUAGGUAUGGUGGCUGUUUUGAGGAAGGCAUAUGGUGGGUUUGUGUACCGGCGGAAAUUGCGCGGCACUUAGAGAGGUUAGAAAUGGUGGAAGGUGAAAGUGCAUCUAUACCAUGGACUCACAUUAGUCAUGAAGAACUCACAUACUUGUUGGGAAAGUUUUUAUUAGUAAUCGAAACAAAGUGCUAAACGCAUACUCCUAGGGGAAGGGUUGGUAGGUGUUAACCAUCGCGCGAUCCCGACCUCAACACAAAGGAUGAAAAUCAAUAGAUCAAUUAUGCUCCGACUUCCUAACAUAGCAGUUCACCAUACGUGCAUGCUACGGGAAUCACUAACUUCAACACAAGUAUUUCUAGAUUCAUAACACCCUACUAACAUAACUCUUAAUAUUACCAAAUCCACGUCUCAAAACUAAUUGAGAGGAAUCAAGAUUUCUCUUUCUACUCAAUGCACAUGAAGAUGGAGGUUUUUGUAUCCUCUUCAGGUACCUAUCACCUUUGGAACUACUUUCAUAGCAUAAGUCAACUACCAAGUCACGUACCGCCGUGCUCUAAAAGAUUUAAGUGAAGCACAUAGAGCAAAAUUAUCUAGCUCAAAAGAUAUAAGUGAAGCACGAUGAGCAUUCUAGCAAAAUCACGAUGAGUGCAUGUCUCUCUCUAAAGGUGUGCAGCAAGGAUGAUUGUGAAACAAGAAAAAGAAAAGACUCCUACGAUACAAGAUGCUCCAAGCAAAACAUAUAUCAUGUGGUGAAUAAAAAUAUAGCUCCAAGUAAUGUUACCGAUGGAUUGAAGACCAAAGAGGGGAUGUCUUCCCGGUGCAUCCCCAAGCUUAGGCUUUUUGGUGUCCUUGAAUUUGGCUUGGGAUGCCUUGGGCAUCCCCAAGCUUGAGCUCUUUCCACUCUUUAUCUCUUUGUCCAUGAGAACAUCACCCAAAACUUGAAAACUUCACAACACAAAACUUAAACAGAAACUCGUGAUAACAUUAGCACAAGAAAACAAACCACCACCUCUUUAGGUACUGUAGAAAUCUUGAUUUCUAUUUAUAUUGGUGUUAGAUUACUCUAUUAUCACUUUUCCAUGACUAGUACUGCCCGAUACUAUCCAUAGUUUCAUCGAAACAAGCAACCAACUGAACAAAAACAGAAUCUGUCAAAAACAGACCAGUCUGUAGCAAUCUUAUACUUCGUAUACUUCUGAUACCUAAACAAUUCUGAAAACUUACGACAGCCUGGGAAAAAGUCAUAUCAACCAGAAGAAAAAAGAAUCAACUCAAAAUAUCUUUCUGAAUAAAAAUGAAAAAUAAUCUCGUGAGCGAAAAGUUUCUGUCUUUUUCCAGCAGGAUCAAACAACCAUCACCAAGACUAGUCAUAAAGGUUUUGCUUGGCUCAAACACAAAAAGAAAAACAAAAGACACAAUCAUAACAGAAUUAUGAUGGAGUGGACGCAACAAAAAUGAAAUAAAAAGAAAUAGUUUCAUUGGGUUGCCUCCCAACAAGCGCUAUUGUUUAACGCCCUUAGCUAGGCAUUGAUAAUUCAAUGAUGCUCACACAAAAGACAAUAAUUGAAGCACAACGAGAGCAUCAUGAAGGAUGUGAAAAUCACAUCUAAGUCUAACAUACUUCCUAUGCAUAGGAAUUUUAUAGGAAAACAAAUUGGCAAGACAACCAAUAGUUACUAAAUGCAAGGAAGAAGAAAGAGACAAUAACAAUCUCAACAUAACGAGAGGUAAUUUGGUAACAUGAAAGUUUCUACCACAAUAUUUUACUCUCUCAUAGCAAUUACAUGUGGGAUGAUAAUCAAAUUCAACAAAAUAGCUAUCACAAAUAAUAUUCUUUUCAUGAUCCACAUGCAUGCUGAUACGUCCAUUUUGCAUCAUGUUUUCACGUUGAUAUUUAUCGCCUCUUGGGCUGUUAUUUCACUUCACGGUACUAUUCUUAUGCCUUUUCUCUCUUAUUUUGCAAGGUUUACAUAAAGAGGGAGAAUACCGGCAACUGGAAUUAUGGCCUAAAAGUGGAGCAAAGUUGAGAUACCUAUUCUGCACAACUCCAAACGCCGUGAAAAUCAACGGAUAUUUUUUCCCAAUUUAUAAAAAAUACUAGGCCGAAGAAGUGCCAGUGGGGCGCGAGGGGGUGGCCACAAGCCUGCAUGGCGCGGCCACCCCCCAGGCUGCGCCAUGGGAGCUUGUGGGCACCCGCCUGGCCCACUUGCCCCCCUCUUUUGCUAUAUGGAGGUUUCGUCCAGAAAAAAAAUCAGAAGGGAGCUUUUUCGUGGUUUCGCCGCCGCCACGAGGCGAAACUUGAGCAGAACCAAUCUAUAGCUCCGGCACGACGAUCCUGCCGGGGAAACUUCCCUCCCGGAGGGGGAAAUCGUCACCAUCAUCAUCACCAGCACUCCUNAUCGGAGGGGACUCGUCACCAUCAACAUCUUCAUCAGCACCAUCUCAUCUCCAAACCCUAGUUCAUCUCUUGUAACCAAUAUCCGUCUCGCGACUCCGAUUGGUACUUGUAAGGUUGCUAGUAGUGUUGAUUACUCUUUGUAGUUGAUGCUAGUUGGAUUAUUUUGUUGGAAAUAUGCCCUAGAGGCAAUAAUAAAUUAGUUAUUAUUACAUUUAUUAGUUCAUGAUAAUCGUUUAUUAUCCAUGCUAUAAUUGUAUUGAUUGGAAACACAAUACUUGUGUGGAUACAUAGACAAAACACUGUCCCUAGUAAGCCUCUAGUUGACUAGCUCGUUGAUCAAAGAUGGNNNNNNNNNNNNNNNNNNNNNNNNNNNNNNNNNNNNNNNNNNNNNNNNNNNNNNNNNNNNNNNNNNNNNNNNNNNNNNNNNNNNNNNNNNNNNNNNNNNNCGGAUACUGACGAUCGAAUCUCGGGCAAGUAACAUACCGAAGGACAAAGGGAAUGACAUACGGGAUUAUAUGAAUCCUUGGCACUGAGGUUCAAACGAUAAGAUCUUCGUAGAAUAUGUAGGAUCCAAUAUGGGCAUCUAGGUCCUGCUGUUGGAUAUUGACCGAGGAGUCUCUCGGGUCAUGUCUACAUAGUUCUCGAACCCGCAGGGUCUGCACACUUAAGGUUCGACGUUGUUUUAUGCGUAUUUGAGUUAUAUGGUUGGUUACCGAAUGUUGUUCGGAGUCCCGGAUGAGAUCACGGACAUCACGAGGGUUUCCGGAAUGGUCCGGAAACGAAGAUUGAUAUAUAGGAUGACCUCAUUUGAUUACCGGAAGGUUUUCGGAGUUACCGGGAAUGUACCGGGAAUGACGNAAUGGGUUCCGGGAGUUCACCGGGGGGGGGGGGCAACCCACCCCGGGGAAGCCCAUAGGCCUUGAGGGUGGCGCACCAGCCCUUAGUGGGCUGGUGGGGCAGCCCAGAAGAGCCCUAUGCACCUAGGAAAGAAAGUCAAAGAGAAAAGAAAAAAAAAGGAGGUGGGAAGGGAAGGAAGGACUCCCACCCACCAAACCAAGUCCAACUCGGUUUUGGGGGNNNNNNNNNNNNNNNNNNNNNNNNNNNNNNNNNNNNNNNNNNNNNNNNNNNNNNNNNNNNNNNNNNNNNNNNNNNNNNNNNNNNNNNNNNNNNNNNNNNNGAUUGAAAUAGGUAUGCGGAUACUGACGAUCGAAUCUCGGGCAAGUAACAUACCGAAGGACAAAGGGAAUAACAUACGGGAUUAUAUGAAUCCUUGGCAGUGAGGUUCAAACGGUAAGAUCUUCAUAGAAUAUGUAGGAUCCAAUAUGGGCAUCCAGGUCCCACUGUUGGAUAUUGACUGAGGAGUCUCUCGGGUCAUGUCUACAUAGUUCUCGAACCCGCAGGGUCUGCACACUUAAGGUUCGACGUUGUUUUAUGCGUAUUUGAGUUAUAUGGUUGGUUACCGAAUGUUGUUCGGAGUCCCGGAUGAGAUCACGGACGUCACGAGAGUUUCCGGAAUGGUCCGGAAACGAAGAUUGAUAUAUAGGAUGACCUCAUUUGAUUACCGGAAGGUUUUCGGAGUUACCGGGAAUGUACCGGGAAUGAAGAAUGGGUUCCGGGAGUUCACCGGGGGGGGGGGGCAACCCACCCCGGGGAAGCCCAUAGGCCUUGAGGGUGGCGCACCAGCCCUUAGUGGGCUGGUGGGGCAGCCCAAAAGGGCCCUAUGCGCCUAGGAAAGAAAAUCAAAGAGAAAAGAAAAAAAAGGAGGUGGGAAGGGAAGGAAGGACUCCCACCCACCAAACCAAGUCCAACUCGGUUUUGGGGGGGGGGAGCCUUCCCCCUUGGACUCGGCCGACCCCCUUGGGGCUCCUUGAGCCCCAAGGCAAGGUCCCCUCCCUCCCACCUAUAUAUACGGAGGUUUUAGGGCUGAUUUGAGACGACUUUUCCACGGCAGCCCGACCACAUACCUCCACGGUUUUUCCUCCAGAUCGCGUUUCUGCGGAGCUCGGGCGGAGCCCUGCUGAGACAAGGUCAUACCAACCUCCGGAGCACCGUCACGCUGCCGGAGAACUCUUCUAUCUCUCCGUCUCUCUUGCUGGAUCAAGAAGGCCGAGAUCAUCGUCGAGCUGUACGUGUGCUGAACGCGGAGGUGCCGUCCGUUCGGUACUAGAUCGUGGGACUGAUCGCGGGAUUGUUCGCGAGGCGGAUCGAGGGACGUGAGGACGUUCCACUACAUCAACCGCGUUCACUAACGCUUCUGCUGUACAGUCUACAAGGGUACGUAUAUCAAUCAUCCCCUCUCGUAGAUGGACAUCACCAUGAUAGGUCUUCGUGCGCGUAGGAAAUUUUUUGUUUCCCAUGCGACGUUCCCCUUCAGUGGCAUCAUGAGCUAGGUUCAUGCGUAGAUGUCUUCUCGAGUAGAACACAAAAGUUUUUGUGGGCGGUGAUGUGCGUUUCGCUGCCCUCCUUAGUCUUUUCUUGAUUCCGCGGUAUUGUUGGAUUGAAGCGGCUCGGACCGACAUUACUCGUACGCUUACGAGAGACUGGUUUCAUCGCUACGAGUAACUCCGUUGCUCAAAGAUGACUUGCGGGUAUCGGUUUCUCCAACUUUAGUUGAAUCAGAUUUGACCGAGGAGGUCCUUGGAUGAGGUUAAAUAGCAACUCAUAUAUCUCCGUUGUGGUGUUUGCGUAAGUAAGAUGCGAUCCUACUAGAUACCCAUGGUCACCACGUAAAACAUGCAACAACAAAAUUAGAGGACGUCUAACUUGUUUUUGCAGGGUAUGCUUGUGAUGUGAUAUGGCCAACGAUGUGAUGUGAUAUAUUGGAUGUAUGAGAUGAUCAUGUUGUAAUAGAANNNNNNNNNNNNNNNNNNNNNNNNNNNNNNNNNNNNNNNNNNNNNNNNNNNNNNNNNNNNNNNNNNNNNNNNNNNNNNNNNNNNNNNNNNNNNNNNNNNNUUCGGGCACCGUCCCCUUGUUGGAGGCAUCGACGUUGCAGCCUCUCCCUUCUCAUGCCCGACAUCCUUCGGGGGAAACCCUAGAUCUGCUAUUGCGGAUCGGGCGAUGAUGACACUAUCGGCUUUGCUCGGCUCGACGUCAUAUAUCCUCUUAAGGACAUCGUUUUGAAGAUAGACUUGGCCAGAGGGACCCGAUGCUCAUGUUUGGUGGUUGGCGACGGCUUGUAUAGCAUCACCGUGAGAACAGCAAAAGCAUCAUUCACAUGCAAGUUUCAUCAGGCAAGUUAUGGCCGCCAACCUCGCGAGAUUGAAGCGGCAUAUGUUUGCUCUAUCGGACAUAGCGUUCCUCUUGAAUGUCAUCGAGUUUCAUGGAUAUGCUUGUGGCAGCUCAGAUUGAUACAACGGUUUUUAGUUUGCACUUUGAUAGCGGCUUAAAGCGCUCGAGUGCCCGGCCGGGUGUGUUGUACGGUGUUGGCCUUCUGAGGUGUUGUAUGUGUUGUGGUGCUUUAGGCCUGGUUGUUAGGCGCUGUUUUAGGUUUUCGUCCGGUUUUCCUAUAAACUGAGCAUCCUUUUUCAUUCUUCUUCUUUUGGCACUCGCCUUAUGCGGUGCAUUCCUCUUCUGAUCAACGAAUUUGACAGCUCUUCUGCCAACAUUAAAAAAAAAGAACAAGGCAGUAGAAGGUUCCGUAAAAAAACAAGAAGCAGCAGCAUCGGAUCCUGGUUGGUCCAAAGAAAAACCGAGGUGGCCAUGUGGUGUGCAUCAUAUCAUUGCAGAAGAUGCAUCCAAAACAAACGUCAGACGGUGCCACAGUACAGUCUUUGAAUUUUGAGGGUGGUCAAAGGAGGAUGGUGAUUUCCUGUUGGAUAAUGCUAUUACGGGUCCAGUGGAUUUACUGCUAAGUGCAAAAAUCCAGUGGAUUUACUGUUAAAAAUGAGCACAAAACACACCAGCUACCUCCCAUCUGGAAAUCGAUACGCAUGGAUGGAUUCGUUGGACGACCUUAUCAUGAUGUCUCCGACCGAGUUGAUGACAAAAUACGGGACCAGCACGACGCCCGGCAGGCAUCCAAGUGUGCAUGCAUGCAAGCAAGUAUGCAAGUGUAGGAAGCGAUCGGUGGGGUGGCGCAUUUGAUCUUGUCCUAAACGAUAGUGUACCUCCGUGUAGGCAAGCGGUGGCGUGGGUCUGUUCUCUUGGACGCGGUGGUGACGUGGGAAUUGUACUGGCGCGAUUGAGUGGUGUGCGGGACGGUUUACAGGGCAAGAGUUCGCGCGUGCGGCUUGCCGUGGUAGCUUGCUUGACGCUUUGUUUGAGCAGCUUGUGUGGGGAUUAAUGAAUGAAUGAUCAGAGUGCUGGGACUCGUGAUCAAUUGGUGGUUUUGGUAUUGAUGACAUCGAAUGCUGUUGUUCCUGCAUCGAAACAGGGAGGAGACACCUGGUACCACACCUUUAAGGGCAACGCGUAAAUUUUCUCAUGUAUGUGCCCGCGGGCUGGUUAUCCAUCCCGGACGGACACGGUGCGAAAGGUUGUCAUCCAACAUUACGUAGUACUAGCACAAGGGUCCGUUCGUUGCAACGGAAGAGACAAUUAACAAUAAUUACGAAUUAGGUUGGCAGGUUAGAGGAUAUAUUUGUUGAUGACAACAAUAAUGGAUAAAUUAACAAUAGGAUUUUCUUGGGCGCUAGUUUGAGGGCUCCUUUGAUACAAAGGAAUUUCAUUGGAUUUUUGAAGGAUUUGGAUCCUUAGGAUUUUUUCCUACGAUGGUCGUUUGAUUCGUAGGAUUGAAAUCCUUUGAAAUUUUUUCAUAGGUUCAUUUGUACUAUAUUUUGGAGGAAAAAUUCCAUCCACUCAAACCUCUUUGUAGAAUUCCUUUGUUUUUCCUGUACUAUCAAACACACUUUCAAAUCCUGUAGUGUAGAAAAGGAUAUGCCACUCUAUUUCUACGUUUUUUCUAUUUCUGUAUUUUGAUAAUCCUAGGAAUCAAAGAGGCCCUGAAACAUGAGACAUAAAUCGUACUCAUCUAAUCGGAUGAACAACCAUUUCUUUAGAUUAUUGUACUGAUAAUAAAAGUAUUGUAGAUUAUUACACUGAUAGUAAAAGUAUUAUACAAGCAAUGUUUUUUUUAUUUACUGACAUCACACAAUAAAAAUGUGGUAUAAUUGGUCCCAUGUGACAUGUAUGCUUCUGUCAUGUGUGCUAAUAGUGAAGUCCUUCGUAACCUGUUUUUAAAAUGGUGCAGCUAUCGUCAAAUAAUUAUCGAACUGGUUCCAUUGAGAUCAAUUAAAGGCUCUAUUGCCAUGACAUAUAAACAUAUGUGUUUUGGCAUUGAUUAUUUAUUUUGCACGUUUAUGAACCGGGAUCAACAAUGCCUGGAGGCAAUGUAUAUUUGUUGCACGUGCAGACUAUUCCCUCCGUUUAAAAUAAGUGUUACAAAUUUAGUAUUAAGUUAGUACAAAUUUUAUACUAAAACAGCAAUAUUUAUUUUGAGACAUUUUUCGUUGAUCUAUUAUUUUUAUACAGUGUUUCAGUUUUCACGUCCUAAUCAUGAAGGGAACAAACAGAGCAAAAUUCAACUUAGAUAAAAAGAAGCCAUAUCCAAGCUAAGAACAAAAAUAUCUAGCAACGUGUGCAGUCCUACGCACUACGCAACACCAUAUCUACUUUUUUAAUCAAUCUUAUCUGACGCUCUAUCUUAUCUCUUAGGACACGGGCCUCCACUCACAUUCUAUCUCCUUUCUCACUUUGCAAAUUUCCAUUCUCUCCCUAACACUGCCUCUGUGCCUCGUCCAACCGUGGCUGUAGAGGAGCUCGCCUGAGACUUGUUCCGUCUCUCAAGAAGGCUAGCCAGCUGCCGUCCAUCUUGUUAUCUCGUUCUCUCCCUCGGCUUUCCCUUCUUUCUAUUAUAAUUUUUGUUUUCUCCAGUCCAGGGAAGGGAGCCGCCAUGGAACCGUAGCACCCUGCCUCUCGUGGAGCUCGCCGCCUCCAGCUACCUCUCCAUUGAUCAGUCCGACGCCUCCGGCCAGAUCUCCCUCGAUCCGUCCGCCACGCGUCGGAUCCACGCCGGAGCAGCCGGAUGCGCCGCCAGGGAACGCAUCACCCCAUGGCCUUGGAGCUCGCCGCCUCCAGCUACCUCUCCAUUGAUCAGUCCGACGCCUCCGGCCACAUCUCCGUCGAUCCGUCCGCCAAGCGUUGGAUCCACGCCGGAGCAGCCGGAUGCGUCGCCAGGGAACCGCAUCACCCCAUGGCCUUGUAGCUCACUGCCUCGAGCUACCUCUCCAUCGAUCCGUCUGUCCCGCUGCCGGAUUCGUUGACUGCUCAGCCCGUCAUGGGUCUGUGCCUCGAUCUGUUUGCCCCGUCGCUCGAUGCACGCGGGAGCAACUGGGCUGCGGGUUCGAUCUGUCUGCCCCGUCGCUGGAUGCAUGCGAGAGCAGCUGGGCUGCGGGUUGAUUUAUCAGAAACUGGGGAGAAGGGGGUUUAUGUAAAACAGAAUCGUUUCUCCCACUUAAAUUGGUAGUGCGGGUUGAAUAUGUACAAUAUUAGGAGCUUUUCUGCAAAACAGCCUAUUAUUAGGGAGAGAUAUAUCUCUCCCUAAUAAUAGGCUGUUUUGCAGAAAAGCUCCUAAUNCGCUGGAUCACAUCAGCGCGGAUCGCAUGCCCGAUCAGAACCAAAAAGGGCAUGUAUGCUCAGUUUCUACAUGCCCGGAUCCAAAAUAACAUCAGUUCAAUAGUCGGUGCAAUUUUCAGUCCAGUCGGACCGGCAGUCCAGCCAUCUACACCCGGAUCAAGGUGUUGUUGCUGCCGUCGCGUAGACCACGUCGGCGUCCAUCUCCUCCCCAUCCUCACUUCGUGCCACCGUCAAACUCAUCUUUUUACCGCUACAACAUAUGAUAUCGGACCAAUUGCACACAAUAAAU
rnacentral:lncRNA from 1 species